CAUUCACAUCACAUCAACCAGUUUAACCAUCGAAUCUUGCAUACCCAGGAACUUCAAACUUCACCCAGAUCCACACAAUCAUAAAUAAUGGGAUCUACAAGUGGACCGCUCUGCCAGUACAAAAGCUAGCUGCUCUUCAACAUGGGUAGAAGUCCUCAACGGAGUUCCAUUCACCUACAAGAACAGAAUGGAAUAUCAAGUACUUGCAUUCUUCAAGAAGAUUACAACCAACAUAUAUAUGUACAGGGACAUCAGGAAAGCUGAUGGAGCAAAAUCAAACAACAGAUAAAUCAAGUAAACAGACCAUUUGGAAAAAAAUAUACUACCAGGCUUGAACAUGAGCAUAGAAAAGAAAAGAUGAUUUCAGUGAAAUUAAAACUUCCAAUGAAAGCUGAAUAACAGUGCAUAGCUCCUAGUAUGGAGGAAUAUCACAAAAUUAAACAAGAUGGUCAUGCAAGUUUCUAUACAAGUAUUCAUGAUUAUAGUUUAUUAUCGUUGUCUAAAUUCUCCAACAUGCACAAAAUUAAUUAAUAUAUUUGAAUGUGCUACCAAUGAAGCAAAUUCUAAAAGAUACACGGACAGGGCUUAAUUAGCCAACCAUGUCAUUUUAUAAACACAUAGCAAACUCAACGAUAACGUGUAUAGUUAUUACCAUAGAGUUUCUAUAUGAGUAUUCAUGAUUUCAGUUUGUCAUCAUCAUUUAAAUAGCUUGGCGAACAUUGACAGCAGAGAAACAAAAAAAAUUAAGUCAAUAGCUUUGUGAGCAUGCAGUAGACUGUUCACAUCCUAAUGAAAUACAUGGCAAAGAAGCUUUACCAUGUAGACAAACACCCACUUACUCAGACGCUACAGGUGCUUUGUUUCAUCAUGUUACAAAGGAGAAGCACAAACCACAAUUUUACUCCACACACACACACACGGACUAGUAGAUCAACAGGAGGACAUAGAUUAGACCAAAUCCACAUAAACAAAUCCAUACACAUAGCAGUAUAACUGGAUAGUGGGCAAUUGGUUUGAUCAGGAGCAACAGUGCAUAUUUUCCCUAAACCUAAAAUUGCCAUAGUGGGUAAAUCAUGUCACUGGUCAGAGCACAACACCACAAUCACCAGUACAAGGCCACCAGAAGCACCACAGAGAGGGAUAGAGCUCACCUAGGUGGUUUGUAGUCGAUGCAGAAGCACAGCCGGCCGCGGUUGCAGUAGAGUUCCUUGCAACGCACAUGCAGACCCUUGGGGCUUGUUGUCUUUACCAACACUUCAUCCCACAAAACAACUCCCUCGGUUGCCAUGUCACAUGCUUCUACUGCCUUGUCCAUCAUGUCAUAGAUGCUUCCAGAGUAGUUGGACUGAGAUCCUCCAGCAGAGGGGCACAACCAACUAACAUACUAAAGGAGAAACAGUCACUUUAUAUAAAAUCAACAACAUGUUGUAACAGUACCACUGUGCUCCCAAUCUUAAACAACAAGAUUUGGGACAUUUAUCAUGCCAACAAUACCACUAGUAGUAGUACCAAUGUGUUAACAAAAUUUAGGCCAGUAUACCAGGACAAAGCCCCUGCUGCUCUCAAAUAGUAGGUCACUGCCAUAAGCUUUGAUUUUUGGCAACAAGGGGAAUUGAAUCAAUUGCAAUUCAAGAUGGUGCAUUAUUUGCUAGUGGCAAAGCAGGUUCGUUUUUACUGAGUACUGACAAAGUUGGUUUUUACUAGAUAGCGGCAUAGUAAGUUGUGACAUUUAAAAAAACCAGUAAGAAAACCAGCGGUGGCUGCUCCAGCCCGCUGCUCUUCUCCUGGACAACACCAUUGUAAAUUUAGCUAGCAAUCAUCAGCAGCAAGUACAGAGUAAAAUGGGACUUUGUUGUAGCUACAGAAACUGAAACAACACACACAUCAUGGAAUUUCAUAUCAUAGCCAACAAAUAUUUUACCAGAACACAGGGUGUUCUUCUCUGUAUUUUAGAAACAUGCAAACAAAGGUUUCAGUACAAACAAACAAGUGGAGUAGACAAAUUUCAGAACAGAAUGUGUUCGCACUGUUUGGUUUAUUUGCUUGGUUUAUUUAAACAAAAGUUUCUGUACAAAUAGACAAGUGGAGUUAAAAAAAUACAGAAACUACAUAAACUGCACAUUCAGGUUGUGAUACUCCCAUCUGCAGUAUAUGCAUGUUGUGAUACUCCCAUCUUAUGCAAUUUGACUCACAGAACAAGAACAAAACUGAUUUUGAACAUUCGAUGCAAAAUAUGGUAAAUACGUCUUGUAUCUACUCCUUGGCUACUGUUAUUUCAACUGUAAAUUUAGCCAGCAAUCAUCACCAGCAAGUACAGAGUAAACUGGGACUUUGUUGUAGCUACAGAAACUAAAACAACACACACAUCAUGGAAUUUCAUAUCAUAGCCAACAAAUAUUUUACCAGAACACAGGGUGUUCUUCUCUGUAUUUUAGAAACAUGCGAACAAUGGUUUCAAUACAGUCAAACAAGUGGAGUAGACAAAUUUCAUAAUAGAAUGUGUUCGCACCAUUUGUUUUAUUUGCUCGGUUUGUUUAAACAAAAGUUUCUGUACAAAUAGACAAGUGGAGUAGCAUGUGUUUACUUUGCAUGCUCAAGGUACACUAGUCUGAUGAAAACAAUAUGCUCGAGGUACAUUAUCUUGCAUGCUCGGACUACAUUCAAAAAUUCUGAACAACAUCAAAUUGGCUAAAUAACUUGGCCUUGAACACCAAUCUUAAAGUGAAUUUAUGAGAGCAGUACAUUCAUGAAGUUCUACUCUGAAUUUUAACUUCCUUUCUCUGAAUUUUCUGCAGGAGGGUAAUAUCUCAAAAGAAAACAACACUGUAAAUAGGCAAUUAACUAAAACCCGGAGUACUAAGAUAGGGAAUACCCACAUUCAUUUCAGAAAUUGGUGUUCGACAUACGACAACCCCUUGAAGUACACCUAAAUUUAUACUGAAUUCCUUGCUCUAUGACUAAAACCCGUAGUACAAACAUAAGGAAUUGAAAUGUCUGCAUUCAUUUCAGCAAGAAAACUAGUAGAUCUUGGAGGUUGAAGCACUAAGGUUAAGGAGUAACUUAACCAGAAGGGCCUAGCAAGCUAGCACAAGCAUCAACAGCCGUUUUAAUCAAUCAGAAGGGCAGGAGUAGCUUAAUCAAUACCCUUAUCCGUGAAUUACAGGUAGGACUCAAUCUUUAAGGUUCAUGUUGGGCUCUUGGUGGCGCUCCAGCCUGCCGCCUUCCCUUGGCGCUUGAGUAGGGCGUCAACUCCUUGUUGUACGCCAUCCUCACGUUCAUACUCACAGCAAGGGCGGCAAACCAGGAGGGCGCACUCAUUGCAGGCCUAACCACCUGCGCCUUUCAACUCCUUACCCUGCAUCAGCAAGAUCAAAACAAUGUCAGUAUGCACCCCUAUGAAAUUAACACAACUUGCCAGGAGACACAACAAUUGCUCAUGUAUUCAUUGAUGCUACAUGAGGAAAUCAUCUACUUGGCUUAAAGUUGAAACUAUGAUCAUCAAUGAAUACUAAACAAGGUCCCAAUAUAUCAGUGAGGUCUGGAACAGAAAAAUCUCUUAAUUGCUCCAACAAUUAAUAGAGAGGGAAAAUGCGCCAAAUAAACGAAUCCAACUCGCAACUACGCAACCCCCGCGGUUACCCCUAAUCUCGCAACCUAGAUCCACUGCCUUGCGCGUGCCAGAUCCACCGAUACAGGCACCGCAUGAAGGAGCUGUGACGAGCAGAGAUGACACCGAAACAUUAAGGCGUCGAGGCAGGCAGGAAGGGUGAGAGAGGGGGAGACAGACGUACCCAUCAUGGUCGGAGGUCCACUAGUAGAAAACGGGCCUAUUGUCCCGGUUCGUAAGGGCCUUUUGUCCCGGUUCCUGAACCGGAACUAAAGGGUCAUUGCUAAUGCCCUAACCCUUUAGUUCCGGUUCUAGCCAGAACCGGGACAGAUGGGCCUCCACGUGGCGAGCCCAGGCAGGAGGGCCUUUGGUCCGAGUUGGUGGCACCAACCGGGACCAAUAGACCUCCACGCGUCAGCAUUUCUGUGGCUGGGGUUUUNNNNNNNNNNNNNNNNNNNNNNNNNNNNNNNNNNNNNNNNNNNNNNNNNNNNNNNNNNNNNNNNNNNNNNNNNNNNNNNNNNNNNNNNNNNNNNNNNNNNNNNNNNNNNNNNNNNNNNNNNNNNNNNNNNNNNNNNNNNNNNNNNNNNNNNNNNNNNNNNNNNNNNNNNNNNNNNNNNNNUGGCGGUUUUGGGGGGUUAAUUUAGGUAUUUCAUAUAUUGUGUUAGAUAGCUAAUUAAUAGAGAGAAGUGUCCUCUCUUAUGUCCGUGCUUGGUCGGCGCUAUGUACUAUACAUACAUAUAGAGAGGACUAGACACGCUAGCUAGCUAGUAAGCAAACGAAGGAAACAGAAGAUCGUCAUGAACAUAUAUGCAUACAGAGAGAAGUGAUAUCGACAACCUCUCGUUCUCCGAGAGAUUGGUCGAACAACAAGUUCUCGGAUAUCCACUAGUAGAAAACGGAGCUUUAAAACUGGUUCGUAAGGGCCUUUAGUGCCGGUUCCAUAACCGGCACUAAUUGGUGGGCACUAAAGCCCCCCCCCCUUUAGUACCGGUUCGGCACGAACCGGCGCUAAAGUGCCACCACGUGGCGUGAGCUCGCGCCGUGGUAUGGGGGACCUUUAGUACCGAUUGGUGUUACCAACCCGUACUAAAGGUUUUUUUUUGAAAAUUUUUGAAAAAAAAAUUGAUUUUUUUUCCCGAUUUUUAAUUUUUCUGAAUUAUUUGGUGAUUUAGUCUCUAAUCACCUCUCUUAACUGCUCAAGUGUGGAUCACUCAUUCCAAAUCAUCUAUCUUCCCGACCGGUCACCCAGCCCUCUCACUACUCCAGCCCAAGCAUGCUUAACUUUCGGGUUCUAUUCUCCUUCGUUUCCAAGUCUGCACUUGUUGUUUUCCUGACAAUAGUAAGAUGUCAAUCCUAUUAACCCUCAGGAGUUUAGCUUGAGCAUGAAGUCACACAUUUCACUGUUUGAGUUUGAAACUAUUAUUCUAAAAAACAGCAAUUAUUUAGUAACACUAAUAUUUCUUGAAUAAGUUUGACCAUAGUUUGACCAUAGUUUGACCACAGUUUGACCAGAUUUGACCAAAAUUCAAAAAAUUGAAAUAAUUAUUUAGUAACACUAAUAUUCUUGAAUAAUUAUGUAGUAACAUUCCCUACACUUUUUGCAAAACAUCUCCAAAUUUAAGUUUUCAAAUUUUCCUAACGUGUAGAUGUAGUAAUAUAACUACCUCUCGAAGGAUUUUAUUUUUUGAAGUUUUUAUCAUUUUCUUUUGAUUUUUUCAAAACUAAAAUGGUGAUACACGGGGGGGGGGGGUAGAGUUUGAAAAUUGCCCUAUAGUGUCGGUUUGUGUCUUCAACCGAGACUAUAGGUUAAGACUCUGUACUAAAGGUUCAUUACGAACCGGCACUAAUGCAUAGCCAUUCGAACCGGCACUAUUGAUCACAUUAGUGCCGGUUUUUUUACAAACCGGCACUAAUGUGCUUCACGUUUGACCCUUUUUCUACUAUUGAUCUAUCCGACACUACCGGCUACAUAUAUACAAUAAUUAUCUCUUACAAAUAUAAUCUCCUAAAUUACGGACGCAUGGUCCACAUAGUAUUCUCCGUCUUCAGCGAUCAUGUGGUCAAGAAAGAAUGCUGCCAAUUCUUCUUGAAUUGCUCGCAUGCGAACAGAUGCUAGGAGUUCAUCCCGCUGCCGAAACAUCUAAUUUGAAGAAGGGGUUCAAUACAUAUAUAUAUAUAUAUAUUAAUGAAUGAAACUCAACACAAAUGAUGGUAAUAAACUAAAAUUGUGAAUAUUAUUUCUUACGCACUUCAUAUUGUUUGUCAGAGUACCCGCCCCGCUCACAGGUCGUGUGGCGGAUGGACUCGCAAACGUAGUAUCCACAGAAAUCAUUCCCUUGUUCCUGCCACAACCACUUUACAAGAAAUAAAGGUCAAUCAAACUGAUAAGCAAGAAUGCCAAAUGGUAUUGAUGAAACUAGCGCUUGAAUCAAUAGCUAGGAGACGCGCGGAACAUGCUAAUAUAGUACUUACUUUCGGGUAUCUAAAUUGCAGCAUCUUCGGUAGUCCCGGAGAUUUUUUGGUGAAUUUUCUCCAAACCCUGCUAGACAAAAGAAAACAAUUACUUGAUAUCAGGAAAUGAACAAAGUUGUUGGUAUGGUGGAUAAUGAUCGAUUUAACUUACUUCUAGAGGAUUUCAGUCAUGUCCGCAUACUCCUGGGGAUCUUUUUGUUUAGAGUCCGAGACAGUUACUACUCCCUGCUCAAGCCUAAUCUCUAGGAGAAUAUAGUGGUACCUGCGCACGCAUGCAUAACUCAUCAAUUACAUUACUAUAACCUGGACUAAUAUAUAAGGGAAACUGAAUAUGCACAAGACAGUAACACUCACUUGAAGUUGUAAGGAAAGAGUAUUAUAUCUUUGUUUUCAUUUAUUUUGAAUGAUCAUAGCAAGUUGGCCUCGGUAUCUGUGGCACGAUGUUCAACCUCAGUUGCAUCUAUGAGAUAUGUGUUAACGAACCCAAUAUCACCGAUUUGUCUUUUCUUAAAUUCGGUGAUCUUCAAUCUACAUAAUAUAGUGAGGAUAAUUAUAAAUACAUGCAAUGAAAGAGCUGAGCUAUAUAGAGAGACUUAAUGACAGAAGUAGUAGUACUUACAGACAGUAGCAGGUGACCGUUGCUUUAUCGAGAGCCAAUUGAUUGAAAAACUGAUAGAACUCCUCAAAUGGAAUAGGCAACAGAUCAAUUCCAACGAGGUCAUGCUCUGGUUUAAGUCUCACAUACAAAGUACUCCUCCCCCCAGACUCUCUGCAGAUUUUCAAGUACCAAUCAUGCAAUCUUCGCAUCAUCGUUGAUAGAGAUCUUUCAUCUUUGACGAGAGGCUUCCCGUACUCGUAUCUGUGUAUCUGCACGUCCAUGAAAUCAUAAUGUACAUCGUUGGGCAGGUAAUCUCCAAGAUUGCUAUAACCGGGCACCAUCCUCAGAUCGACGAUGUCUCUAGGCACCUUGAGCGGGGGGCACGAUUGAUUCCCUUGUUCGCCGAGCUGGGCAAUUUGUUUCCCAGCUGCUUGUCGUUCUUUCAUCCUUUGAACACUGAUUGUACUUCCCGACCGCUCCGCUUCGGCCCAUGUCUUCGCAAUAAUGCGCUCAUAGUUGCCUUUCGGCGGAGACUUGGGUGGUUUUGCCAGGGCAGCCAGAGUGCGCUUCGCUUUCACCGGAUCUACCUUCUCCUCCGGAGGUGGAUGUCUCUGUGCUUUCAACACUUCAAACCAUUCCUUCGCUUCGGUUCGCGCGAUCUCCGCGUUCUCCUCCGGGCUCAUCUCGUAUGGUAACUUCUCUGGAGUCUUCAGAGAAGGACCGAAUCUGUAUGUCUUCCCGCCUCUGGCUGUACUGCUAGACGCCGGCCGAGCAGACGGAGCGGCUGUCUUCUUUACUUGCUUACGAGGCAGAGGAGAAGGACUACGACGCGCCGGAGCAGCUGCUGGAGUGGCGGUGGGUCUCUUCCGCCCUUGCUUACGAGGCGGAGAAGGAGGAGGCUGGCUGCUCGGGCGUGCAGGCGCAGGCGGAGAAGGAGGCGGAGUGCCGCCACGCGCCGAAGAAGGAGCCGGCCGAGUGCCCUGAUCGUCACUCACCGGAGGAGGAGGCGGUGGAGGAGGCGGAGUGCCCUGACUCGCCGAAGGAGGAGGAGGAGGCGGAGGCGUCCAGUUCUGAAGGUUGAUGAGAUCCUUCUGCCAUAGGCAUGGAGUCUUCAGAGCAGAACCCAGCCGAGUCUCCCCUUCACUGGUAGGGUGGUCAAGCGGGAGCUCCUCAAAUCCCUUCGUUAUUUAAUCCACCAUCACCCUAGCAUAUCCUUCUGGAAUCGGCCGGCAGUGAAAAGUUGCGCCGGGUUCAGAAGGAUAAACAGAGCCAACAACCGCCUUGACCUUCAUAUUAAUCCAUUGUGUCAUAAGGUGGCAAUUUUGAGACUCCGUGAUAGCAUCCAUGGGAUAGCUGGCAGGAUCCGUCAAGACAUGCUCCGGCUGAAGCAGCUCGGUGGAAACCAUGCUGCUUCUCCGCUGAGAUGGCGGGGUAGCUUCUGGGGAGGCUUCGGUAGUUCGUUUGCUGCGAUUUGCUUCUCGUUCCUCUAUCCCGAGUACCCCUGCUUUAAGCACCAGCAGUUCAGACUGCUGCACUUUCUUCCUCCUCUCCUGGCAUUUGUAACCGCCUGCGUCCAGAAACCCAGCCUUCCAUAGAAUGGAGCCUGGCGUGCCUCGUGUCCGCCUAGGGUGCUCAGGAUUCCCGAGGGCCAUUGUGAGCUCGUCCUUCUCUCUGUCUGGAACGAACGUCCCUUGCUGCAUUGCUUCGAUAUACUGCUGAAGCCUCUUGGCUGGUAUAUCCAAUUGAUCGUCCGUCCAAAUGCACUUCCCUGAUACAGGGUCCAAGGUUCUGCCAGCCCCGAAGAACCAAGUCCGGCAACGGUCUGGCCAGUUCAUUGUCUCUGGUUCGAUCCCUUUUUCAACCAGAUCAUUCUCAGCCUUGGCCCACUUAGGCCGGGCUACGAGGUAGCCACCUAACCCCAUGCGAUGGUGAAGCGUCUUCUUUGCAGCAUUUUUCUUGUUUGUCGCCGACAUCUUCUUACUCUUUUCUGAUGUCUUGUGGGCCACAAAUGCAGGCCAGUGAUCUCUGAUCUUCUCAUAUCUGCCCUUGAAUUCUGGUGUCUAUUUUUUAUCGACAAACCUAUUCAGCUCUUUAUUCCACCUCCUGAAUAGGUCUGCCAUCCUCUUAAGAGCAAAAGACUUGAUUAAUUGCUCUUUAACUGGCUUCUCCGGAUCAUCCUCUAGCGGUAGGGUGAAAUUUGACUUCAGCUCAGUCCAAAGAUCAUUUUUCUGCAUAUCAUUGACGUAAGACACCUCAGGCUCUUCUGUAGCCGGCUUUAACCAUUGCUGGAUGCUGAUCGGGAUAUUGUCCCUAACCAGAACCCCGCACUGAGCAACAAAUGCGUUAUUUGUUCGGAUGGGUUCAAUCGGUUGGUCGUCGGGCGCGAUUGCUAUGAUCUCAAACCUUUCAUCCGAGCUCAACUUUUUCUUUGGGCCUCGUCUCUUUACCUCAGUUGUGCUCGAUCUGGAGGGCUAGAAAAAAGAACAAAGACUUAAUUAAUAUGUGUACAUACCAAAACAAUGAAUGCAUCAAUUAUCUAGUCAGCACAGGCUUAACUAAUAUAUAUACCUGGCCGGACUCGGUUCGGUCACCGGAGCCGUCAUCACGGUCUCCUUCUUGCACCGGCAUUAGGUCACCGGAGCCGUCCUCACGUUCUCCUUCUUGUACCGACAUUAGGUCACCGGAGCCAGCUUCUUCACCCUCUCCUUCCAGAGCAUCGGUGUCGUUGAGAAACAACAAGCAGACGGCAUUACAUCCCAUUGCGAUUAUGUCCCUCAACAACGCUUCUUUUGCUUCAUCUCGGGCGGUGUCCAUAGUUUCUACAAAUAUUUACAACAUGGCAAUUAUUAUUCAAACAUGACAGAUGGAUAUAUUAGUGGCAAAGGUAGAACUAGCUAGCUAAUCAUAGUAAGGAAUCAUAUAUAUAUUAAUUAGUGGCCUCGACGCUGCUUCUCUAGGGUUUGGGGUGGCCUCGACAACGCUUCAAGGGUUUGGGGUGGCCUCAAGAGAGUUUGUCGGGUAGGGGCGCGGCGGGAGUGGGUAGGAGAACGACAUCGUUUUUUCUAGGGUUUGGGUGUCCUCGAGAGUUUUGGUGGCAUGAACCGGGACUAAAGGGGAGCCUUUGGUCCCGGUUCAUGCCACCAACCGGGACCAAUGGUGGUGGGCCAGGAGCGAGGCCCAUUGGUCCCGGUUCGUCCCACCAACCGGGACCAAAGGUCUAGACGAACCGGGACCAAUGGCCCACGUGGCCCGGCCGACCCCCUGGGCUCACGAACCGGGUCCAAUGCCCCCAUUGGUCCCGGUUCUAGACUGAACCGGGACUAAUGGGCUGACUCGGCCUGGACCUUUGCCCCCUUUUCUACUAGUGGUCGACGAAGAACCGACAUUGUGGUUGAAGCAGUAGAUGACGGCGUCGUGGUUGAAGCAGUAGACGAUGCAGUAGCUAAUCACCAGGGCCAUCGUGGCAGGAUCCCCCGAGAGAAGGUGGGUGCGGAUCCGCCGUUGGCCCCCCGUCCCCAUCCAUCCAUAGGUGAUGGGUGGGUUUCGGCCGCUGUUGCCACAUCCGUAGAUCUCAAGAGGAAGGGAGGGAGGGAGGUCGCCGGUGGGGGUGGUAGUCCGCUAGCGGCGGGACUAGAGAGGAGUCGGGGGAGGGAGAGGAGUCGGGGAGGGAGUGGACCUCUAGCUGAAGGAAAUAUGCCCUAGAGGCAAUAAUAAAGUUAUUAUUUAUUUCCUUAUAAUCAAGAUAAAUGUUUAUUAUUCAUGCUAGAAUUCUAUUAACCGGAAACAUAAUACAUCUGUGAAUACAUAGACAAACAAAGUGUCACUAGUAUGCCUCUACUUGACUAGCUCGUUAAUCAAAGAUGGUUAUGUUUCCUAACCAUGAACAAUGAGUUGUUAUUUGAUUAACGAGGUCACAUCAUUAGUUGAAUGAUCUGAUUGACAUGACCCAUUCCAUUAGCUUAGCACAGCAAGCAAGCAAGUUGCUGCUCAAGUGAAGAAGCCCAUGUCUGAUCCUAAGCCUGAAACUAAGUGUUUCUACUGCAAAGGGACUGGUCACUGGAAGCGGAUCUACCCCAAGUGAUUGGCGGAUAAGAAGGAUGGCAAAGUGAACAUAAGUAUAUUUGAUAUACAUGUUAUUGAUGUGUACUUUACUAGUGUUUAUAGCAAACCCUCAGUAUUUGAUACUAGUUCAGUUGCUAAGAUUAGUAACUCGAAACGGGAGUUGCAGAAUAAACAGAGACUAGUUAAGGGUGAAGUGACGAUGUGUGUUGGAAGUGGUUCCAAGAUUGAUAUGAUCAUCGUCACACACUCCCUAUACUUUCGGGAUUAGUGUUGAACCUGAAUAAGUGUUAUUUGGUGUUUGCGUUGAGCAUGAAUAUGAUUUGAUCAUGUUUAUUGUAAUACGGUUAUUCAUUUAAGUAAGAGAAUAAAUUGUUGUUCUGUUUACAUGAAUAGAACCUUAUAUGGUUACACACCCAAUGAAAAUAGUUCGUUGGAUCUCGAUCGUAGUGAUACACAUAAUCAUAAUAUUGAAACCAAAAGAUGCAAAGUUAAUAAUGAUAAGUGCAACUUGUUUGUAGCACUGCCAUUUAGGUCAUAUGGUGUAAAGCGCAUGAAGAAACUCCAUACUGAUGGGAUUUUGGAAUCACUUGAUUAUGAAUCACUUGAUGCUUGUGAACCAUGCCUUUUGGGCAAGAUGACUAAAACGCCGUUCUCCGGAACAAUGAAGCAAGCAACAGAUUUGUUGGAAAUCAUACAUACUGAUGUAUGUGGUCCGAUGAAUAUUGAGGCUCGCGACAGGUAUCAUUAUUUUCUGAUCUUCAUAGAUGAUUUGAGCAGAUAUGAGUAUAUCUACUUGAUGAAACAUAGGUCUGAAACAUUUGAAAAGUUCAAAGAAUUUCAGAGUGAAGUGAAAAAUCAUCGUAACAAGAAAAUAAAGUUUCUACGAUCUGAUCGUAGAGAAGAGUAUUUGAGUUACGAGUUUGGCCUUCAGUUAAAAACAAUGUGAAAUAGUUUCAGUACUCAUGCCACCUGGAACACCACAAUGUAAUGGUGUGUCCGAACGUCAUAACCGUACUUUAUUAGAUAUGGUGCGAUCUAUGAUGUCUCUUACCGAUCUACCACUAUCGUUUUGGGUUUAUGCAUUAGAGACAGCUACAUUCACGUUAAAUAGGGCACCAUCUAAAUCCGUUGAGACGACACCGUAUGAACUAUGGUUUGGCAUGAAACCUAAGCUGUCGUUUCUUAAAUUUGGGGUUGUGAUGCUUAUAUGAAAAAGUUUCAUCCUGAUAAGCUCAAACUCAAAUCGGAGAAAUAUGUCUUCAUAGGAUACCCAAAGGAGACUGUUGGGUACACCUUCUAUCACAAAUCCGAAGGCAAGACUUUUGUUGCUAAAUUCAGAGUUUUUCUAGAGAAGGAGUUUCUCUCGAAAGAAGUGAGUGGGAGGAAAGUAGAACUUGACGAGGUAACUGUACCUGCUCCCUUGUUGGAAAGUGGUACAUCACAGAAAAUUGUUUCUACGACACCUACACCAAUAAGUAAGGAAGUUAAUGAUAAUGAUCAUGAAACUUCAGAACAAGAUACUACUGAACCUCGUAGAUCAACCAGAGUAAGAUCCGCACCAGAGUGGUUCAGUAAUCCAGUUCUGGAAAUCAUGCUACUAGAUCAUGAUGAACCUACGAACUAUGAAGAAGCGAUGGUGAGCCCAGAUUCCACAAAGUGGCUUGAAGCCAUGAAAUCUGAGAUGGGAUCCAUGUAUGAGAACAAAGUAUGGACUUUGAUUGACUUGCCCAAUGAUCGGCGAGCCAUUGAGAUUAAAUGGAUCUUCAAGGGGAAGACGGACGUUGAUAGUAGCGUCACUAUCUACAAAGCUAGAAUUGUCGCAAAAAGGUUUUUCGACAAGUUCAAGGUGUUGACUACGAUGAGAGUUUCUCUCUCGUAUCUAUGCUUAAGUCUGUCCGAAUCAUGUUAGCAAAUUGCCGCAUUUUAUGAAAUCUGGCAAAUGGAUAAAGAAAACUGCAUUCCUGAAUGGAUUUCUGGAAGAAGAGUUGUAUAUGAUGCAACCAGAAGGUUUUGUCGAUCCAAAGGGAGCUAACAAAGUGUGCAAGCUCCAGCGAUCCAUUUAUGGAAUGGUGCAAGCCUCUCGGAGUUGGAAUAAAUGCUUUGAUAGUAUGAUCAAAGCAUAUAGUUUUAUACAGACUUGCGAUGAAGCCUGUAUUUACAAGAAAGUGAGUGGGAGCACUACAACAUUUCUGAUAAGUAUAUGUGAAUGACAUAUUGUUGAUCGGAAAUAAUGUAGAAUUAUUUUGUAAAGCAUAAAGGGGUGUUUGAAAGGAGUUUUUUUCAAAGAAAGACUUCGGUAAAAGUUGCUUACAUAUUGAGCUUCAAGAUCUAUAGAGAUAGAUCAAGACGCUUGAUAAGUUUUUCAGUGAGUACAUACCUUGACAAGAUUUUGAAGUAGUUCAAAAUGGAACAGUCAAAGAAAAAGUUUCUUGCCUGUGUUACAAGGUGUAAAGUUGAGUAAGACUCAAAGCCCGACCACGGCAGAAGAUAGAAAAGAAUGAAAGUCAUUCCCUAUGCCUUGGCUAUAGGUUCUAUAAAGUAUGUCAUGCUGUGUACCAGAUCUAUUGUAUACCUUGCACUGAUUUAACAAGGGAGUACAAUAGUGAUCUAGGAGUAGAUCACUGGACAGCGGUCAGAAUUAUCCUUAGUGAAAUAAGGAUAUGUUUCUCGAUUAUGGACGUGACAAAAAGGUUCAUCGUAAAGGGUUACAUCGAUGCAAGUUUUUGACACUGAUCCAGAUGAUUCUAAGUCUCAAUCUGGAUACAUAUUGAAAGUGGGAGCAAUUAGCUAGAGUAGCUCCAUGCAGAGCAUUGUUAACAUAAAUAUUUGCAAAAUACUUACGGCUCUGAAUGUGACAGACCCGUUGACUAAGAUUCUCUCACAAGCAAAACAUGAUCACACCUUAGUACUCCUUGGGGGUUAAUCACAUAGCGAUGUGAACUAGAUUACUGAAUCUAGUAAACCCUUUGGGUGUUGAUCACAUAUCGAUGUGAACUAUGGGUGUUAAUCACAUGGUGAUGUGAACUAUUGCUGUUAAAUCACAUGGCGAUGUGAACUAGAUUAUUGACUCUAGUGCAAGUGGGAGACUGAAGGAAAUAUGCCCUAGAGGCAAUAAUAAAGUUAUUAUUUAUUUCCUUAUAAUCAUGAUAAAUGUUUAUUAUUCAUGCUAGUAUGCCUCUACUUGACUAGCUCGUUAAUCAAAGAUGGUUAUGUUUACUAACCAUGAACAAUGAGUUGUUAUUUGAUUAACGAGGUCACAUCAUUAGUUGAAUGAUCUGAUUGAUAUGACCCAUUCCUUUAGCUGAGCACACGAUCGUUUAGUAUGUUGCUAUUGCUUUCUUCAUGACUUAUACAUGUUCCUAUGACUAUGAGAUUAUGCAACUCCCGUUUGCCAGAGGAACACUUUGGGUGCUACCAAACGUCACAACGUAACUGGGUGAUUAUAAAGGAGCAUUACAGGUGUCUCCGAAGGUAGAUGUCGGGUUGGCGUAUUUCGAGAUUAGGAUUUGUCACUCCGAUUGUCGGAGAGGUAUCUCUGGGCCCUCUCGGUAAUACACAUCACAUAAGCCUUGCAAGCAUUGCAACUAAUAUGUUAGUUGUGAGAUGAUGUAUUACGGAACGAGUAAAGAGACUUGUCGGUAACGAGAUUGAACUAGGUAUUGGAUACCGACGAUCGAAUCUCGGGCAAGUAACAUACCGCUGACAAAGGGAACAACGUAUGUUGUUAUGCGGUCUGACCGAUAAAGAUCUUCGUAGAAUAUGUAGGAGCCAAUAUGGGAAUCCAGGUCCCGCUAUUGGUUAUCGACCGGAGACAUGUCUCGGUCAUGUCUACAUUGUUCUCGAACCCGUAGGGUCCGCACGCUUAAGGUUACGAUGACAGUUAUAUUAUGAGUUUAUGCAUUUUGAUGUACCGAAGGUUGUUCGGAGUCCCGGAUGAGAUCACGGACAUGACGAGGAGUCUCAAAAUGGUCGAGACGUAAAGAUUGAUAUAUUGGAAACCUAUGUUUGGACAUCGGAAGUGUUCCGGGUGAAAUCGGGAUUUUACCGGGUUACCGGGAGGGUUACCGGAACCCCCCGGGAGCCAUAUGGGCCUUCAUGGGCCUUAGUGGAAAGGAGAAAGGGGCAGCCCAAGGUGGCUGCGCCUCUUCGCCCUCCCCUAGUCCUAUUAGGACUAGGAGAAGGUGGCCGGCCCCCCUCUCUCCCUUCCCCUCCGAGGAAUCCUAGUUGGACUAGGAUUGGGGGGAGGAAUCCUACUCCCAGAGGGAGUAGGACUCUCCUGCGCCUCCCUCCUUGGCCGGCCAGCCUCCCCCCUCUACUCCUUUAUAUACGGAGGCAGGGGACACCUCUAGACACACAAGUUGAUCCACGUGAUCUAUUCCUUAGCCGUGUGCGGUGCCCCCUGCCACCAUAUACCUCGAUAAUACUGUAGCAGAGUUUAGGCGAAGCCCUGCUGCUGUAGUACAUCAAGAUCGUCACCACGCCGUCGUGCUGACGGAACUCUUCCCCGACACUUUGCUGGAUCGGAGUCCGGGAAUCGUCAUCGAGCUGAACGUGUGCUCGAACUCGGAGGUGCCGUAGUUUCGGUGCUUGAUCGGUUGGAUCGUGAAGAUGUACGACUACUUCCUCUACGUCGUGUCAUCGCUUCCGCAGUCGGUCUGCGUUGGGUACGUAGACAACACUCUCCCCCUCGUUGCUAUGCAUCACAUGAUCUUGCGUGUGCGUAGGAAAAUUUUUGAAAUUACUACGAAACCCAACACUAGCCAGGGCGGGGAGGGGAGGUGGAGGCCGUGGUUAUGGUCGCCGACGGUGUUGAAGUGGUGAGCGCCGCCACAGGAGAGAGAGAGGGGACGCUGGAGAGAGAGAUGGAUGGGUGGGGGCUGGUUGAGAGGAGGUCGCCGCCGGCCGGUGGGAUCGGGGGAGACGAGGUGGAGGGAGGGGUCGGGGAAGAGGAUUGGAUCGAAUCGUGUGAGGCAAGAAAGAAAGGAGGCGGGGGUGGAUGGAAAAUGACCAGAGGACAGAGCUAGGGUUUCGGGGUUGGUGUGGAAGGGUUGAGGACGGCCGUUGGAUCUGCGAGCAUCCGAUGGCGUAUGAUGCACGAUCCGCGUGAGACGUCCACGGACCAAUCACAAUGCAGUAUGAUGUUAUGACCAUCUAAAUAGGUAAUAGUUGCCUAAAAAUAAUGUGUUAAAAUCAUGUAAUCUCAUAUUGUGCACAAAUGAUCAAUCUUAUGGCCACAUUCUAGGCAUAGUUUGUUCAAAUGAUCUCAUAUUGUGCACAAGGGUGCAUCUUCGAAUUCCAAACAAUGAGUUUUCAUUUUCUUUGCAUGGAAAAUACAUUUUCCAUUUUCGAGUGCCCGAAAUGAGUUUUUUUUUUGUGAAGGACAACCCAAAUAAUUGUUGCAAAAUUGGACCAAAUCAAUUUUCUAAAAUACUAGGACAUAUUUAAUGCACAAUUGAAAAAAUGGUCGGGUGUAAAAAGUUUUGAUCCACCUCUCGUGAAAAAGACAAAUUUCUGCCGAUUCAGCUGGAAGCGGGUCAAAUUUGAACUGUAGCUACCAUGUAGUUUGCUCUUUAUUUUUUUCAAAAAUCAUUUCUAGGUACAUAAGUAUCUAUUUAAUCAGAGAAUACCCAAGAAAAUUCCAUGAUUCAACCACUAGCUAGGAACGGUCAUUCCCGCCGUUUUGAUCGCAUUUUGAAACGGGCAUAAAAAAUAAAAAUAAAACAAAAAAUUGGGAAACCUUCACAUUGUGUCAUUAUUUGUGGCAAAGUUCCUAGGAAAGAUAACAAACUUGUAAUACAUCAAUUAUUUUUUUAAAGUGUUCUCAGAAUCGAGAUAUCACGUGUGGAGAUCAAUGGCUUUCAAGACAAAUGAUCAAUAUUAUGGCCACAUUCAUGGCAUAGUUUGUUCAAAUGAUCUCAUAUUAUGCACAAGGGUGCAUAUUGGAAUGGAAAACAAUGUUGCCUAAGGAAGUUUUCAUUUUCUUUGGACGAAAAAACCACUUUCCAUUUUUUGAGUGUCCAAAAGGAGGUUUUUUGGUGAAGGACCUCCCAAAUAAUUGUUGCAAAAUUUGACCAAAUCAAUUUUCUAAAAUACUAGGACAUAUUUAAUGCACAAUUGACAAAAUGGUCUGGUGCAAAAAGUUUUGAUCCACCUCUGGUGAAAAAGACAAAUUCCCGCCGAUUCAGUUGGAAGCGGGUCGAAUUUGAACUGUAGUUGCCUCGUAGUUUGCUCUUUAUUUUUUCCAAAAAUCAUUUCUAGGUACAUAAGUAUCUAUUUAUCAGAGAAACACCAAAAAAAUUCCAAGAUUCAACCACUAGCUAGGAACGGUCAUUCCCGCCAUUUUGACUGCAUUUUGAAACGGGCAUAAAAAAUUCAAAAAAAAAUUAAAAAAUUGGGAAACCUUCGCAUUGUCUCAUUAUACGUGGCCAAGUUCCCAAGAAAAAUAAUAAACUUGUAAUACGGCAAUUAUUUUAAAAAAGUGUUCUCAGAAACGAGCUAUCACGUGUGGAGAUCAAUGGCUUUAAAGCCAAAUAAUCAAUCUUAUGGCCACAUUCAUGGCAUAGUUUGUUCAAAUGAUCUCAUAUUGUGCACAAGUGUGCAUAUGUGAAUGGCAAACAAUGUUGCCUCAGGAAGUUUUCUUUUUCUUUGGACGAAAGAACCAUUUUCCAUUUUUCGAGUGCCCAAAAGGAGGUUUUUUUGUGAAGGACUCCCAAAUCAUUGUUGCAAAAUUGGACCAAAUCAUUUUCUAAAAUACUAGGCCAUAUUUAAUGCACAAUUAACCAAAUGGAUGGGUGUAAGAAGUUUUUAUCCACCUCUGGUGAAAAAGACAAAUUCCCGCCGAUUCAACUCGAAGCGGGUCAAAUUUGAACUAUAGUUGCCUCGUAGUUUGCUCUUUAUUUUUUACAAAAAUCAUUUCUAGGUACAUAAGUAUCUAUUUAAUCAGAGAAACACCAAAAAAGUUCCAAGAUUCAACCACUAGCUAGGAACGAUCAUUCCCGCAGUUUUGAUCACAUUUUGAAACGGGCAUAAAAAAAUCAAAAAAAUCAAAAAAUUGGGAAACCUUCGCAUUGUAUCAUUAUAUGUGGCCAAGUUCCCAGGAAAAAUAAUAAACUUGUAAUACGGCAAUUAUUUUAAAAAAAGUGUUCUCAGAAAUGAGCUAUCAUGCGUGAAGAUUCAUGGCUUUCAAGCCAAAUAAUCAAUCUUAUGGCCACAUUCGUGGCCUAGUUUGUUCAAAUGAUCUCAUAUUGUGCACAAGGGUGCAUCUUUGAAUUCCAAACAAUGUUGCCUAAGGGAGUUUUCAUUUUCUUUGCACGGAAAAUACAUUUUCCAUUUUCCGAGUGCCCAAAAUGAGUUUUUUUUGUGAAGGACCUACCAUAUAUUUGUUGCAAAAUUGGACCAAAUAAAUUUUCUAAAUUACUAGGCCAUAUUUAAUGCACAAUUGACAAAAUGGAUGGGUGUCAAAAGUAUUGAUCCACCUCUGGUGAAAAAGACAAAUUCCCGCAGAUUCAACAGGAAGUGGGUCAAAUUUGAACUGCAGUUGCCUCAUAGUUUACUAUUUAUUGUUUCCAAAAAUCAUUUAUAGUUACAUAAGUACCUAUUUAAUCAUAGAUACAUGGUUUGGUGGCGAUACGUCGAGGUUUGGGCGGUGGCCGAGGCCCCCAACUCUAGAGCGCGUAAACUCGCAUGCCCGCCGCAAAUAGCAUAUAGCAUAUCCAGUAACCUGACCCUUACAGAAAAGUUUAGUUUGUUCAGAACUCAUUAAUUUAAUAAGCAAAUAUUAUGGUAAUAAAUUGCUUUGGUACAUGAAGGAACAAAGGAGAUUAAACACUAGGUUGUGUGGAUGUGGACCAACAAAGAUGAAUUGAUUCCUGUAGUUGAUGUGAAGUUCAUAAAGUGGUAGCCUAAUGUGAUUUAUUCUCCAUAUACAUGGCAGCUGACUCUUCUAUUUCAUAGCAUAGAUAUUCUGCUGUACAUUGCAGCACAUUGCUUCUGUCAAAUUGAAAAACAAACAGGCUUCAAUAAGAAAUAAUUCCAGUGACUCCAGUAUCAAGUGAAUAUCUUGGUUCGAUAGUUGGAUGCGGCUUCGAAGCUCUGAUAUGAAUAGAAGUACAAUUACUAUUGGAAAGGGUACAAUGGACUGUAUAUUUCUUCAAGCUGUAGUACGACAGUUGCUUCUCAUUGCAACAAGAUGACCCGGUGCGCCAAAUGGCGCAGCUACCCAAUUGAAACCAUGUUCGUGUUGAGAAAUAUUUGCCUUUUUUAGUAACUUUAUGUUUGAUCAAGGAUAGAGACCAUUUCAAACCCGAAGUGUUUUGAACGUGUAUUUGGACAAUGUGCCAUUUAGCUCUAUGUUACCCAAGUAAGGUGCAAGGUCCAAAUUCAAGCAUCAAGGGUAAUGAUUCUAAACCUUUUGUAACAGAAACCUAUGCAUUUGUUAGUCGAGCGCCUAAAUAGAGGAAUUGCUAUGGCAGUGGCCUGACAUGGGUCUGCUGGUGUCAAAGCUUUGCCUUAGAAAGCUUCACAAAAUAUAUCAUGUGCAUGCCCAAAAAUGUGCUGAGUUGACGAUCUCCGGACCCCAUGGUCAGACCGUUGCUAUGGCGCAGCAGAGCUGAGAAACGUUCUUCAGAAACACACCCAUCUAGCGGUAAACCUAGUUUGAUAAGUAAGCAGAUCGCAGAAGAUUCUGUGAGGAAAAGAGAAACCACAAUCGUUAUAUGAUGACACAUUAUUUAGCACGUUGUAUCAAACAUGGAACCCAAGAAGCGCUAGUUAUACCGUAUGUACAUAUCUAGUCCAACCGAUGGAAGAAUUGCUGCUUUGCUUUCUUUGGAGCGCCAGCCCCCUUUGCAGCAGCGUUUGUCCUGAGUUUCGUUCUUGGAGAAAAGAGGAGGUAUUUUAGUAAUUUUGUUCAUACCAGAAACGACCCACAGCUAUAGAAUGUAAUUUCCAUGGUAGCUUCAGUUCAGUUCUGUACAUACAUGAGUGUUUCUUCCUAUAGUUUACAUGAGAAUAAAAUAAUCCAUGACAAAAAACCUGAGAACAAUAGGGUUUUAGCUCACUGAGAUUGUAGAUUACACAUUCAUGUAUUAUCUCUUAUGCACCAACAAAAUAGCAUAUUAAUAUAUAUCAACAUGUACAAAUAGAUUAUUUAGGUGUUGAGUAGGAAGCGUACACGCAAUAAGGAUUGAUAACUUGAUCAAGGAGGAAAAUUCAUUUCCUUAAUAGCAUUUGGCAGAUCAAGCUAUAGAAUAACACUAGUAGAAAAAGGGGCUUUCGUUCGGGACUGGCCAGCCCAUUAGUCCCUGUUCUGCCACGAACCGGGACCAAUGGAGGCAUUUGUCCCGGUUCGUGAGCCCAGGGGGCCGGCCGGGGCCUCGUGGGCAUUGGUCCCGGUUCGUCUAGGCCCAUUUGUCCCGGCUCUUGGCACGAACCAGGACCAAUGAGCCUCGCUCCUGGCCCACAACCAUUAGUCGCGGUUCAUGGCAGGAACCAGGACAGAAGGAUGGCCUUUAGUCCCGGUUCCAGCCACGAAGCGGGACAAAUGAGUUGCCUAUAUAUACCCCAUCGCCGGUGAGCAGAGCACUCCAUGGUACUCUGUUUUUUGCUGGCUGGCCAGGAAGGGCAUUUGGGUGCUCUGGCUCACCUCUUAUGCAUGUGAGGUGUUCGAUGAAAUACCCGAGCCACACGAGUUAAGCUUUCUCCUCUCGAAGCUCGACCUCCGAGCUCCAUUUUUUUUCGAGAUUUGUCUAGGUUUAGCGGUCCGUCACGCCCCGUCCUCGUCUUCACCGCCGUCGAUCGCCCGCGCCGAUCUCGUCGCCGACACCACCGUCGUGAGCCUCUUGUUCUUAUCUUCUUUUUGAAAGAAAUAAAAAUCUUACUUUAGAUAGGUACUUGUCUAAUUUUCUUACUUUUGACACACAUAAUUAUAUAUAAUGCACGCAGAUGAACCGGCAAUGGAUGUACGGUGAUAGACACACCUCUGAGUACAUUAAGGGCGUGCAUAAUUCUCUCGAAGUGGCUGAGGCAAACAAGCAGAAUGGUUUUAUGUGUUGUCCAUGCCCUAAUUGUGGGAAUACGAGGUCUUACUCGGACAAGAAAAUCCUUCUCACACACCUGCUUUAUAAGGGUUUCAUGCCACACUAUAAUGUUUGGACGAAGCAGGGUCCAUGCCCUAAUAGGGGUUAUGAUGGAAGACAACGAAGUAGAAGAGGAUGAUGACAACUAUGUGCCCCCUGAAUACGGUGAUGCUGCAACGAGGGAAGCUGAAGAUCAAGAGGAAGCUGAAGAUCCAGAGGAACCAGACGAUGUGCCCGAUGAUGAUCUCUGCCGUGUCAUUGUUGAUGCAAGGGAAAAGUGCGAAAGUGAAAAGGAGAAGCUGAAGUUCGAUCGCAUGUUAGAGGAUCAUAAAAAAGUGUUGUACCCCAAUUGCGAAGAUGGCAACACAAAGCUCAGUAUCGUACUAGAAUUGCUGCAGUGGAAGGCAGAGAAUGAUGUGCUUGACAAAGGAUUUGAGAAGCUACUGAAAAUAUUGAAGAAGCUUCCAAAGCAUAACAAAUUGCCCGAUAGUACGUACGCAACAAAGAAGGUCAUAUGCCCUCUAGGAUUGGAGGUGGAGAAGAUACAUGCAUGCCCUAAUGACUGCAUCCUCUACCAUGGUGCAUACAAGGAUUUGAACGCAUGCCCGGUAUGUGGUGCGUUGUGGUAUAAGAUCAGAUGAGAUGACCCUGGUGAUGUUGAGGGUGAGCCCCGCAGGAAGAGGGUUCCUGCGAAGGUGAUGUGGUAUGCUCCUAUAAUACCAUGGUUGAAACGACUGUUCAGAAACAAAGAGCAUGCCAAGUUGAUGCGAUGGCACAGUGAGGACCGUAAGAAAGACGGGAAGUUGAGAGCACCCGCUGAUGGGUCGCAGUGGAGAAAAAUCGAGAGAAAGUUCUGGGAUGAGUUUGCAAGUGACCCAAGGAACGUAUGGUUUGCUUUAAGCGCGGAUGGCAUUAAUCCUCUCGGGGAGCAGAGCAGCAAUCACAGCACCUGGCCCGUGACUCUAUGUAUGUAUAACCUUCCUCCUUGGAUGUGCAUGAAGCGGAUGUUCAUUAUGAUGCCAAUUCUCAUCCAAGGCCCUAAGCAACCCGGCAACGACAUUGAUGUGUACCUAAGGCCAUUAGUUGAAGAACUCUUAAAGCUGUGGAAUGGAACAGGUGUACGUGCGUGGGAUGAGCACAUGGGGGAAGAAUUUGACCUAAAGGCGUUGCUGUUCAUGACCAUCAAUGAUUGGCCCGCUCUCAGUAACCUUUCAGGACAGACAAACAAGGGAUACCACGCAUGCACACAUUGUUUAGCUGACACCGAAAGUAUAUACCUGGACAGAUGCAGGAAGAAUGUGUACCUGGGCCAUCAUCGAUUUCUCCCGACCAACCAUCAAUGUCGAAAGAAAGGCAAGCAUUUCAAAGGCGAGGCAGAUCACCAGAAGAAUCCCGCCAUGCAUACCGGUGAUCACGUACUUGCUAUGGUCUCUAAUUUAAACGUAAUAUUUGGAAAGGGUCCCGGCGGACUAGCUAUUCCGAAUGAUGUUGAGGGAUGCGCACCCAUGUGGAAGAAGAAAUCUAUAUUUUUGGACGUACCCUACUGGAAAGAGCUAGAGGUACGCUCUUCAAUCGACGUGAUGCACGUGACGAAGAACCUUUGCGUGAACCUGUUAGGCUUCUUGGGCAUGUAUGGGAAGACAAAAGAUACACCUGAGGCAGCACGCCUCCAAAGCAGUACAAAGGUCCUGCCAGCUACGCUCUUACCAAAGAAGAGAAGGAAAUAUUUUUUUGAAUUCCUGCUCAGUAUGAAGGUCCCGAGUGGCUUCUCGUCGAAUAUAAAGGGAAUAAUAAAUAUUCCAGAGAAAAAGUUACAGAACCUAAAGUCUCAGGACUGCCACGUGAUUAUGACGCAACUGCUUCCGGUUGCAUUGAGGGGGCUUCUACCGGAAAACGUCCGAUUAGCCCUUAUGACGCUAUGUGCAUUCCUCAAUGCAAUCUCUCAGAAGGUGAUCGAUCCAGAAAUCAUACCAAGGCUAAGGAGUGAUGUGGCGCAAUGUCUUGUCAGUUUCGAGCUGGUGUUCCCACCAUCCUUCUUCAAUAUCAUGACGCACGUUCUAGUUCAUCUAGUCGACGAGAUUUUCAUUCUGGGCCCCGUAUUUCUACACAAUAUGUUCCCAUUUGAGAGGUUCAUGGGAGUCCUAAAGAAAUAUGUCCGUAACCGUGCUAGUCCAGAAGGAAGCAUCUCCAUGGGCCAUCAAACAGAGGAUGUCAGUGGGUUUUGUGUUGACUUCAUUCCUGGCCUUAAGAAGAUAGGUCUCCCUAAAUCGUGGUAUGAUGGGAGACUGACUGGAGAAGGCAUGCUAGGAGAGGACUCAAUAAUAUGCAGGGACGGGCAUUCUUGGUCUCAAGCAUACUACACAGUUCUACAGAACUCUACCUUGGUGACUGUCGGUGUCAAAACCAGCAGAUCUCAGGUAGGGGGUCCCGAACUGUGCGUCUAGGCGGAUGGUAACAGGAGACAAGGGACACGAUGUUUUUACCCAGGUUCGGGCCCUCUCGAUGGAGGUAAAACCCUACUACUGCUUGAUUAAUAUUGAUGAUAGGGGUAGUACAAGAGUAGAUCUACCACGAGAUCAGAGAGGCUAAACCCUAGAAGCUAGUCUAUGGUAUGAUUGUUGUUCGUCCUAUGGACUAAACCCUUCGGUUUAUAUAGACACCGGAGAGGGUUAGGGUUACAGAGAGUCGGUUACAAUGGGAGGAGAUCUCCAUAUCCGUAUCGCCAAGCUUGCCUUCCACGCCAAGGAAAGUUCUAUCCGGACACGGGACGAAGUCUUCAAUCUUGUAUCUUCAUAGUCCAAGAGUCUGGCCAAAGGUUAUAGUCCGGCUAUCCGAACACCCCCUAAUCCAGGACUCCCUAAGUAGCCCCUGAACCAGGCUUCAAUGACGACGAGUCCGGCGCGCAGAUUGUCUUCGGCAUUGCAAGGCGGGUUCCUCCUCCGAAUACUUCAUAGAAGUGUCCGGCUCUACAAGAUAAAUUCCACAUAUUUACAUAGAGAGAAUAGUAUUUACACAAGUCUAAUCUUCUAACGUAUUUCGUAGCAUGACAUCACACCACAGCCAAGCCUUUAUUCGAAUCGUUUUACUGUCCCACCUCAGCACAUUUUGCGAGGCGGUUUCCUUGGCACGUCUUGUCGAAGUAGAGAUCGUGUCCCCUUAAUUUACGGGAUUCUCAUCAAUACGGACAUGGGUAACCCAGUCGUGCCCGUUGGUAUAUUUCCUUGAUCAAAGGCGAGUCCCGAACGGUUACGGGGAGGGCUCUUGGUAUUCGACCCCUUUUAUAGAGACCAAGGCCUUACUCCUUUAUUUCAAUCUCAAUUGAGUUCUCCCUUCGCCUCGAGCUCCAACACCCAAGGUUCCAGAUUCCAGGCGCUUCGGACCUUUGAUGAUGUCCGGUUCUGACCUUCGAGGCCGAUGGAUGCCUUCCUCCGUCAUGGAGGAGGACGUGCUAAAGCUGAGAGAGGCCAGGUUCUUGACCGACGAAAUCUCGCAUAGGCUGCCUGCUCAAGGGAAGGUUAUUCCUACUCCUGAGCCUGGUGAGAGUGUUGUCUUCAUGUCUCACUUCCUCCGAGGGCUCGGCUUCGCAACGGAUCCCUUCCUGAGGGGGCUCAAGUUUUAUUAUGGGCUGGAAUUUCACGACCUAGCUCCGGAGUCCACCCUCCACAUCUCAUCGUUUAUCGUCGUGUGCGAAGCCUUCCUCCAUGUUACUCCACACUUCAGACUAUGGCUUAAGACCUUUAAAGUAGAGCCGAAGAUGAUCGAGGGAUGGCACUCUGAGUGCGGAGGCGCUGUUAUAAGCAAAAAUGCUGACGCUCCAUGACCCGAGGGCUCUUUUCAAGAGGAGUUCAACUUAUGGCAACAAGAGUAGUUUUAUAUCACAGCUCCCAGGGGCACCAAGUGGGUGGCGCCUCCUGCUUUCCGCUCGGGUCCCCCACCACGACUAGCGUCAUGGGUCAAUAAGGGGCUGGACUAGGGGCCGGCGAAGGAUGUCCCCCUGUUGUAGGGCCGCAUCCGAGAUCUCCUAGAAAGGGACAUCUGCCUGGUCGUGGUGACACAGGUUAUGCUAAUUCGCCGAGUUCUGCCCUACAAACGUCGCCCCCUCCGCCAGUGGGAGUUCAAUCCGGAGGGACCGCGAGCUCUCCAACACUUUCUUGGCAUAACGCCCGUGGAGAUGUACAAAUUGUUCUUCGGAUCACAAGUAAUGUGUCCGGAUGCUACGGAGGACGCAGGACUAAGCUGCAAUCGUCCGGAUACUCAAGUAAGUAGCCCUGUCUCCGGACACACCAUCCGUUCAUUCAUCACAACAUCACUCUUAAAAGAGUUGUCUUUGAAACAUGAGUGGGUAGCGAAGGCGAAGUUAAUCAGGUGUCCGGCCCCCCUUCCUGAGACCUCGCCGAAUCCCGUGUUGACCAGGAUGCUGGAGAUUGUUCCUUUGGAAGAGAACGAGGAGGGGGACAAGGGAGCUACCGCCUCCUCGAAGGAGUCUGUUGGGAAAGGAGGAAUCAAAAAUUCCUCUACCCAUGGGAAGAAGAGGACCGCCUCUAAUGACCCAGAGACCAUGGUCUGGAAGCAGGGGAAGAAAUCUUCGGCAGAGGGUCCUGCGCCGGGGGAUACCUCGGCCAUACUGUGCCCCCAAGGGAAUUAGCCCUUCACCGAGCCGUAAGUAGAGAGGGGAGUUUGAAAUGAGAGACACCCCUGUUCUAUUCCUGAGGAGAAUAACCGAAAUUUUACCUUGUAGUUCGGAUCUCAGCCCUUCUCAGCAGAGCUCAUCUUCGGGGGAGCUUCUUCCGGAGAUGAUGGAGAGCGGAACGCCUCCCCCUGUCAUACCGCCUCACGAGGCGGGCGACCCUGAGGUGUCGUCACGGAGGGUUUCUCCGAAUCCGGCAGGGUCGGAAGGCAGUCAUAUGGCCCCCCAAAGCCCUCCAUAUCCGGCCUUUGAAAAAGGCCAUCGGACGAGUUCGGCACCGUCCGGUGCACGGCCGGAGGAGUUGAAGGAUCUGCUCAGGCGAGCGUCUAUCUCAAAAGAGCACCGUACGUUGAUGGGUACGGUGAUUGAAAGGAUUUCAUCCACGGAGAGCGGGUUGCACGAGUCCGUCAGGAGUUUACUGACAGGUUUUCAGGUACGCGAAAUCAUGUACCUUUUGACAGUUCCGCAUAUAUAAGAUGCGCCCUAUGUAGAUAGUAGCCCCUGAGACUCUAUGCGUUGUCAAAAGUGACGGCGCGCAGAGGAUCAUAAUCCCAGGUAUAAUAUGUCGCCCUUCCUAUGUAGGUGGCGAAGUGUCCGGUGGCUAGCCGGACUAAUGAAUUUGCCGAACUAAAGCGGCAACUUGAUGUGGUAGAUGCCGACAUCGCGCUUGUCAACAAGCGGCUUGACGAGGCACAGGGUAUGUAAUUUCUCCGGAGACACCUGGUAAGAGAAGCUUGAUGCCCGUAUCUUACAUCAUGUGUGCUUGAUGCAGAUGGUGCCGCUGCCAUGGAGAACCUUCGGGAGGAACUUGCCCGGGCCAAGGAGCAGGCCAGGAAAAGCGAUGCUGCUGCCUUAAAGGCGGUUGAAGAGCUGAAAGCCGAACAGGCUGCUCACUGCCAAAGCAGAAAGGAAAUGGCCGAGAUGGCUGUAAAGUUGAAGAGCACUGCCGACCGCUGCAAGCUUCUUGAGAAAGAAGAUCAGGAGGAACAGACGGACCUAGAGAAGGCCACUACAGAAGCCAAGGAUGCUCGCUCUACAAUGAGAGCUAUGAAGGAGGAGCUACGUCAGGCCGGAGAUAUCGCGGCUGGACAGCCCUUUAUGCUGCGGAUGAUGUUCGGGGAUCCUAAAUAUGCUCCGUUGGACCGGUUAUGGAGUACGACGGACCCUUAUCUGGAUUUGGCGGCGAGUGUCGCGGACGCGGCCAAACACUUCCGAGAUCAAAAGGAUCGCGAAGUGGAAAAGCUCUUCUGGUCGCACUUCCACAAUCCAGAGCGUCCACUUCCAUUAACCGAUCAUUUAGCCGAAUGGGCCGAGCGGAAUAGGUUAUCCGAACUCGCCAUGAAGUAUGUCGUGAGUCAUCUGUGGCCAGAAAGGCCUGAGCCAAAAAGUUAUUUUAGCUUGGUGCAGCAGUUCCUUGGUGCGGUGCCGCAUAUCAAUGCAAUGAAGAGGUCAGCAUGCAUAGAGGGUGCGCGGAUGGCUCUUGCCCAUGUCAAAACAUACUAGGCGGAGAUGAAAGCCACUACUAUUGCAUCCGACGACUCGGACGGGAGCCGAGUACCUACCAAGCACUAUUUUCAGAAAGUUCUGCAGGGUGCUCGUUUAAUAGAGACGCGGUGCUCGAAGGAUAUUAUGUUCGAAUAACAUGUAUUAUUGUAAAACAAUGUUUUGAUCAAAUAUAAAAGCUUUUGAUACUUGUGCCUUCAAGAAUUUAAAACACCUCCUGUGCGGCUGUUAAUGUAUAUGUGUAUAUAACCUGAAAGAUGGCAGUCUUUGGCUUUAGCCCCCACGCAUAUAAUGCGGGGGUGUUCGCAGAAGGCGCAUUUUCACACUUGAUCCAACAUCUUAGUCCCAUUAAGGAGGUGAUAGCGCAGCGAACUAAUCAACCAGACUAUAAUGCUUUAUCACUUUCACUUAGCCAUAGGAGUUUGCCAGUGGGGCUACUAUAUAGCCCCUGGGGGCACCGCGCUCACCCGAAUUCGGGGCGCGUGUGUGCCUGGCCGGGAAACGACCCUUCGUUAAUACGGAGGAAUCCUAAAGAUUUGGGCGGGUCAUCGAGUGGUUGACCAGUCUCACGCUAUAUCAUGACAGUCAGUUUUCGGCUUUCUCUACUGAGGUGCUCGCGUGGCUGAACCGGGGCACAAUCGCAGUAGUUCUCCUUGUGCCGCCUUAGCCGAUAGAGCGGAACGUAAGGCAGCAAAACACAGGAGCCGGGCAAACCCAACAUUUUACCAAAGACAUGAUUCAGAGCUGAUGCAUAUAAGUCCAAACUCGCGACGUCGAACACUCCCUAAGGUAUUCGGUCUUUUAUGAAAACGGGCGGAACAGCGCCCUUGGUAAUAAGCCCCUGGUGUCCAGGUACGUGCAAAAUUCUAACGUGGCCACAUGCCAAGACGCCAGCCUCCUCCUCGGCUAUACUGAGAAUCCGGGGGACGUGUAUCAACAAGAGACAGUAAAAAAGGUUUACGCAGGGUCUUAAUCUAAAAAGAAUCCUUCGAACAGGUCCCUGCUGCAUGUCUGCGCCUGUGUCUCCGUUGUGCCGUAUCCUGGACGGGUAUAGCAUGGUGUUCAUCUGUAAAAGAGAAGAACUUAGUUGUAAGGGGGUGUACGGCUAUUAAGCCUUUAUCAAUUGUAUGUUUAUGUCAGACUCGUCGAGCCGCGUCCGUGGUCUUGACGACCUAUUUAGGUGCUUUGAUUGGCGAAGCCGCUUUAGUGUGUGGCUCUCAAGGCAGCCGCACAGUCUUCCGCGCGGGGGGAACACUCAAUGUUUCCCUUUAGUGAUAUGAUGCCUCGUGAACUGGGCAUCUUAAGCGUAAGAGAUGCAUAAUGCGGUAUUGCAUUAAAGCGGUCGAAGGCCUCUCGUCCCAGGAGUGCUUGAUAGCUACUUGAAAAAGGGGCGAUGUGGAAGGUUAGCUUUUCGCGGCGGAAGUUAUCAAGGGAGCCGAACAUAACUUCUAGCCGGAGAGAACCCCUGCAAUGGGCAUCCGGGCCUAGCAUUACUCCUUGAAAGGAAGUGUUGCUAUGGCAAAUUUUUGUUGGGUCUAUCCAUAUUUUGCGGAUUGUGUCCUCAUAUAGCAGGUUUAGACCACUGCCGCCGUCCAUCAGGACAUGUGUAAAGUGGAGUCCGUCUAUUAUCUGAUCUAAUAUCAAGGCAGUCUAGCCUGCGUUCUCGAUACUUCUAGAGUAAUCCUGAUGGUCGAAGGUGAUCGGUUUUGACAACCAGUGGCGAGACUCCUUUGGGAUGGGCCGUAUGGCGCAUAUCUCUAUAGGCGCCACUCCUUUUGUCACGUGAAGUAAGUUUACUGUUUUGACUUCUUGUGGGAAAUUCUUUUGUUUCUCGGUGCUCUGCUUGUGGGGUUCGUCAUCGUCCUCACUUGGUGUGUCGAGCCCCUUGUGUUCAGUGUUGAGUUGGUCGGAUUGCUUGAAGACCCAACAUUCUCUAUGGGUAUGGUUUGCAGGCUUCCCGGGGGUGCUGUGGAUUUGACAUAUCUUAUCCAAGAUUUUGUUUAGGUUAGAUAGCUCGUCCCUGUUAUCCUUGAGGGGCAGCUUUUUCUGAUUCUGCCGAGAGCUUUUGAAUCCGGCGUUGACUGUCGUCCUCUUCGAGCUGCUUUCCUUAUUCCGUCGCUGUUCCUUGUUGCGUCGCAGUUUCCCGUUUCCAUCCCUGACUUCGGAUGUACUUGGGUCGCUGGUGUUGUAUCUUGCCAACCAGCUGUCCUCUCCCGUGCAAAAGCGGGUCAUGAGGCUUGUUAAUGCGUUCAUUGUUCUUGGCUUUUCUUGGCCGAGGUGUCUGGCAAGCCAUUCGUCUCGAACGCUGUGUUUGAAAGCUGCUAAGGCUUCGACGUCCGGACAGUCGACUAUCUGGUUCUUUUUAGUAAGAAAUCUGUUCCAGAGUUUCCGGGCUGACUCUCCGGGCUGUUGAGUUAUAUGGCUUAAAUCGUCUGCAUCCGGAGGUCGGACAUAGGUCCCUUGAAAAUUUUCUCGAAAAGCAUCCUCGUUCUCUUCCCAACUUCCAAUGGUGUUUUCGGGAAGGCUUUUAAGCCAAUGCCGGGCUGGCCGUUUGAGUUUGAGGGGCAAGUAUUUUAUGUCGUGGAGGUCGUCUCCUCUGGCCUUGUGUAUGUGGAGGAUAUAAUCCUCAAUCCAGACUCCAGGGUAUGUUGUUCCGUCGUACGCCUCUAUGUUUACGGGCUUGAAUCCCGCUGGAAAUUCAUGGUCUAGCACCUCAUCGAUGAAACAUAGGGGGUGUGCGGCACCCCUGUACUUGGGUGUGCCGUGUUGUUCGGAUAUUUGUUGUGCUUCAUUGCUUACUAGAGCUUGCUUUCUUGGCCCGUAGAUAGAUCUGGCUGGGUCGUCUUUGUGAUGCGAAUCCUUGGGUGGAUCACGUGUUGAUUUGUGUGCGGCGCCAUAUGCCGUUCUAUGAUGGCCAUGGGAUCAUUUAUCCGACCGGGUGGCUUCCUUAUUUUUUUGAUUUUUGGGUCUCUAGGGCCUCCUCAUCAAAUUCGGGCAGUAGCUUUUGCUUCGGGUAGCUCUUUGUGUGGCGACUAUCGCCGUAUUUGUCUGCGGUGUUGAGUACUUUGCUCCAUCUAGUUCUGAGUGCAUCUUCCGCUGUUUUGAGCUUCCACUUCUGCUUUUUCAGGCUACGUGCAGUGGUGAUGAGUCUUUUGUGUUUGUUCUUCUGCUCCAGCAAUUUGUCCGGUGUGAGGUCGUCUGGACUGUUAUCUCCACCGGUGACAGGUUGUUCGGUUUGUUUAUCCAAGUUGCUCUGUUCGGACGGUUGCUCGAUGGCAUGUUCGUCGUCCACCGGUUCGCCCUGCUCUGUGGCCGGGUCUGUAUGGCUGCUGUCUCUGUCGAGGCGGGGCUUGGAGCGGCGGUUACGUCGCCGCUUUGACUGCUUUUCGAGGGAACGAUCCCUCGUUGUGUCCCUUUGUUCCUCGUUGUUUCUUCCUUUAGGUGUGUCCACCAUGGAUACAUCGUGAGAUGAGGUGGUUGUCCAGUGCCCUAUAGGCGCUGGUUCCUGUUCGUCUCCUACAUCAUCGUCCAUACCGUCGAUGUCUUCGGAGUCAAAGUCCAGCAUGUCGGUUAAAUCAUCGACAGUGGCUAUGAAUUGGGUGGUGGGUGGGCGUCGAAUUUCUUCGUCGUCCACAUCCCAAUCCUGUUGGCCAUAAUCCGGCCAGGGCUCUCCUGACAAAGAGAGAGACUUUAGUGAAUUUAGAAUAUCGCCAAAGGGCGAGUGCUGAAAAAUAUCAGCGGCGGUGAAUUCCAUGAUCGGCGCCCAAUCGGGUUCGAUUGGCAAGGGCGCGGAGGGCUCGGAGUCCGGAGAGGAGUCCGGCACCUUGGAGUCACGGGCUUUGCAGAGGAUAAGACUGGUGUUCGGCUCGAUCGCCGUAUAGAUUGCAGCCCCCGAGGCGGUGUCCAGCCAGCCGUCCUCGAUUGGCGCAGUCGGCUCCAAACUAAGGGUCGGAGCGGAUACGGGUGCGGCCUCCAGGGCACUGUUUGUCGGCAGAGCUAGAUCAUGCCCAUCGUGAUAGUGCGGCGCGCUCGGCUGUGCCUCAAAUCCGUCGAAGAUCAAGUCCCUCUAGAUAUUAGCCGCGUAGUUCAAACUUCCAAAUCUGACCUGAUGGCCAGGGGCGUAGCUUUCGAUCUGCUCCAGAUGGCCAAGCGAGUUGGCCCGUAGUGCGAAGCUGCCAAAUACGAAGAUCUGUCCGGCGAGAAAAGUCUCACCCUGGACCGCAUCGUUGUUGAUGAUCGGAGGAGCCAUCGGGCCUAAAAGUGAUGACACGGAGGAACUCUCAAUGAAAGCACCAAUGUCGGUGUCAAAACCGGCGGAUCUCGGGUAGGGGGUCCCGAACUGUGUGUCUAGUCGGAUGGUAACAGGAGACAAGGGACACGAUGUUUUUACCCAGGUUCGGGCCCUCUCGAUGGAGGUAAAACCUUACUCCUGCUUGAUUAAUAUUGAUGAUAGGGGUAGUACAAGAGUAGGUCUACCACGAGAUCAGAGAGGCUAAACCCUAGAAGCUAGCCUAUGGUAUGAUUGUUGCUCGUCCUAUGGACUAAAACCUUCCGGUUUAUAUAGACACCGGAGAGGGUUAGGGUCACACAGAGUCGGUUACAAUGGGAGGAGAUCUACAUAUCCGUAUCGCCAACUUUGCCUUCCACGCCAAGGAAAGUCCUAUCCGGACACGGGACGAAGUCUUCAAUCUUGUAUCUUCAUAGUCCAAGAGUCCGACCAAAGGUUAUAGUCCGGCUAUCCGAACACCCCCUAAUCCUGGACUCCCUUAGUGACCCCGUAUGUUGAUGAACACAAGAACAGUCUGCGCUCCAAACACCUGGAGCAGUGUGACGACUGGAUUACAUGUGAACACAUCAGGACUUUCAGCACUUGGUUGGAAACACGUCUCAGAGGUGAAACCACUGUUUGUGAUGAGUUGUACUCGUUGUCCACGGGACCAUCUUCGACUGUAUUGAGUUACAAAGGAUACGAGAUAAAUGGGAAUACAUUUUACACGAUCGCCCAAGAUCAAAAGAGCACCAACCAAAACAGCAGUGCCCGCUUUGAUGCAGUAACCGAGAGGGGAAAGGUCACAUAUUAUGGUUACAUAAUGGACAUAUGGGAACUUGACUACAGACAUGAUUUUAUGGUCCCUUUGUUUAAGUGCAAAUCGGUUAAUCUAUCAGGAGGCGGGGUACAGGUAGACCCACAGUACGGAAUGACAACAGCGGAUCUGAACAAUCUUGGGUACACUGACGAACCGUUCGUCCUAACCAAUGAUGUGGCACAGGUUAUAUAUGUGAAGGACAUGUCUACCAAACCGAGAAAAAGAAAAGAUAAGGAAGUGAAUACAUCAUACGAUGAGCCAAAGCGCCACAUAGUUCUUUCAGGAAAAAGGGACAUUGUGGGAGUGGAGGGCAAUACAGACAUGUCUAAAGAUUAUGAAAAGUUUCAUGAAAUUCCUCCCUUCAAUGUCAAGGCUGACCCAAGCAUCCUGAUAAACGAUGAAAAUUAUCCAUGGUUACGGCGCAAUAAGCAAAGCACACAAGCGAAAAAAAAGUGAAGACUUUCUCUCCACAACUAUUAUGAUGAUACCAUGCCAACUUUCAACCUUUUCAUACUUCAUAUGAAAUGGCUGUUGUAACAGACGAGUUUCUGUAAGAAAUCCUGAUACUUCGAAACAGAUUGUCCGUUUUGUACACGAAGUGCAUCUCGUUUUUGCCGUAACCCUCUCUAGUUUUUGCACAUGCUAUGUGGGUGAAAUGAUGAUACCAUGCCAACUUUCAACCUUUCCAGAGUUCAUUUGUAGUGCUUUUCAAUUUCAUGGUCUCAUGAAAUAAUCCGUAAAUGCAUGGAAAAUAACAAAUAUCAUAAAAAUAAAUAAAUAAGUAAUUAGAAACAGAAUAAACUAAACUUUAAUAAAAUAUAUAAGUAGAAACAAAAUAAGAUAAACUUUAAUAACAUAAAUAAAAUUUAUGAAACUAAAAUUAUCAACGUAUUUUCUGUUCAAAACAUUAUAAGCAACCUCUAGUAUUAUUGAAACUAAAAUUAUAUAAAAUUGAUGCAACUAAAAUUAUCAAAGUUUUUCUGUUUAAAAUCAUUAAAAGCAAAAAGAAUUUUCAUAAAUAACUUUUUUUGUUAGAAACUUUAAUAGCAAAAAGAAUUAUCAUAAAAUAAAAUAAAUAAGUAAUUAGAAACAAAAUUAAAAAAUAAAUAAGUAUUUUGUUGUAAGUAGAAACAAAAUGAAUAAAUAAAGCAAAAUAGAAAAGAACUAAACUAGGAGAAAAUAAAAAAAUGCCACCUACUGGGCCACCAUGGCCUGAAUACGACUAGAAACCAACCCAUGGGCAAGGAUUCAUGCCCGUAGAAGGCCCAAUAGGACCACAGGCAGAUACAAUGUGUUUAGGCCCGAAAGCCUGCAUUUGAGAGGAGCUCGAGAGGGCAGCGGGAGUGGGGCUUAUAAACCACUCUCGAGCUCCCUCAGCUAGCGAGGUGGGACAAAACUUUCGUGCUGCGAUGCGGGCAGCACAAGGCCUUUAGUCCUGGUUGGUGCCACCAACCAGUACUAAAGGCGUACAUUGGUACCGGUUCAUGCCAACAACCGGUACCAAUGCGCACCCUUUAGUCCCGGUUUGUGGCUCCAACCGGGACCAAAGGCCUCUACUUCCCGCCCUUUGGGCUGCUGAAAAGCGACCUUUGGUCCCGGUUGGUGGCUCCAACCGAGACUAAAGGGGUGCUUUGGUCCCGGUUGCUGCCACGAACCGAUGCUACCUCUUGAGCACUGCGUUGGUUUNNNNNNNNNNCUCAGCUAGCGAGGUGGGACAAAACUUUCGUGCUGCGAUGCGGGCAGCACAAGGCCUUUAGUCCUGGUUGGUGCCACCAACCAGUACUAAAGGCGUACAUUGGUACCGGUUCAUGCCAACAACCGGUACCAAUGCGCACCCUUUAGUCCCGGUUUGUGGCUCCAACCGAGACUAAAGGGGUGCUUUGGUCCUGGUUGCUGCCACGAACCGAUGCUACCUCUUGAGCACUGCGUUGGUUUUUCCAUGAAGAGGAAAGGGUGAUGCAGCAAAGUAGCAUAAGUAUUUCUCUUAGUUUUUGAGAACCAAGGUAUCAAUCCAGUAGGAGGCUACGCGCGAGUCCCUCGUACCUACACAAAACAAAUAAAUCCUCGCGACCAACGCGAUAAGGGGUUGUCAAUCCCUACACGGUCACUUACGAGAGUGAGAUUUGAUAGAUAUGAUAGGAUAAUAUUUUUGGUAUUUUUGUGAUAAAGAUGCAAAGUAAAAUAAAAGCAAAGUAAAAAAGCAAAGUAAAUAACUAAGUGUUGGAAGAUUAAUAUGAUGAAGAUAGACCCGGGGGCCAUAGGUUUCACUAGUGGCUUCUCUCAAGAGCAUAAUUAUUUUACGGUGGGUGAACAAAUUAUUGUUGAGCAAUUGACAGAAUUGAGCAUAGUUAUGAGAAUUUCUAGGUAUGAUCAUAUAUAUAGGCAUCACGUCCGAGACAAGUAGACCGACACUGGUAGAAAAAGGGCCUGUUGUCCUGGUUCGUAAGGGCCUUUUGUCCCGGUUUUGGAACCGGGACUAAAGGGUCGGUACUAAUGCCCUGUCCCUUUAGUCCCGGUUCAAUCCAGAACCGGGAUAGAUGGGCCUCCACGUGGCCUGUGCGCGGAGCCUAGGCAGGAGACCCUUUGGUCCCGGUUGGUGGCACCAACCGGGACCAAUAGGCAUCCACGCGUCAGCAUUUCUAUGGCUGGGGUUUUUGUUUUUUUUAAAGGGGGGGGGGGUUGGGGGUUUUGGGGGGUUAAUUUAGGUGUUUCAUAUAUUGUGUUAGCUAGCUAUAAUUAAUAGAGAGAAGUGUCCUCUCUUAUGUCCGUGCUUGGUCGACGCUACGUACUAUACAUACGUAUAGAGAGGACUAGACACGCUAGCUAGCUAGUAAGCAAACGAAGGAAACAGAAGAUCGUCAUGAACAUAUAUGCAUACAGAGAGAAGUGAUAUCGACCACCUCUCCUUCUCUGAGAGAUCGGUCGAACAACAAGUUCUCGUAUAUCUAUCUGACACUACCGGCUACAUAUAUACAAUAAUUAUCUCUUACAAAUAUAAUCAUACGGACUCAGGGUCCACAUAGUAUUCUCCGUCUUCAACGAUCACAUGGUCAAGAAAGAAUGCUGCCAAUUCCUCUUGAAUUGCUCGCAUGCGAGCUGAUUCUAGGAGUUCAUCCCGCUUCCGAAACAUCUAAUUUAAAGAAGGGGGUCAAUACAUAUAUAUAUGAAUGAAUGAAACUCAACACAAAUGAUGGUAAUAAAAUAAAAUUGUGAAUGUUGUUAUUUACGUACUUCAUAUUGUUCGUCAGUGUAGCCCCGCUCACAGGUCGUGUCGCGGAUGGACUCGCAAAUGUAGUAUCCACAGAAAUCAUUCCCUUGUUCCUGCCACAACCACUUUACAAUAAAUAGAGGUCAAUCAAGCUGAUAAGCAAGAAUGCCAAAUGGUAUUGAUGAAACUAGCACUUGAAUCACUAGUAGAUGCGCGGAACAUGCUACUAUAGUACUUACUAUCGGGUGUCUAAAUUGCAGCUCCUUCGGCAGUCCCGGAGCUUUUCUGGUGAAUUUUCUCCAAACCCUGCUGGACAAAGAAAACAAUUACUUGAUAUAUCAGGAAAUGAACAAAGUUGCUGAUAUGGUGGAUAAUGAUCGAUUUAACUUACUUCUCGAGUAUUUGAGUCAUGUCUGCAUAGUCCUGGGGAUCUUUUCGUCUUGAGUCUAAGACGGUUACUAGUCCCUGCUCAAGCUUAAUCUCUAGGAGAAUAUAGUGGAAACUGCACACGCAUGCAUAACUCAUCAAUUACAUUACUAUAACCUUGACUAGUAUAUAAGGGAAACCGAAUACGCACAAGACAGUAACACUCACUUGAAGUUGUAAGGAAAGAGUAUUAUAUCUUUGUUUUCAUUUAUUACCAACAAUCGUAACAAGUUGGCCUCGGUAGUUGCGGCAUGAAAUUUAACUUGAGUUGCAUCUAUGAGAUAUGUGUUAAUGAACCCAAUAUCACUGACUUGUCUUUUCUUCAAUUCAGCGAUCUUCAAUCUGCAUAAUAUAGUGAGGAUGAUUAUAAAUACAUGCAAUGAAAGAGCUGAGCUAUAUAGAGAGACUUAAUGACAGAAGUAGUACUACUUACAGACAGUAGCAGGCGACCGUUGGUUUAUCGAUGACCAAUUGAUUUAAAAACUGAAAGAACUCCUCAAAUGGAACAGGCAACAGUUCAAUUUCAACGAGGUCAUGCUCCUUUUUAACUUUCACAUACAAAGUACUCCUCCCCCCAGAGUCUCUGCAGAUUUUCAAGUACCAAUCAUGCAAUCUUCGCAUCAUCAUUGAUAGAGAUCUUUCAUCUUUGACAAGAGGCUUCCCGUACUCGUAUCUUUGUAUCUGCACCUCCAUGAAAUCAUAAUGUACAUUGUCGAGCAGGUAAUCGCCAAGAUUUCUAUAACCGGGCACCAUCCUCGGAUCAUUAGCGACAUUGUCGCUAGGCACCUUGAGCGGGGGGCACGAUUGAUUCGCUUGUUCGCCGAGCUAGGCAAUUUGUUUCCCAGCUCGUCGUUCUUUCAGCCUUUGAUCACUGACAGUACUUCCCGACCGCUCCGCUUUGGCAAAUUCCUUUCCAAUAAUGCGCUCAUAGUUUCCUUUUGGCGGAGACUUGGGUGGUUUUGUCAGGGCAGCCAGAGUGCGCUUCGAUUUCACCGGAUCUACCUUCUCCUCCGGAGGUGGAUGUUUCUUUGCUUUCACCCCUUCAAAUUAGUUCCUCACUUCUUCUCGUGCAAUCUCAGCGUUCUCCUCUGGGGUCCUCUCGUAUGGUAACUUCUGUGGAGUCUUCAGAGAAGGACCAAAUCUGUAUUUCCUCCCGCCACUGGCUGUACUGCUAGACGCCGACCGAGCAGACGGACCGGUUGUCUUCUUUACUUGCUUAUAAGGCAGAGGAGAAGGACUACGACGCGCCGGAGCAGCCGGAGCGGUGGCAGGUCUCUUCCGCCCUUGCUGACGAGGGGGAGAAGGAGGAGGCUGGCUGCUCGGGCGCAUCGGUGCAGGCGGAGAAGGAGGCGGAGUGCCGCCACGCGGUGGAGAAGGAGCCGGUUGAGUGCCCUGAUCGUCACUCGCCGGAGGAGGAGGCGGUGGAGGAGGCGGAGUGCCCUGACUCGCCGGAGGAGGAGGCGGUGGAGGAGGCAGAGUGCCCUGUCUUGCCGGAGGAGGAGGAGGCAGAGGCGUCCAGUUCGGAAGGUUGAGGAGCUCCUUCCGCCAUAGGCAUGGAGUCUUCAGCGCAGACCCCAGCCUAGUCUCCCCUUCACCGGUAGGGUGGUUAAGACGGAGGUCCUCAAAAUAGUUGCGGGAGAAAGUCUUCACUUUUUCUUCGCUUGUAUCAUUUGCUUAUUGCGCCGUAACCAUGGAUAAUCUUCAUUGUUUAUCAGGAUGCUUGGGUCAGCCUUGACAUUGAAGGGAGGAAUUUCAUGAAACUUUUCAUAAUCUUCAGACAUGUCUGUCUUGCCGUCCACUCCCAGGAUGUCCCUUUUUCCUGAAAGAACUAUGUGGCGCUUUGGCUCAUCGUAUGAUGUAUUCGCUUCUUAUCUUUUCUUUUUCUCGGUUUGGUAGACAGGUCCUUCACAUAGAUAACAUGUGCCACAUCAUUGGCUAGGACGAACGGUUCGUCAGUGUAUCCAAGAUUUUUCAGAUCCACUGUUGUCAUUCCGUACUGUGGGUCUACCUGUACCCCGCCGCCUAACAGAUUGACCCAUUUGCACUUAAACAAAGGGACGUUAAAAUCAGGUCCGUAGUCAAGUUCCCAUAUGUCCACUAUGUAACCAUAAUAUGUGUCCUUUCCGCUCUCGGUUGCUGCAUCAAAGCGGACACCGCUGUUUUGGUUGGUGCUCUUUUGAUCUUGGGCGAUCGUGUAAAAUGUAUUCCCAUUUAUCACGUAUCCUUUGUAAGUCAAUACAGCAAAGAUGGUCCCCUGGACAACAAGUACAACUCAUCAUAAACAAUGUUGUCACCUCUGAGACGUGUUUCCAACCAACUGCUGAAAGUCCUGAUGUGUUCACAUGUAAUCCAGUCGUCGCACUGCUCCAGGUGUUUGGAGCGCAGACUGUUCUUGUGUUCAUCGACAUACGGGGUCACCAAGGUAGAGUUCUGUAGAACUGUGUAGUUUGCUUGAGACCAAGAAUAUCCGUCCCUGCAUAUUAUUGAGUCUCUUCCAAGAGUGCCUUUUCCAGUCAGUCUCCCCUCAUACGGCGAUUUAGGGAGACCUAUCUUCUUAAGGCCAGGAAUGAAGUCAACACAAAACCCGAUAACAUCCUUUGUUUGAUGGCCCAUGGAGAUGCUUCCUUCUGGCCUAGCGCGGUUACGGACAUAUUUCUUUAGGACUCCCAUGAACCUCUCAAAGGGGAACAUACUUUGUAGAAAUACGGGCCCCAGGAUGACAAUCUCAUCGACUAGAUGAACUAGGACGUGCGUCAUGAUAUUGAAGAAGGAUGGUGGGAACACCAGCUCGAAACUGACAAGACAUUGCGCCACAUCACUCCUUAGCCUUGGUACGAUUUCUGGAUCGAUCACCUUCUGAGAGAUUGCAUUGAGGAAUGCACAUAGCUUCACAAUGGCUAAUCGGACGUUUUCCGGCAGAAGCCCCCUCAAUGCAACCGGAAGCAGUUGCGUCAUAAUCACGUGGCAGUCAUGAGACUUUAGGUUCUGAAACUUUUUCUCUGGCAUAUUUAUUAUUCCCUUUAUAUUCGACGAGAAGCCAGUCGUGACCUUCAUACUGAGCAGGCAUUCAAAAAAGAUUUCUUUCUCUUCUUUCAUAAGAGUGUAGCUGGCAGGACCUUUAUACUGCUCCGGAGGCAUGCCGUCUUUUUCGUGCAAACGUUGCAGGUCCUCCCGUGCCUCAGGUGUAUCUUUUGUCUUCCCAUACACGCCCAAGAAGCAUAGCAGGUUCACGCAAAGGUUCUUCGUCACGUGCAUCACGUCGAUUGAGGAGUGGACCUCUAGGUCUUUCCAGUAGGGUAGGUCCCAAAAUAUAGAUUUCUUCUUCCACAUGGGUGCGUGUCCCUCAGCGUCAUUCGGAACAGCUAGUCCACCGGGACCCUUUCCAAAGAUUACGUAGUGUAAAUCAUUGACCAUAGCAAGCACGUGAUCACCGGUGCGCACAGCGGGCUUCUUCCGGUGAUCUGCCUCGCCUUUGAAAUGCUUGCCUUUCUUUCGACAUUGAUGGUUGGUCGGAAGAAAUCGACGAUGGCCCAGGUACACAUUCUUCCUGCAUUUGUCCAGGUAUAUACUUUCAGUGUCAUCUAAACAGUGCGUGCAUGCGUGGUAUCCUUUGUUUGUCUGUCCUGAAAGGUUACUGAGAGCGGGCCAAUCGUUGAUGGUCACGAACAUCAACGCCUUAAGGUUAAAUUCCUCAUGUCUGUGCUCAUCCCACGUAUGUACACCAUUUCCAUUCCACAGUUGUAAAAGUUCUUGAACUAAUGGCCUUAGGUACACAUCAAUUUCGUUGCCGGGUUGCUUAGGGCCUUCGAUGAGAACUGGCAUCAUAAUGAACUUCCGCUUCAUGCACAUCUAAGGAGGAAGGUUAUACAUACAUAGAGUCACGGGCCAGGUGCUGUGAUUGCUGCUCUGCUCCCCGAAAGGAUUAAUGCCAUUCGCGCUUAAAGCAAACCAUACAUUCCUUGGGUCCUUUGCAAACUCAUCCCAGUACUUUCUCUCGAUUUUUCUCCACUGCGACCCGUCAGCGGGUGCUCUCAACUUCCCAUCUUUCUUUCGGUUCUCACUAUGCCAUCGCAUCAACUUGACAUGCUCUUCAUUUCUGAACAGACGUUUCAACUGUGGUAUUAUAGGAGCAUACCACAUCACCUUCGCAGGAACCCUCUUCCUGGGGGGCUCGCCGUCAACAUCACCAGGGUCAUCUCGUAUGAUCUUAUACCGCAAUGCACCGCAUACCGGGCAUGUGUUCAGAUCCUUGUAUGCACCGCGGUAGAGGAUGCAGUCAUUAGGGCAUGCAUGUAUCUUCUCCACCUCCAAUCCUAGAGGGCAUACGACCUUCUUUGUUGCGUAUGUACUGACGGGCAAUUCGUUAUCCUUUGGAAGCUUCUUCUUCAAUAUUUUCAGUAGCUUCUCAAAUCCUUUGUCAGCCACAGCAUUCUUUGCCUUCCACUGCAGCAAUUCCAGUAUGGUGCCGAGCUUUGUGUUGCCAUCUUUGCAAUUGGGGUAUAACCCUUUUUUGUGAUGCUCUAACAUGCGAUCGUACUUUAGCUUCUCCUUUUGACUUUCACAUUGCGUCCUUGCAUCGACAAUGACCCGACGGAGAUCAUCAUCAUCGGGCACAUCGUCUGGUUCCUCUUGAUCUUCAGCAGCUUCACCCAUUGCAGCAUCAUUGGGCACAUCGUCUGGUUCCUCUUGAUCUUCACCAGCUUCCCCCGUUGCAGCAUCACCGUAUUCAGGGGGCACAUAGUUGUCAUCGUACUCUUCUUCUUCGUCGUCUUCCAUCAUAACCCCUAUUUCUCCGUGCCUCGUCCAAACAUUAUAGUGUGGCAUGAAACCCUUGUAAAGCAGGUGGGAGUGAAGGAUUUUCGGUUAGAGUAAGACCUCGUAUUCCCACAUUCAGUGCAUGGACAACACAUAAAACCAUUCUGGUUGUUUGCCUCAGCCGCAUCGAGAAACUCAUGCACGCCCUUAAUGUACUCGCGGGUGUGUCUGUCACCGUACAUCCAUUGCCGGUUCAUCUGCGUGCAUUAUAUAUAAUUAAGUGUCCAAAUUAAUAGAAGUUCAUCAUCACAUUAAAACCAAAGUGCAUACAUAGUUCUCAUCUAACAACAUAUAGCUCUCCAGAGCAUCUAAUUAAUUAAACCAUACAUUGAAACUAUGUAAAACAUUUCAGUGCGAAAACAAAUGCGAUCAUAAUCGCAACCAAGGUAACAAUUGAUCCAACAGCAUAAUGAUACCAAGCCUCGGUAUGAAUGGCAUAUUUUCUAAUCUUUCUAAUCUUCAAGCGCAUUGCAUCCAUCUUGAUCUUGUGACCAUCGACAACGUCCGCAACAUGCAACUCACAUAUCAUCUUCUCCUCAAUUUUUUUUAUUUUUUCCUUCAACAAAUUGUUUUCUUCUUCAACUAAAUUUAACCUCUCAACAAUAGGGUCGGUUGGCAUUUCCGAUUCACAUACAUCCUACAUAAAUAAAAUCUAUGUCACGUUGGUCGGCAUAAUUUUCAUAAACAAUAAAUGAACCAAUAGUUAUAAAGAUAAUAUAUAUACCACAUCCGAAUCAUAGACAGGACGAGGGCCGACGGGGGCGGAUACCAAAACCAUCGCUCUAUAUAAGAUGCAAUAAUAAUAGUAAGAAAAUAAUACAAGUAUCUAUGUAAACAUGCAAGUAAGAAUAUUUUUCCUUUCAGAAAGAAGAUAAGAACAAGAGGCUCACCACGGUGGUGCGGCGAUGAGCUCGGUGCGGGUGAUCAACGGCGGUGAAGACGGGGACGGGGCGUGACGGACCACUAAACCUAGACAAAUAUUAUGGAAAAUGGAGCUUGGAGGUCGAGCUUGGAGAGGAGAAAGCUUAAGUAGUGUGGCUCGGGCAUUCCAUCGAACACCGUGUGUGCAUAGGAGGUGAGCUACAGCACCACCAAGCCCUCUCCCCCUCGGCCAGAGAAAAACAGAGCACUGGGGUGCUCUGCUCGCGAGCGAGGGGUAUAUAUAGGCACCUCAUUCGUCCCGGUUGGUGACUUGAGCUGGGACUAAAGGGGAGCCUUUGGUCCCGGUUCAAGCCACCAACCGGGACCAAUGGUGGUGGGCCAGGAGCGAGGCCCAUUGGUCCCGGUUCAUCCCACCAACCGGGACCAAAAGGUCCAAAUGAACCGGGACCAAUGGCCCACGUGGCCCGGCCGGCCCCCUGGGCUCACGAACCGGGACCAAUGCCCACAUUGGUCCCGGUUCUGGACUGAACCGGGACUAAUGGGCUGACCCGGCCUGGACCAAAGCCCUGUUUUCUACUAGUGCGACUCCUGCCUGCAUCUACUACUAUUACUCCACUCAUCGACCGCUAUCCAGCAUGCAUCUAGAGUAUUAAGUUCAUAAAAACAGAGUAACGCCUUAAGCAAGAUGACAUGAUGUAGAGGGAUAAAUUCAUGCAAUAUGAUAAAAAAAACCAUCUUGUUAUCCUCGAUGGCAACAAUACAAUACGUGCCUUGCUUCCCCUACUGUCACUGGGAAAGGACACCGCAAGAUUGAACCCAAAGCUAAGCACUUCUCCCAUUGCAAGAAAGAUCAAUCUAGUAGGCCAAACCAAACUGAUAAUUCGAAGAGACUUGCAAAGAUAACCAAUCAUACAUAAAAUAAUUCAGAGAAGAUUCAAAUAUUGUUCAUAGAUAAACUUGAUCAUAAACACAGAAUUCAUCGAUCUCAACAAACACACCGCAAAAGGAAGAUUGCAUCGAAUAGAUCUCCAUGAGAGAGGGGGAGAAGAUUGUAUUGAGAUCCAAAAAGAGAGAAGAAGCCAUCUAGGUAAUAACUAUGGACCCGAAGGUCUGAGGUAAACUACUCACACUUCAUCGGAGGGGCUAUGGUGAUGAUGUAGAAGCCCUCCGUGAUCGAUGCCCCCUCCGGCGGAGCUCCGGAACAGGCCCCAGGAUGAGAUCUCGUUGGUACAGAAGGUUGCGGUGGUGGAAUUAGGGUUUUGGCUCCGUUUGAUAUUCUUUUUCUGCGAAACUCUGAAAUAGGCAAAAAACAAUGAUUCUAGGCUGGGCCCCUGGUUAAUAGGUUAGUCCCAAAAAUAAUAUAAAAGUGAAUAAUAAAGGCCAAUAAUGUCCAAAACAGUAGAUAAUAUAGCAUGGAGCAAUAAAAUAUUAAAGAUACGUUGGAGACGUAUCAACCCCGCGUCGGUCAUCGGCCCGGUCCGCGCCGCCCUGCAUCGUCACCGCCCCAGUCCGCGACAUCGCCAAAGCCGCCCCCAGUGAGCCCCAGCCCCCGCGCCCCUGCCUUGCCCCCCAUCACCACCGGCGCCGCCGUGGCCACCAUAAAAAAUAUAUGAUUAGAUGGUUUUUUUCAUAGAUGUGAUUUUUUUGUUCAUAUAUCAUAUGAUGUUUUUAUAUUGUUCAUAGAUGAUCGAUCAUAUUUGUUCAUAUGUAUGCAAGCGAAGUCGUUGUAGUUAGUUGUACUGUUUAGGGUUAGGGUCGUCGAGGAAAUAAAUUAAGGAAAGAAGAAAAGAGGAAGAAAAGAGGAAGAAGGAAGAAGAAGAAAAAUAAGAAGAGGACGAAGAAGAAGAAAAAAAGAGGAAAAGGAGAAGGAAUAGAGGAGAAGAAAAAAAUAGAUCUAUUUUUUUCUUCUCCUCUAUUCCUUCUCCUUCUCCUUUUUUUUCUUCUUCUCCUCUUUUUUUUCUUCUUCUUCCUCUUCUUAUUUUUUAUCGGGUAUGUCAUUGUCGAUAUACCCCCUCCCCGAUAACUUUGACAUGAGGGGGGGCGAUAAUUAAUAGAACUAGUUAAACAACUUUAUUUUUAGUAAGUACUACUUUAUUUUAUUUAUAGUAAGUGCUUAGUAGUUGAACUAGUUGAUUUAAUAAAACUACUUUAUUUUACUAUAGAAGUAGUUUAUUUUUAGUAAGUUCUACUUUAUUUCAUUUAUAGUAAGUGCUUAGUAGUUGAACUAGUUGAUUUAAUAAAACUACUUUAUUUUACUAUAUAUAGAAGUAGUUUAUUUUUAGUAAGUACUACUUUAUUUUAUUUAUAGUAAGUGCUUAAUUAGUAGUUGAACUAGUUGAUUUAAUAAAACUACUUUAUUUUACUAUAGCAGUAGUUUAUUUUUAGCAAGAAAAUUAAUAGAACUAGUUUAUUUUUUAGUUCAAGCAAUUAUUCCCGCAUNNNNNNNNNNUCUUAUUUUUUAUCGGGUAUGUCAUUGUCGAUAUACCCCCUCCCCGAUAACUUUGACAUGAGGGGGGGCGAUAAUUAAUAGAACUAGUUAAACAACUUUAUUUUUAGUAAGUACUACUUUAUUUUAUUUAUAGUAAGUGCUUAGUAGUCGAACUAGUUGAUUUAAUAAAACUACUUUAUUUUACUAUAGAAGUAGUUUAUUUUUAGUAAGUUCUACUUUAUUUCAUUUAUAGUAAGUGCUUAGUAGUUGAACUAGUUGAUUUAAUAAAACUACUUUAUUUUACUAUAUGUAGAAUUAGUUUAUUUUUAGUAAGUACUACUUUAUUUUAUUUAUAGUAAGUGCUUAAUUAGUAGUUGAACUAGUUGAUUUAAUAAAACUACUUUAUUUUACUAUAGCAGUAGUUUAUUUUUAGCAAGAAAAUUAAUAGAACUAGUUUAUUUUUUAGUUCAAGCAAUUAUUCCCGCAUCGACGUCGAGGAUGCCUGUCCCACAUCCUCGUCGUCGACUCGACGGAGGAGGCCGGCUUGAUCAGAGGGGCCACGUCCGGGACUAGGCUCCGCCGGGCUGGUAUUGGGAGGUGCUACCUUUCGAGGGACGUAGGUUGGUGAGGAGCCAGCCCGUCGUUGACCCGAUUGUCGGUGUCAAAACCGGCGGAUCUCGGGUAGUGGGUCCCGAACUGUGCGGCUAGGCCGGAUGGUAACAGGAGGCAGGGAACACGAUGUUUUACCCAGGUUCGGGCCCUCUUGAUGGAGGUAAAACCCUACGUCCUGCUUGAUUAAUAUUGAUGAUAUAGGUAGUACAAGAGUAGAUCUACCACGAGAUCAAGGAGGCUAAACCCUAGAAGCUAGCCUAUGGUAUGAUUGUUGUAUAUGGAGUUGAUUGCCUACGGACUACAACCCUCUGGUUUGUAUAGACACCGGAUAGGGUUAGGGUUACAUAGAGUCGGUUACAAUGGUAGGAGAUCUUGAAUAUCCGCAUCGCCAAACUUUCCUUCCACGCCAAGGAAAGUCCCAUCCAGACACGGGACGAAGUGUUCAAUCUUGUAUCUUCAUAGUCCUGGAGUCCGGCUGAAGGUAUAGUCCGGCUACCCGAACACCCCCUAAUCUAGGACUCCCUCAGUAGCCCCCGAACCAGGCUUCAAUGACAACGAGUCCGGCGCGCAGAUUGUUCGGCAUUGCAAGGCGGGUUCUUCUCCAAAUCUUGUGUACCUGUAGGAAUAAUGUCUGAUUUUUGUAAUGUAGUGCUCCUCGGCUUCCACGCCCAAUAAUGGCCGUCUUCCACGUGUCAAACGAAUGUGAAAUGCCGAGGCGUUUUUACAUCCACACCCCUAGCCAUAUAAACGAGCCGCCUAUUUAACGGGAUGGGGAUUUAGGUCCAAACCACAUCUUCUCCUUUCCGCGAGUUAUCAUCAGAGCGCUUCCAGCAAAGGUCCAUUCCAACAUGACCAGCCAUCGCAGCUCCUCCCCUCGCCCCUCCGGUCCCAAACCUGGGGACUGGGAGAGUUGCACCAUCCCGCAUAGAGAGUUAGUGUCGCUUCAGGCCAAGGGAUUUCUCCCUCGGGCAUACAUGGUCCCGGUCCGAGCCGGUCUCGCCACCUACAAUGGCGGAAAACAAGCGGAGAUCACCCCCAAUCCUUCUAAAGGAGAGUGGGUGUGCCUCGUCCCCUAUCUAAUCAGGGUACUGGGGUUUCCAAUUCAUCCAUUUCUCCAUGGGCUUCUGGAGUUGUAUGGCCUCCAGCUGCACAAUCUCACUCCCGCCUCCGUAUUGCAUAUUGCGGGUUUCGUCGCCCUUUGCGGGCUAUUUUUAGGCGUUGAGGCUCACUUCGCGCUGUGGAAGAGGUUAUUCUGCCUGGUGCCUCGUUCUCAAGAGGGGUCUAUAUACCAAGUGGGCGGAGCCGAAGUAUGGCGCAUCGCCGGGACCGGAUACCUAUCCGGAACCCCAAAGAAGGCGUCCGAGUACUGGCCUUCGGAAUGGUUUUACAUAGAUGAUGUCCCGCUACCGGACCCUAUCCGGGUCGGUCUCCCUGAGUUCAAUAGUGCUCCAUUGAAGAAACGCUUGAGCUGGCGUCCGUGGAGCUCUCAGAGAGAAAGUGACAGAGACGUCCUUUACCUGAUGGGCCGGAUAAGACUGUUGGCUCAUUCCGGACUAACCAUGAUUGGAGUCAUGGCCGCAUGCAUUAUGCGGGGGGUGCAGCUGCUUCAAUAUAGAGGCCACCCCAUGUGGGAUUUCAACGGGGAGGAUGACGCCACACGUUACGGUCGUAAGGGGCCGGCCUCAGCCGCCGCCUUAGUAAAGAUCUUAUCCUCUUUGUACAAGGGAGAAAAGGAGGAAUUCCUCCACGUCAACCCGCGGGCCGGAUUCAGUAUGUACGAUCCUCCAAGUUGGGUAAGUGAACAAUUGUGCUUGCCUGUUUGUUUUAUACUCCCAUGGUUAGAUAGGUAGUCUGAUGACUUCAAUGCAGGAACUGCGACAGGAGGUAAAGGAUAUAAACAGCCACCCUCCACAGCCCAAGGACCCAGAACGGUCCCUCAAUCCGGACUCCCAAGAGGAUCCAGACAUAUCGGUGGAGCUUAUCGAUGGGGUGUUCCAUCAGCUAAGAAAGGACAAUACCUUGGUAGCCAUUACGGCGGAUUACCCAGGGUUAAUCCUGGCCUCUCAGGUGAUAGAAACCGGGGUCUUAUUCCCUUGAAAGGGAUUCCACCCUUACGUAGCCCGGUGUUUCUGACGACAACCAUGUUUUGCAGGGGAGAUUUCCGAGGCAGGAGGCCGAACCUGCGGCGGCUAGCCAACAAGGGGCCGCAGGGCCCCAUGGGGUAAAAAGGAAUGUAAUCCGAACUGAGAUGCCGGCGCAAAGGUAUAGUGCACCCUCUGUUUCCCUGGAGUUAUUCUGUUAGGGCAUAUUAACAUUCGUGCUACCUUCAGAACGAAGAGACCUCGCCGGACUACAUCCAGAGAGGUUGCCAAUCGCGCCUCCACCAGCCAGGCUCCAACGUCUGGCCAGGAAGCGGAGGCGAGCACAAGGCGCGCACCGGACGCUCCUCCGACAGAGGAUGCGGACAGGCUGUCUGCCACAAAUUCUGAAGUGGAGAGUGCCAUGAACCACAGGCAUCACCGGACAAUUCUACGCGAUGCUUGUUUCUCCCAAGAGGCUUUAGAUGCCUUUAAUUCAGGAGAUGCGUACCUCCGUGCCGCUCAAAAUGGUUUAGCCAGAGCCACAGAGCAGUAUGUAAAAGACAUACGGGUAAGAAAAUUUUGGUUAAAUAUAUAUAUGCCUGUAGCCCCCGAGACUUCAAGCAGUCAGACCAACUGAUUUAAGGAUCAUUUAAUAUGCAGCUUCUUACAGAGAAGAAUGCCGUACUAUCCCAGGAGCUGGAAAAGUGCAAGGCCCAUCUAAAGGCCGCACUAGCCGCAGCAGGGGAGCCCAAAGAGACCCCCUCAGGUAAGAUACACUUCGAAAGAUUUGUAUUGUGCGGUGUGGGUGCAAAUCUGACAAAUCAUAUUGCAGAUGGCACCGGACACGAUCUGGACAAGCAACAACUCUUACGCCGGCUAAAGGCCGGUGAGAGUACGUUGACAAAUGUGAGGCGAGAGAAGAAUGAUCUUCAGGACACCAACACCAAGCUGGACAUCAAACUUAAAGAUGUUCGUGGCCAGCUGUCGGACUCCACGAAGGAGAAUCAGCGGCUUCGACACGACAUUUUUAGUAAGUGCUUGAACGAACUUUGAAAAAAGAGUUCGGCGAGGAAGUCGACUAACAGAGUAAUGUCUGUAGGUAUGCUCACAGGUCGUCCUGCAGAGGAGAUGCCCGGUUCUACGGGUGACCUUCUUCUCGAACUCCUGCAACUGCACGAGCGAAUUCGGUAGGCGAUGCGGGGUAUUGCCCAAGCCUUAUGGCCUGCCCACUCCGUGCCCGAGGGCCUUGGAGAGCUUGCGGAGAAGCUGAAGGGAGCUCGGCGGCGCUUCCGGUUGUGGAAGAUAUCGGCCUGCCGACAAGGCGCUAGGGAGGCCUGGGCCAUGGUGAAGACCCGUUUUACGAAGUCUGACCCAAACCACAUGGCUGAGGUCGGACCAGUGGGGCCUGAUGGGAAGGAGAUCCCUGUAAGCUUAGUAUACGGCCAAGUAGAGUUGGCCGCGAAGUAUUCCCAGCAGGACUGUAAAUUAGACAACCUAUUAGAUGGUAUAGAAGAGGAAUACAAUCAGUCAGAAUGACUGUGUAAUUUUGAAUUGACAUGUGUAAUGCCUUCUAGCCGGAUUGUAGAUCGUUUGUCAUUGCCGACCUUUUCGCUUCAACCUCGGGACCUGACCGUCCGGAGUGUGUCCGAAUACCCUAGCAGUUAUAUGAAAACCAGGGUAUGCGUGGAGACCAGGCGUAGGGGUCAUCAGUGCUUUAUCAGACAAGUGCCCAACUAGUUAUGUUAUAUUACAUGGUUAGUAAGAAACAUCUUCCAGAGAGAAUAGUUCCAUUAAGGGUUCCUUUCGCUGGGAGGCAUGCCCUAAGGUGCAUGUCCGGACUGCGUGAAGAGACGCAGAAAAAAAAGCAUCUGGGGGCGCAUAAAAUGAGUAAAAAGAUCAAGCUAUAGAAUAACACUAGUAGAAAAAGGGGCUUUCCUUCGGGCCUGGCCAGCCCAUUAGUCCCUGUUCUGCCACGAACCGGGACUAAUGGAGGCAUUUGUCCCGGUUCGUGAGCCCAGGGGGCCGGCCGGGGCCUCGUGGGCAUUGGUCCCGGUUCGUCUAGGCCCAUUUGUCCCGGCUCUUGGCACGAACCAGGACCAAUGAGCCUCGCUCCUGGCCCACAACCAUUAGUCGCGGUUCGUGGCAGGAACCAGGACAGAAGGAUGGCCUUUACUCCCGGUUCCAGCCACGAAGCGGGACAAAUGAGUUUCCUAUAUAUACCCCAUCGCCGGUGAGCAGAGCACUCCACGGUACUCUGUUUUUUGCUGGCCGGCCAGGAAGGGCAUUUGGGUGCUCUGGCUCACCUCUUAUGCAUGUGAGGUGUUCGAUGAAAUACCCGAGCCACACUAGUUAAGCUUUCUCCUCUCGAAGCUCGACCUCCGAGCUCCAUUUUUUUCGAGAUUUGUCUAGGUUUAGCGGUCCGUCACGCCUCGUCCUCGUCUUCACCGCCGUCGAUCGCCCGCGCCGAUCUCGUCGCCGACACCACCGUGGUGAGCCUCUUGUUCUUAUCUUCUUUUUGAAAGAAAAAAAAUCUUACUUUAGAUAGAUACUUGUCUAAUUUUCUUACUUUUGACACACAUAAUUAUAUAUAAUGCACGCAGAUGAACCGGCAAUGGAUGUACGGUGAUAGACACACCUCUGAGUACAUUAAGGGCGUGCAUAAUUCUCUCGAAGUGGCUGAGGCAAACAAGCAGAAUGGUUUUAUGUGUUGUCCAUGCCCUAAUUGUGGGAAUACGAGGUCUUACUCGGACAAGAAAAUCCUUCACACACACCUGCUUUAUAAGGGUUUCAUGCCACACUAUAAUGUUUGGACGAAGCACGGAGAAAUAGGGGUUAUGAUGGAAGACAACGAAGAAGAAGAGGACGAUGACAACUAUGUGCCCCCUGAAUACGGUGAUGCUGCAACGGGGGAAGCUGAAGAUCAAGAGGAAGCUGAAGAUCCAGAGGAACCAGACGAUGUGCCCGAUGAUGAUCUCCGCCGGGUCAUUGUUGAUGCAAGGGAAAAGUGCGAAAGUGAAAAGGAGAAGCUGAAGUUCGAUCGCAUGUUAGAGGAUCAUAAAAAAGUGUUGUACCCCAAUUGCGAAGAUGGCAACACAAAGCUCGGUACCGUACUAGAAUUGCUGCAGUGGAAGGCAGAGAAUGAUGUGCCUGACAAAGGAUUUGAGAAGCUAUUGAAAAUAUUGAAGAAGAAGCUUCCAAAGGAUAACAAAUUGCCCGAUAGUACGUACGCAACAAAGAAGGUCAUAUGCCCUCUAGUAUUGGAGGUGGAGAAGAUACAUGCAUGCCCUAAUGACUGCAUCCUCUACCAUGGUGCAUACAAGGAUUUGAACGCAUGCCCGGUAUGUGGUGCAUUGUGGUAUAAGAUCAGAUGAGAUGACCCUGGUGAUGUUGAGGGCGAGCCCCGCAGGAAGAGGGUUCCUGCGAAGGUGAUGUGGUAUGCUCCUAUAAUACCAUGGUUGAAACGACUGUUCAGAAACAAAGAGCAUGCCAAGUUGAUGCGAUGGCGCAGUGAGGACCGUAAGAAAGACGGGAAGUUGAGAGCACCCGCUGACGGCUCGCAGUGGAGAAAAAUCAAGAGAAAGUUCUGGGAUGAGUUUGCAAGUGACCCAAGGAACAUAUGGUUUGCUUUAAGCGCGGAUGGCAUUAAUCCUUUCGGGGAGCAGAGCAGCAAUCACAGCACCUGGCCCGUGACUCUAUGUAUGUAUAACCUUCCUCCUUGGAUGUGCAUGAAGCGGAUGUUCAUUAUGAUGCCAAUUCUCAUCCAAGGCUCUAAGCAACCCGGCAACGACAUUGAUGUGUACCUAAGGCCAUUAGUUGAAGAACUCUUAAAGCUGUGGAAUGGAACAGGUGUACGUGCGUGGGAUGAGCACAUGGGGGAAGAAUUUGACCUAAAGGCGUUGCUGUUCAUGACCAUCAAUGAUUGGCCCGCUCUCAGUAACCUUUCAGGACAGACAAACAAGGGAUACCACGCAUGCACACACUGUUUAGCUGACACCGAAAGUAUAUACCUGGACAGAUGCAGGAAGAAUGUGUACCUGGGCCAUCAUCGAUUUCUCCCGACCAACCAUCAAUGUCGAAAGAAAGGCAAGCAUUUCAAAGGUGAGGCAGAUCACCGGAAGAAUCCCGCCAUGCAUACCGGUGAUCACGUACUUGCUAUGGUCUCUAAUUUAAACGUAAUAUUUGGAAAGGGUCCCGGCGGACUAGCUAUUCCAAAUGACGCUGAGGGACGCGCACCCAUGUGGAAGAAGAAAUCUAUAUUUUUGGACCUACCCUACUGGAAAGAGCUAGAGGUACGCUCUUCAAUCGACGUGAUGCACGUGACGAAGAACCUUUGCGUGAACCUGUUAGGCUUCUUGGGCAUGUAUGGGAAACAAAAGAUACACCUGAGGCAGCAUGCCUCCAAAGCAGUACAAAGGUCCUGCCAGCUACGCUCUUACCAAAGAAGAGAAGGAAAUAUUUUUUUGAAUUCCUGCUCAGUAUGAAGGUCCCGAGUGGCUUCUCGUCGAAUAUAAAGGGAAUAAUAAAUAUUCCAGAGAAAAAGUUACAGAACCUAAAGUCUCAGGACUGCCACGUGAUUAUGACACAACUGCUUCCGGUUGCAUUGAGGGGGCUUCUACCGGAAAACGUCCGAUUAGCCCUUAUGACGCUAUGUGCAUUCCUCAAUGCAAUCUCUCAGAAGGUGAUCGAUCCAGAAAUCAUACCAAGGCUAAGGAGUGAUGUGGCACAAUGUCUUGUCAGUUUCGAGCUGGUGUUCCCACCAUCCUUCUUCAAUAUCAUGACGCACGUUCUAGUUCAUCUAGUCGACGAGAUUGUCAUUCUGGGCCCCGUAUUUCUACACAAUAUGUUCCCAUUUGAGAGGUUCAUGGGAGUCCUAAAGAAAUAUGUCCGUAACCGUGCUUGGCCAGAAGGAAGCAUCUCCAUGGGCCAUCAAACAGAGGAUGUCAGUGGGUUUUGUGUUGACUUCAUUCCUGGCCUUAAGAAGAUAGGUCUCCCUAAAUCGUGGUAUGAUGGGAGACUGACUGGAGAAGGCAUGCUAGGAGAGGACUCAAUAAUAUGCAGGGACGGGCAUUCUUGGUCUCAAGCAUACUACACAGUUCUACAGAACUCUACCUUGGUGACUGUCGGUGUCAAAACCAGCAGAUCUCAGGUAGGGGGUCCCGAACUGUGCGUCUAGGCGGAUGGUAAUAGGAGACAAGGGACACGAUGUUUUUACCCAGGUUCGGGCCCUCUCGAUGGAGGUAAAACCCUACUCCUGCUUGAUUAAUAUUGAUGAUAAGGGUAGUACAAGAGUAGAUCUACCACGAGAUCAGAGAGGCUAAACCCUAGAAGCUAGUCUAUGGUAUGAUUGUUGUUCGUCCUAUGGACUAAACCCUUCGGUUUAUAUAGACACCGGAGAGGGUUAGGGUUACACAGAGUCGGUUACAAUGGGAGGAGAUCUCCAUAUCCGUAUCGCCAAGCUUGCCUUCCACGCCAAGGAAAGUUCUAUCCGGACACGGGACGAAGUCUUCAAUCUUGUAUCUUCAUAGUCCAAGAGUCUGGCCAAAGGUUAUAGUCCGGCUAUCCGAACACCCCCUAAUCCAGGACUCCCUAAGUAGCCCCUGAACCAGGCUUCAAUGACGAUGAGUCCAGUGCGCAGAUUGUCUUCGGCAUUGCAAGGCGGGUUCCUCCUCCGAAUACUUCAUAGAAGAUUUUGAACACAAGGAUAGUGUCCGGCUCUACAAGAUAAAUUCCACAUAUUGCCAUAGAGAGAAUAGUAUUUACACAAGUCUAAUCUUCUAACGUAUUUCGUAGCAUGACAUCACACCACAGCCAAGCCUUUAUUCGAAUCGUUUUACUGUCCCACCUCAGUGCGUUUUGCGAGGCGGUUUCCUUGGCACGUCUUGUCGAAGUAGAGAUCGUGUCCCCUUAAUUUACGGGAUUCUCAUCAAUACGGACAUGGGUAACCCAGUCGUGCCCGUUGGUAUAUUUCCUUGAUCAAAGGCGAGUCCCGAACGGUUACGGGGAGGGCUCUUGGUAUUUGACCCCUUUUAUAGAGACCAAGGCCUUACUCCUUUAUUUCAAUCUCAAUUGAGUUCGCCCUUCGCCUCGAGCUCCAACACCCAAGGUUCCAGAUUCCAGGCGCUUCGGACCUUUGAUGAUGUCCGGUUCUGACCUUCGAGGCCGAUGGAUGCCUUCCUCCGUCAUGGAGGAGGACGUGCUAAAGCUGAGAGAGGCCAGGUUCUUGACCGACGAAAUCUCGCAUAGGUUGCCUGCUCAAGGGCAGGUUAUUCCUACUCCCGAGCCUGGUGAGAGUGUUGUCUUCAUGUCUCACUUCCUCCGAGGGCUAGGCUUCGCAACGGAUCCCUUCCUGAGGGGGCUCAAGUUUUAUUAUGGGCUGGAAUUUCACGACCUAGCUCCGGAGUCCAUCCUCCACAUCUCAUCGUUUAUCAUCGUGUGCGAAGCCUUCCUCCAUGUUAAUCCACACUUCAGACUAUGGCUUAAGACCUUUAAAGUAGAGCCGAAGAUGAUCGAGGGAUGGCACUCUGAGUGCGGAGGUGCUGUUAUAAGCAAAAAUGCUGACGCUCCAUGUCCCGAGGGCUCUUUUCAAGAGGAGUUCAACUUAUGGCAACAAGAGUAGUUUUAUAUCACAGCUCCCAGGGGCACCAAGUGGGUGGCACCUCCUGCUCUCCGCUCGGGUCCCCCACCACGACUAGCAUCAUGGGUCAAUAAGGGGCUGGACUAGGGGCCGGCGAAGGACGUCCCCCUGUUGUAGGGCCGCAUCCGAGAUCUCCUCGAAAGGGACAUCUGCCUCGUCAUGGUGACACAGGUUAUGCUAAUUCGCCGAGUUCUGCCCUACAAACGUCGCCCCCUCCGCCUGUGGGAGUUCGAUCCGGAGGGACCGCGAGCUCUCCAACACUUUCUUGGCAUAACGCCCGUGGAGAUGUACAAAUUGUUCUUCGGAUCAUAAGUAAUGUGUCCGGAUGCUACGCAGGACGCAGGACUAAGCUGCAAUCGUCCGGAUACUCAAGUAAGUAGCCCUGUCUCCGGACACACCAUCUGUUCAUUCAUCACAACAUCACGCUUAAAAGAGUUGUCUUUGAAACAUGAGUGGGUAGCGAAGGCGAAGUUAAUCAGGUGUCCGGCCCCCCUUCCUGAGACCUCGCCGAAUCCCGUGUUGACCAGGAUGCUGGAGAUUGUGCCUUUGGAAGAGAAUGAGGAGGGGGACAAGGGAGCUACUGCCUCCUCGAAGGAGUCUGUUGGGAAAGGAGGAAUCAAAAAUUCCUCUACCCAUGGGAAGAAGAGGACCGCCUCUAAUGACCCAGAGACCAUGGUCUCGAAGCAGGGGAAGAAAUCUUCAGCAGAGGGUCCUGCGCCGGGGGAUACCUCGGCCAUACUGUGCCCCCAAGGGAAUUAGCCCUCCACCGAGCCGUAAGUAGAGAGGGGAGUUUGAAAUGAGAGACACCCCUGUUCUAUUCCUGAGGAGAAUAACCGAAAUUUUACCUUGUAGUUCGGAUCUCAGCCCUUCUCAGCAGAGCUCAUCUUCGGGGGAGCUUCUUCCGGAGAUGAUGGAGAGCGGAACGCCUCCCCCUGUCAUACUGCCUCACGAGGCGGGCGACCCUGAGGUGUCGUCACGGAGGGUUUCUCCGAAUCCGGCAGGGCCGGAAGGCAGUCAUAUGGCCCCCCAAAGCCCUCCAUAUCCGGCCUUUGAAAAAGGCCAUCGGACGAGUUCGGCACCAUCCGAUGCACGGCCGGAGGAGUUGAAGGAUCUGCUCGGGCGAGCGUCUAUCUCAAAAGAGCACCGUACGUUGAUGGGUACGGUGAUUGAAAGGAUUUCAUCCACGGAGAGCGGGUUGCACGAGUCCGUCAGGAGUUUACUGACAGGUUUUGAGGUACGCGAAAUCAUGUACCUUUUGACAGUUCCGCAUAUAUAAGAUGCGCCCUAUGUAGAUAGUAGCCCCUGAGACUUUGUGCGUUGUCAAAAGUGACGGCGCGCAGAGGAUCAUAAUCCCAGGUAUAAUAUGUCGCCCUUCCUAUGUAGGUGGCGAAGUGUCCGGUGGCUAGCCGGACUGAUGAAUUUGCCGAACUAAAGCGGCAACUUGACGUGGUAGAUGCCGACAUCGCGCUUGUCAACAAGCGGCUUGACGAGGCACAGGGUAUGUAAUUUCUCCGGAGACACCUGGUAAGAGAAGCUUGAUGCCCGUAUCUUACAUCAUGUGUGCUUGAUGCAGAUGGUGCCGCUGCCAUGGAGAACCUUCGGGCGGAACUUGCCCGGGCCAAGGAGCAGGCCAGGAAAAGCGAUGCUGCUGCCUUAAAGGCGGUUGAAGAGCUGAAAGCCGAACAGGCUGCCCAUUGCCAAAGCAGAAAGGAAAUGGCCGAGAUGGCUGUAAAGUUGAAGAGCACUGCCGACCGCUGCAAGCUUCUUGAGAAAGAAGAUCAGGAGGAACAGACGGACCUAGAGAAGGCCACUACAGAAGCCAAGGAUGCUCGCUCUGCAAUGAGAGCUAUGAAGGAGGAGCUACGUCAGGCCGGAGAUAUCGCGGCUGGAAAGCCCUUUAUGCUGCGGAUGAUGUUCGGGGAUCCUAAAUAUGCUCCGUUGGACCGGUUAUGGAGUACGACGGACCCUUAUCUGGAUUUGGCGGCGAGUGUCGCGGACGCGGCCAAACACUUCCGAGAUCAAAAGGAUCGCGAAGUGGAAAAGCUCUUCUGGUCGCACUUCCACAAUCCGGAGCGUCCACUUCCAUUAACCGAUCAUUUAGCCGAAUGGGCCGAGCUGAAUAGGUUAUCCGAACUCGCCAUGAAGUAUGUCGUGAGUCAUCUGUGGCCAGAAAGGCCUGAGCCAAAAAGUUAUUUUAGCUUGGUGCAGCAGUUCCUUGGUGCGGUGCCGCAUAUCAAUGCAAUGAAGAGGUCAGCAUGCAUAGAGGGUGCGCGGAUGGCUCUUGCCCGUGUCAAAACAUACUAGGCGGAGAUGAAGGCCACUGCUAUUGCAUCCCACGACUCGGACGGGAGCCGAGUACCUGCCAAGCACUAUUUUCAGAAAGUUCUGCAGGGCGCUCGUUUAAUAGAGACGCGGUGCUCGAAGGAUAUUAUGUUCGAAUAACAUGUAUUAUUGUAAAACAAUGUUUUGAUCAAAUAUAAAAGCUUUUGAUACUUGUGCCUUCAAGAAUUCAAAACACCUCCUGUGCGGCCGUUAAUGUAUAUGUGUAUAUAACCUGAAAGAUGGCAGUCUUUGGCUUCAGCCCCCACGCAUAUAAUGCGGGGGUGUUCGCAGAAGGCGCAUUUUCACAGUUGAUCCAACGUCUUAGUCCCAUUAAGGAGGUGAUAGCGCAGCAAACUAAUCAACCAGACUAUAAUGCUUUAUCACUUUCACUUAGCCAUAGGAGUUUGCCAGUGGGGCUACUAUAUAGCCCCUGGGGGCACCGCGCUCACCCGAAUUCGGGGCGCGUGUGUGCCUGGCCGGGAAAUGACCCUUCGUUAAUACGAAGGAAUCCUAAAGAUUUCGGCGGGUCAUCGAGUGGUUGACCAGUCUCACGCUAUAUCAUGACAGUCAGUUUUCGGCUUUCUCUACUGAGGUGCUCGCGUGGCUGAACCGGGGCACAAUCGCAGUAGUUCUCCUUGUGUCACCUUAGCCGAUAGAGCGGAAUGUAAGGCAGCAAAACACAGGAGCCGGGCAAACCCAACAUUUUACCAAAGACAUGAUUCGGAGCUGAUGCAUAUAAGUCCAAACUCGCGACGUCGAACACUCCCUAAGGUAUUCGGUCUUUUAUGAAAACGGGCGGAACAGCGCCCUUGGUAAUAAGCCCCUGGUGUCCAGGUACGUGCAAAAUUCUAACGUGGCCACAUGCCAAGACGCCAGCCUCCUCCUCGGCUAUACUGAGAAUCCGGGGGACGUGUAUCAACAAGAGACAGUAAAAAAGGUUUACGCAGGGUCUUAAUCUAAAAAGAAUCCUUCGAACGGGUCCCUGCUGCAUGUCUGCGCCUGUGUCUCCGUUGUGCCGUAUCCUGGACGGGUGUAGCACGGUGUUCAUCUGUAGAAGAGAAGAACUUAGUUGAAAAAGGGUCGUGCAAAAUGUACGUUAUACUAAAUAAACAAAGUAUAAUUCAAAAAAUGAGUAAAACUGAGCCUUAUUGUCUCUUGUUUUGCAUGCGGGGAGCCCCUUGUAAGGGGGUGUACGGCUAUUAAGCCUUUAUUAAUUGUAUGUUUAUGUCAGACUCGUCGAGCCGCGUCCGUGGUCUUGACGACCUAUUUAGGUGCUUUGAUUGGCGAAGCCGUUUUAGUGUGUGGCUGUCAAGGCAGCCGCACAGUCUUCCGCGCGGGGGGAACACUCAAUGUUUCCCUUUAGUCAUAUGAUGCCUCGUGAACUGGGCAUCUUAAGCGUAAGAGAUGCAUAAUGCGGUAUUGCAUUAAAGCGGGCGAAGGCCUCUCGUCCCAGGAGUGCUUGAUAGCUACUUGAAAAAGGGGCGAUGUGGAAGGUUAGCUUUUCGCGGCGGAAGUUAUCAAGGGAGCCGAACAUAACUUCUAGCCGGAGAGAACCCCUGCAAUGGGCAUCCGUGCCUAGCGUUACUCCUUGAAAGGAAGUGUUGCUAUGGCAAAUUUUUGUUGGGUCUAUCCCCAUUUUGCGGAUUGUGUCCUGAUAUAGCAGGUUUAGACCACUGCCGCCGUCCAUCAGGACAUGUGUAAAGUGGAGUCCGUCUAUUAUCUGAUCUAAUAUCAAGGCAGUCCAGCCUGCGUUCCCGAUACUUGUAGAGUAAUCCUGAUGGUCGAAGGUGAUCGGUUUUGACAACCAGUGGCGAGACUCCUUUGGGAUGGGCCGUAUGGCGCAUAUCUCUAUAGGCACCACUCCUUUUGUCACGUGAAGUAAGUUUACUGUUUUGACUUCUUGUGGGAAAUUCUUUUGUUUCUCGGUGCUCUGCUUUUGGGGUUCGUCAUCGUCCUCACUUGGUGUGUCGAGCCCCUUGUGUUCAGUGUUGAGUUGGCCGGAUUGCUUGAAGACCCAACAUUCUCUAUGGGUAUGGUUUGCAGGCUUCCCGGGGGUGCUGUGGAUUUGACAUAUCUUAUCCAAGAUUUUGUUUAGGUUAGAUAGCUCGUCCCUGUUAUCCUUGAGGGGCAGCUUUUUCUGAUUCUACCGAGAGCUUUUGAAUCCGACGUUGACUAUCGUGCUCUUCGAGCUGCUUUCCUUAUUACGGCGUUGUUCCUUGUUGCGUCGCAGUUUCCCGUUUCCAUCGCUGACUUCGGAUGUACUUGGGUCGCUGGUGCCAACCAGCUGUCCUCUCCCGUGCAAAAGCGGGUCAUGAGUCUUGUUAAUGCGUUCAUUGUUCUUGGCUUUUCCUGGCCGAGGUGUCUGGCGAGCCAUUCAUCUCGAACGCUGUGUUUGAAAGCUGCUAAGGCUUCGACGUCCGGACAGUCGACUAUCUGGUUCUUUUUAGUAAGAAAUCUGUUCUAGAGUUUCCGGGCUGACUCUCCGGGCUGUUGAGUUAUAUGGCUUAAAUCGUCUGCAUCCGGAGGUCGGACAUAGGUCCCUUGAAAAUUUUCUCGAAAAGCAUCCUCGUUCUCUUCCCAACUUCCAAUGGUGUUUUCGGGAAGGCUUUUAAGCCAAUGCCGGGCUGGCCCUUUGAGCUUGAGGGGCAAGUAUUUUAUGUCGUGGAGGUCGUCUCCUCUGGCCUUGUGUAUGUGGAGGAUAUAAUCCUCAAUCCAGACUCCAGGGUAUGUUGUUCCGUCGUACGCCUCUAUGUUUACGGGCUUGAAUCCCGCUGGAAAUUCAUGGUCUAGCACCUCAUCGAUGAAACAUAGGGGGUGUGCGGCACCCCUAUACUUGGGUGUGCCGUGUUGUUCAGAUAUUUGUUGUGCUGCAUUGCUUACUAGAGCUUGCUUUCUUGGCCCGUAGAUAGAUCUGGCUGGGCCGUCUUUGUGAUGCGAAUCCUUGGGUGGAUCACGUGUUGAUUUGUGUGCGGCGCCAUAUGCCGUUCUAUGUUGGCCAUGGGGUCAUUUAUCCGACCGGGUGGCUUCCUUAUUUUUUUGAUUUUUGGGUCUCUAGGGCCUCCUCAUCAAAUUCGGGCAGUAGCUUUUGCUUUGGGUAGCUCUUUGUGUGGCGACUAUCGCCGUAUUUGUCUGCGGUGUUGAGUACUUUUCUCCAUCUAGUUCUGAGUGCAUCUUCCGCUGUUUUGAGCUUCCACUUCUGCUUUUUCAGGCUAGGUGCAGUGGUGACGAGUCUUUUGUGUUUGUUCUUCUACUCCAGCAAUUUGUCCGGCGUGAGGUCGUCCGGACUGUUAUCUCCACCGGUGACAGGUUGUUCGGUUUGUUUAUCCAAGUUGCUCUGUUCGGACGGUUGCUCGAUGGCAUGUUCGUCGUCCACCAGUUCGCCCUGCUCUAUGGCCGGGUCUGUAUGGCUGCUGUCUCUGUCGAGGCGGGGCUUGGAGCGGCGCUUACGUCGCCGCUUUGACUGCUUUUCGAGGGAACGAUCCCUCGUUGUGUCCCUUUGUUCCUCGUUGUUUCUUCCUUUAGGUGUGUCCACCAUGGAUACAUCGUGAGAUGAGGUGGUUGUCCAGUGCCCUAUAGGCGCUGGUUCCUGUUCGUCUCCUACAUCGUCGUCCAUACCGUCGAUGUCUUCGGAGUCAAAGUCCAGCAUGUCGGUUAAAUCAUCGACAGUGGCUAUGAAUUGGGUGGUGGGUGGGCGUCGAAUUUCUUCGUCGUCCACAUCCCAAUCCUGUUGGCCAUAAUCCGGCCAGGGCUCUCCUGACAAAGAGAGAGACUUUAUUGAAUUUAGAAUAUCGCCAAAGGGCGAGUGCUGAAAAAUAUCAGCGGCGGUGAAUUCCAUGAUCGGCGCCCAAACGGGUUAGAUUGGCAAGGGCGCGGAGGGCUCGGAGUCCGGAGAGGAGUCCGGCACCUUGGAGUCACGGGCUUUGCAGAGGAUAAGACUGGUGUUCGGCUCGAUCGCCGUAUAGAUUGCAGCCCCCGAGGCGGUGUCCAGCCAGCCGUCCUCGAUUGGCGCAGUCGGCUCCAAACUAAGGGUCGGAGAGGAUACGGGUGCGUCCUCCAGGGCACUGUUUGGCGGCAGAGCUAGAUCAUGCCCCUCGUGAUAGUGCGGCGCGCUCGGCUGUGCCUCAAAUCCGUCGAAGAUCAAGUCCCUCUGGAUAUUAGCCGCAUAGUUCAAACUUCCAAAUCUGACCUGAUGGCUAGGGGCGUAGCUUUCGAUCUGCUCCAGAUGGCCAAGCGAGUUGGCCCGUAGUGCGAAGUUGCCGAAUACGAAGAUCUAUCCGGGGAGAAAAGUCUCACCCUGGACCGCAUCGUUGUUGAUGAUCGGAGGAGCCAUCGGGCCUAAAAGUGAUGACACGGAGGAACUCUCAGUGAAAGCACCAAUGUCGGUGUCAAAACCGGCGGAUCUCAGGUAGGGGGUCCUGAACUGUGUGUCUAGUCGGAUGGUAACAGGAGACAAGGGACACGAUGUUUUUACCCAGGUUCGGGCCCUCUCGAUGGAGGUAAAACCUUACUCCUGCUUGAUUAAUAUUGAUGAUAGGGGUAGUACAAGAGUAGGUCUACCACGAGAUCAGAGAGGCUAAACCCUAGAAGCUAGCCUAUGGUAUGAUUGUUGUUCGUCCUAUGGACUAAAACCUUCCGGUUUAUAUAGACACCGGAGAGGGUUAGGGUCACACAGAGUCGGUUACAAUGGGAGGAGAUCUACAUAUCCGUAUCGCCAACUUUGCCUUCCACGCCAAGGAAAGUCCUAUCCGGACACGGGACGAAGUCUUCAAUCUUGUAUCUUCAUAGUCCAAGAGUCCGACCAAAGGUUAUAGUCCGGCUAUCUGAACACCCCCUAAUCCAGGACUCCCUUAGUGACCCCGUAUGUUGAUGAACACAAGAACAGUCUACGCUCCAAACACCUGGAGCAGUGUGACGACUGGAUUACAUGUGAACACAUCAGGACUUUCAGCACUUGGUUGGAAACACGUCUCAGAGGUGAAACCACUGUUUGUGAUGAGUUGUACUCGUUGUCCACGGGACCAUCUUCGACUGUAUUGAGUUACAAAGGAUACGAGAUAAAUGGGAAUACAUUUUACACAAUCGCCCAAGAUCAAAAGAGCACCAACCAAAAGAGCAGUGCCCGCUUUGAUGCAGUAACCGAGAGGGGAAAGGUCACAUCUUAUGGUUACAUAAUGGACAUAUGGGAACUUGACUACAGACAUGAUUUUAUGGUCCCUUUGUUUAAGUGCAAAUGGGUUAAUCUAUCAGGAGGCGGGGUACAGGUAGACCCACAGUACAGAAUGACAACAGCGGAUCUGAACAAUCUUGGGUACACUGACGAACCGUUCGUCCUAACCAAUGAUGUGGCACAGGUUAUAUAUGUGAAGGACAUGUCUACCAAACCGAGAAAAAGAAAAGAUAAGGAAGUGAAUACAUCAUACGAUGAGCCAAAGCGCCACAUAGUUCUUUCAGGAAAAAGGGACAUUGUGGGAGUGGAGGGCAAGACAGACAUGUCUAAAGAUUAUGAAAAGUUUCAUGAAAUUCCUCCCUUCAAUGUCAAGGCUGACCCAAGCAUCCUGAUAAACGAUGAAAAUUAUCCAUGGUUACGGCGCAAUAAGCAAAGCACACAAGCGAAAAAAAAGUGAAGACUUUCUCUCCACAACUAUUAUGAUGAUACCAUGCCAACUUUCAACCUUUUCAUACUUCAUAUGAAAUGGCUGUUGUAACAGACGAGUUUCUGUAAGAAAUCCUGAUACUUUGAAACAGAUUGUCCGUUUUGUACACGAAGUGCAUCUAGUUUUUGCCGUAACCCUCUCUAGUUUUUGCAUAUGCUAUGUGGGUGAAAUGAUGAUACCAUGCCAACUUUCAACCUUUCCAGAGUUCAUUUGUAGUGCUUUUCAAUUUCAUGGUCUCAUGAAAUAAUCCAUAAAUGCAUGGAAAAUAACAAAUAUCAUAAAAAUAAAUAAAUAAGUAAUUAGAAACAGAAUAAACUAAACUUUAAUAAAAUAUAUAAGUAGAAACAAAAUAAGAUAAACUUUAAUAACAUAAAUAAAAUUUAUGAAACUAAAAUUAUCAACGUAUUUUCUGUUCAAAACAUUAUAAGCAACCUCUAGUAUUACUGAAACUAAAAUUAUAUAAAAUUGAUGCAACUAAAAUUAUCAAAGUUUUUUCUGUUUAAAAUCAUUAAAAGCAAAAAGAAUUUUCAUAAAUAACUUUUUUUGUUAGAAACUUUAAUAGCAAAAAGAAUUAUCAUAAAAUAAAAUAAAUAAGUAAUUAGAAACAAAAUAAAAAAAUAAAUAAGUAUUUUGUUGUAAGUAGAAACAAAAUGAAUAAAUAAAGCAAAAAAGAAAAGAACUAAACUAGGAAAAAAUAAAAAAAUGCCACCUACUGGGCCACCAUGGCCUGAAUACGACUAGAAACCAACCCAUGGGCAAGGAUUCAUGCCCGUAGAAGGCCAAAUAGGACCACAGGCAGAUACAAUGUGUUUAGGCCCGAAAGCCUGCAUUUGAGAGGAGCUCGAGAGGGCAGCGGGAGUGGGGCUUAUAAACCACUCUCGAGCUCCCUCAGCUAGCGAGGUGGGACAAAACUUUCGUGCUGCGAUGCGGGCAGCACAAGGCCUUUAGUCCUGGUUGGUGCCACCAACCAGUACUAAAGGCGUACAUUGGUACCCGUUCAUGCCAACAACCGGUACCAAUGCGCACCCUUUAGUCCCGGUUUGUGGCUCCAACCCGGACCAAAGGCCUCUACUUCCCGCCCUUUGGGCUGCUGAAAAGCGACCUUUGGUCUCGGUUGGUGGCUCCAACCGAGACUAAAGGGGUGCUUUGGUCCCGGUUGCUGCCACGAACCGAUGCUACCUCUUGAGCACUGCGUUGGUUUUUCCAUGAAGAGGAAAGGGUGAUGCAGCAAAGUAGCAUAAGUAUUUCUCUUAGUUUUUGAGAACCAAGGUAUCAAUCCAGUAGGAGGCUACGCGCGAGUCCCUCGUACCUACACAAAACAAAUAAAUCCUCGCAACCAACGCGAUAAGGGGUUGUCAAUCCCUACACGGUCACUUACGAGAGUGAGAUUUGAUAGAUAUGAUAGGAUACUAUUUUUGGUAUUUUUUUGAUAAAGAUGCAAAGUAAAAUAAAAGCAAAGUAAAAAAGCAAAGUAAAUAACUAAGUGUUGGAAGAUUAAUAUGAUGAAGAUAGACCCGGGGGCCAUAGGUUUCACUAGUGGCUUCUCUCAAGAGCAUAAUUAUUUUACGGUGGGUGAACAAAUUAUUGUUGAGCAAUUGACAGAAUUGAGCAUAGUUAUGAGAAUUUCUAGGUAUGAUCAUAUAUAUAGGCAUCACGUCCGAGACAAGUAGACCGACACUGGUAGAAAAAGGUCCUGUUGUCCCGGUUCGUAAGGGCCUUUUGUCCCGGUUUUGGAACCAGGACUAAAGGGUCGGUACUAAUGCCCUGUCCCUUUAGUCCCGGUUCAAUCCAGAACCAGGACAGAUGGGCCUCCACAUGGCCUGUGCGCGGAGCCUAGGCAGGAGACCCUUUGGUCCCGGUUGGUGGCACCAACCGGGACCAAUAGGCAUCCACACGUCAGCAUUUCUAUGGCUGGGGUUUUUGUUUUUUUUGAAAGGGGGGGGGUUGGGGGUUUUGGGGGGUUAAUUUAGGUGUUUCAUAUAUUGUGUUAGCUAGCUAUAAUUAGUAGAGAGAAGUGUCCUCUCUUAUGUCCGUGCUUGGUCGACGCUACGUACUAUACAUCCGUAUAGAGAGGACUAGACACGCUAGCUAGCUAGUAAGCAAACGAAGGAAACAGAAGAUCGUCAUGAACAUAUAUGCAUACAGAGAGAAGUGAUAUCGACCACCUCUCCUUCUCUGAGAGAUUGGUCGAACAACAAGUUCUCGUAUAUCUAUCUGACACUACCGGCUACAUAUAUACAAUAAUUAUCUCUUACAGAUAUAAUCAUACGGACUCAGGGUCCACAUAGUAUUCACCGUCUUCAGCGAUCACGUGGUCAAGAAAGAAUGCUGCCAAUUCCUCUUGAAUUGCUCGCAUGCGAGCUGAUUCUAGGAGUUCAUCCCGCUUCCGAAACAUCUAAUUUAAAGAAGGGGGUCAAUACAUAUAUAUAUGAAUGAAUGAAACUCAACACGAAUGAUGGUAAUAAAAUAAAAUUGUGAAUGUUGUUAUUUACGUACUUCAUAUUGUUCGUCAGUGUAGCCCCGCUCACAGGUCGUGUGGCGGAUGGACUCGCAAAUGUAGUAUCCACAGAAAUCAUUCCCUUGUUCCUGCCACAACCACUUUACAAGAAAUAGAGGUCAAUCAAACUGAUAAGCAAGAAUGCCAAAUGGUAUUUAUGAAACUAGCACUUGAAUCACUAGUAGAUGCGCGGAACAUGCUACUAUAGUACUUACUUUCGGGUGUCUAAAUUGCAGCUCCUUCGGCAGUCCCGGAGCUUUUCUGGUGAAUUUUCUCCAAACCCUGCUGGACAAAGAAAACAAUUACUUGAUAUAUCAGGAAAUGAACAAAGUUGCUGAUAUGGUGGAUAAUGAUCGAUUUAACUUACUUCUCGAGUAUUUGAGUCAUGUCUGCAUAGUCCUGGGGAUCUUUUCGUCUUGAGUCUAAGACGGUUACUAGUCCCUGCUCAAGCUUAAUCUCUAGGAGAAUAUAGUGGAAACUGCACACGCAUGCAUAACUCAUCAAUUACAUUACUAUAACCUUGACUAAUAUAUAAGGGAAACCGAAUACGCACAAGACAGUAACACUCACUUGAAGUUGUAAGGAAAGAGUGUUAUAUCUUUGUUUUCCUUUAUUACCAACGAUCGUAACAAGUUGGCCUCGGUAGCUGCGGCAUGAAAUUUAACUUGAGUUGCAUCUAUGAGAUAUGUGUUAAUGAACCCAAUAUCACUGACUUGUCUUUUCUUCAAUUCGGCGAUCUUCAAUCUGCAUAAUAUAGUGAGGAUGAUUAUAAAUACAUGCAAUGAAAGAGCUGAGCUAUAUAGAGAGACUUAAUGACAGAAGUAGUACUACUUACAGACAGUAGCAGGCGACCGUUGGUUUAUCGAGGGCCAAUUGAUUUAAAAACUGAAAGAACUCCUCAAAUGGAACAGGCAACAGUUCAAUUUCAACGAGGUCAUGCUCCUUUUUAACUUUCACAUACAAAGUACUCCUCCCCCCAGAGUCUCUGCAGAUUUUCAAGUACCAAUCAUACAAUCUUCGCAUCAUCGUUCAUAGAGAUCUUUCAUCUUUGACGAGAGGCUUCCCGUACUCGUAUCUUUGUAUCUGCACCUCCAUGAAAUCAUAAUGUACAUCGUCGGGCAGGUAAUCGCCAAGAUUUCUAUAACCGGGCACCAUCCUCGGAUCAUUAGCGACAUUGUCGCUAGGCACCUUGAGCGGGGGGCACGAUUGAUUCGCUUGUUCGCCGAGCUGGGCAAUUUGUUUCCCAGCUCGUCGUUCUUUCAGCCUUUGAUCACUGACAGUACUUCCCGACCGCUCCGCUUUGGCAAAUUCCUUUCCAAUAAUGCGCUCAUAGUUUCCUUUUGGCGGAGACUUGGGUGGUUUUGUCAGGGCAGCCAGAGUGCGCUUCGCUUUCACCUCCUCCGGAGGUGGAUGUUUCUUUGCUUUCACCCCUUCAAAGUAGUUCCUCACUUCUUCUCGUGCGAUCUCGGCGUUCUCCUCUAGGGUCCUCUCGUAUGGUAACUUCUGUGGAGUCUUCAGAGAAGGACCAAAUCUGUAUUUCCUCCCGCCACUUGCUGUACUGCUAGACGCCGGCCGAGCAGACGGAGCGGUUGUCUUCUUUACUUGCUUAUAAGGCAGAGCAGAAGGACUACGAUGCGCCGGAGCAGCCGGAGCGGCGACAGGUCUCUUCCGCCCUUGCUGACGAGGCGGAGAAGGAGGAGGCUGGCUGCUCGGGCGCGUCGGUGCAGGCAGAGAAGGAGGCGGAGUGCUGCCACGCGGUGGAGAAGGAGCCGGUUGAGUGCCCUGAUCGUCACUCGCCGGAGGAGGAGGCGGUGGAGGAGGCGGAGUGCCCUGACUCGCCGGAGGAGGAGGCGGUGGAGGAGGCGGAGUGCCCUGUCUUGCCGGAGGAGGAGGAGGCAGAGGCGUCCAGUUUGGAAGGUUGAUGAGCUCCUUCCGCCAUAGGCAUGGAGUCUUCAGCGCAGACCCCAGCCUAGUCUCCCCUUCACCGGUAGGGUGGUUAAGCCGGAGGUCCUCAAAAUAGUUGCGGGAGAAAGUCUUCACUUUUUCUUCGCUUGUGUCAUUUGCUUAUUGCGCCGUAACCAUGGAUAAUCUUCAUUGUUUAUCAGGAUGCUUGGGUCAGCCUUGACAUUGAAGGGAGGAAUUUCAUGAAACUUUUCAUAAUCUUCAGACAUGUCUGUCUUGCCGUCCACUCACAGGAUGUCCCUUUUUCCUGAAAGAACUAUGUGGCGCUCUGGCUCAUCGUAUGAUGUAUUCGCUUCUUAUCUUUUCUUUUUCUCGGUUUGGUAGACAUGUCCUUCACAUAGAUAACAUGUGCCACAUCAUUGUCUAGGACGAACGGUUCGUCAGUGUACCCAAGAUUUUUCAGAUCCACUGUUGUCAUUCCGUACUGUGGGUCUACCUGUACCCUGCCGCCUAACAGAUUGACCCAUUUGCACUUAAACAAAGGGACCUUAAAAUCAGGUCCGUAGUCAAGUUCCCAUAUGUCCACUAUGUAACCAUAAUAUGUGUCCUUUCCGCUCUCGGUUGCUGCAUCAAAGCGGACACCGCUGUUUUGGUUGGUGCUCUUUUGAUCUUGGGCAAUCGUGUAAAAUGUAUUCCCAUUUAUCUCGUAUCCUUUGUAAGUCAAUACAGUCAAAGAUGGUCCCCUGGACAACAAGUACAACUCAUCAUAAACAAUGUUGUCACCUCUGAGACGUGUUUCCAACCAACUGCUGAAAGUCCUGAUGUGUUCACAUGUAAUCCAGUCGUCGCACUGCUCCAGGUGUUUGGAGCGCAGACUAUUCUUGUGUUCAUCGACAUACGGGGUCACCAAGGUAGAGUUCUGUAGAACUGUGUAGUUUGCUUGAGACCAAGAAUAUCCGUCCCUGCAUAUUAUUGAGUCUCUUCCAAGAGUGCCUUUUCCAGUCAGUCUCCCCUCAUAUGGCGAUUUAGGGAGACCUAUCUUCUUAAGGCCAGGAAUGAAGUCAACACAAAACCCGAUAACAUCCUUUGUUUGAUGGCCCAUGGAGAUGCUUCCUUCUAGCCUAGCGCGGUUACAGACAUAUUUCUUUAGGACUCCCAUGAACCUCUCAAAGGGGAACAUAUUUUGUAGAAAUACGGGCCCCAGGAUGACAAUCUCAUCGACUAGAUGAACUAGGACGUGCGUCAUGAUAUUGAAGAAGGAUGGUGGGAACACCAGCUCGAAACUGACAAGAUAUUGCGCCACAUCACUCCUUAGCCUUGGUACGAUUUCUGGAUCGAUCACCUUCUGAGAGAUUGCAUUGAGGAAUGCACAUAGCUUCACAAUGGCUAAUCGGACGCUUUCCGGUAGAAGCCCCCUCAAUGCAACCGGAAGCAGUUGCGUCAUAAUCACGUGGCAGUCAUGAGACUUUAGGUUCUGAAACUUUUUCUCUGGCAUAUUUAUUAUUCCCAUUAUAUUCGACGAGAAGCCAGUCGUGACCUUCAUACUGAGCAGGCAUUCAAAAAAGAUUUCUUUCUCUUCUUUCAUAAGAGUGUAGCUGGCAGGACCUUUAUACUGCUUCGGAGGCAUGCCGUCUUUUUCGUGCAAACGUUGAAGGUCCUCCCGUGCCUCAGGUGUAUCUUUUGUCUUCCCAUACACGCCCAAGAAGCCUAGCAGGUUCACGCAAAGGUUCUUCGUCACGUGCAUCACGUCGAUUGAGGAGUGGACCUCUAGGUCUUUCCAGUAGGGUAGGUCCCAAAAUAUAGAUUUCUUCUUCCACAUGGGUGCGUGUCCCUCAGCGUCAUUCGGAACAGCUAGUCCACCGGGACCCUUUCCAAAGAUUACGUAGUGUAAAUCAUUGACCAUAGCAAGCACGUGAUCACCGGUGCGCACUGCGGGCUUCUUCCGGUGAUCUGCCUUGCCUUUGAAAUGCUUGCCUUUCUUUCGACAUUGAUGGUUGGUCAGAAGAAAUCGACGAUGGCCCAGGUACACAUUCUUCCUGCAUUUGUCCAGGUAUAUACUUUCAGUGUCAUCUAAACAGUGCGUGCAUGCGUGGUAUCCUUUGUUUGUCUGUCCUGAAAGGUUACUGAGAGCGGGCCAAUCGUUGAUGGUCACGAACAUCAACGCCUUAAGGUUAAAUUCCUCAUGUCUGUGCUCAUCCCACGUAUGUACACCGUUUCCAUUCCACAGCUAUAAAAGUUCUUGAACUAAUGGCCUUAGGUACACAUCAAUUUCGUUGUCGGGUUGCUUAGGGCCUUCGAUGAGAACUGGCAUCAUAAUGAACUUCCGCUUCAUGCACAUCCAAGGAGGAAGGAUAUACAUACAUAGAGUCACGGGCCAGGUGCUGUGAUUGCUGCUCUGCUCCCCGAAAGGAUCAAUGCCAUCCGCGCUUAAAGCAAACCAUACAUUCCUUGGGUCAUUUGCAAACUCAUCCCAGUACUUUCUCUCGAUUUUUCUCCACUGCGACCCAUCAGCGGGUGCUCUCAACUUCCCAUCUUUCUUUCGGUUCUCACUGUGCCAUCGCAUCAACUUGACAUGCUCUUCAUUUCUGAACAGACGUUUCAACCGUGGUAUUAUAGGAGCAUACCACAUCACCUUCGCAGGAACCCUCUUCUUGGGGGGCUCGCCGUCAACAUCACCAGGGUCAUCUCGUAUGAUCUUAUACCGCAAUGCACCGCAUACCGGGCAUGUGUUCAGAUCCUUGUAUGCACCGCGGUAGAGGAUGCAGUCAUUAGGGCAUGCAUGUAUCUUCUCCACCUCCAAUCCUAGAGGGCAUACGAUCUUCUUUGUUGCGUAUGUACUGUCAGGUAAUUCGUUAUCCUUUGGAAGCUUCUUCUUCAAUAUUUUCAGUAGCUUCUCAAAUCCUUUGUCAGCCACAGCAUUCUCUGCCUUCCACUGCAGCAAUUCCAGUACGGUGCCGAGCUUUGUGUUGCCAUCUUCGCAAUUGGGGUAUAACCCUUUUUUGUGAUCCUCUAACAUGCGAUCGUACUUCAGCUUCUCCUUUUGACUUUCGCAUUGCAUCCUUGCAUCGACAAUGACCCGGCGGAGAUCAUCAUCAUCGGGCACAUCGUCUGGUUCCUCUUGAUCUUCAGCAGCUUCACCCAUUGCAGCAUCAUUGGGCACAUCGUCUGGUUCCUCUUGAUCUUCACCAGCUCCCCCCGUUGCAGCAUCACCGUAUUCAGGGGGCAGAUAGUUGUCAUCGUACUCUUCUUCUUCGUCGUCUUCCAUCAUAACCCCUAUUUCUCCGUGCCUCGUCCAAACAUUAUAGUGUGGCAUGAAACCCUUGUAAAGCAGGUGGGAGUGAAGGAUUUUCCGGUUAGAGUAAGACCUCGUAUUCCCACAUUCAGUGCAUGGACAACACAUAAAACCAUUCUGCUUGUUUGCCUCAGCCGCAUCGAGAAACUCAUGCACGCCCUUAAUGUACUCGCGGGUGUGUCUGUCACCAUACAUCCAUUGCCGGUUCAUCUGCGUGCAUUAUAUAUAAUUAAGUGUCCAAAUUAAUAGAAGUUCAUCAUCACAUUAAAACCAAAGUGCAUACAUAGUUCUCAUCUAACAACAUAUAACUCUCCAGAGCAUCUAAUUAAUUAAACCAUACAUUGAAACUAUGUAAAACAUUUCAAUGCGAAAACAAAUGCGAUCAUAAUCGCAACCAAGGUAACAAUUGAUCCAACGGCAUAAUGAUACCAAGCCUCGGUAUGAAUGGCAUAUUUUCUAAUCUUUCUAAUCUUCAAGCGCAUUGCAUCCAUCUUGAUCUUGUGAUCAUCGACGACGUCCGCAACAUGCAACUCCAAUAUCAUCUUCUCCUCCUCAAUUUUUUUUAUUUUUUCCUUCAACAAAUUGUUUUCUUCUUCAACUAAAUUUAACCUCUCAACAUAGGGUCGGUUGGCAUUUCCGAGUCACAUACAUCCUACAUAAAAAAAAUCUAUGUCACGUUGGUCGGCAUAAUUUUCAUAAACAAUAAAUGAACCAAUAGUUAUAAAGAUAAUAUAUAUACCACAUCCGAAUCAUAGACAGGACAAGGGCCGACGGGGGUGGAUACCAAAACCAUCGCUAUAUAUAAGAUGCAAUAAUAAAAGUAAGAAAAUAAUACAAGUAUCUAUGUAAACAUACAAGUAAGAAUAUUUUUCCUUUCAGAAAGAAGAUAAGAACAAGAGGCUCACCACGGUGGUGCCGGCGAUGAGCUCGGUGCGGGUGAUCAACGGCGGUGAAGACGGGGACGGGGCGUGACGGACCGCUAAACCUAGACAAAUAUUAUGGAAAAUGGAGCUUGGAGGUCGAGCUUGGAGAGGAGAAAGCUUAAGUAGUGUGGCUCGGGCAUUCCAUCGAACACCUUGUGUGCAUAGGAGGUGAGCUAGAGCACCACCAAGCCCUCUCCCCCUCGGCCAGAGAAAAACAGAGCACUGGGGUGCUCUGCUCGCGAGCGAGGGGUAUAUAUAGGCACCUCAUUGGUCCCGGUUGGUGACUUGAGCCGGCACUAAAGGGGAGCCUUUGGUCCCGGUUCAAGCCACCAACCGGGACCAAUGGUGGUGGGCCAGGAGCAAGGCCCAUUGGUCCCGGUUCAUCCCACCAACCGGGACCAAAAGGUCCAGAUGAACCGGGACCAAUGGCCCACGUGGCCCGGCCGGCCCCCUGGGCUCACGAACCGGGACCAAUGCCCACAUUGGUCCCGGUUCUGGACUGAACCGGGACUAAUGGGCUGACCCGGCCUGGACCAAAGCCCUGUUUUCUACUAGUGCGACUCCUGCCUGCAUCUACUACUAUUACUCCACUCAUCGACCGCUAUCCAGCAUGCAUCUAGAGUAUUAAGUUCAUAAAAACAGAGUAACGCCUUAAGCAGAUGACAUGAUGUAGAGGGAUAAAUUCAUGCAAUAUGAUAAAAAAACCAUCUUGUUAUCCUCGAUGGCAACAACACAAUACGUGCCUUGCUGCCCCUACUGUCACUGGGAAAGGACACCGCAAGAUUGAACCCAAAGCUAAGCACUUCUCCCAUUGCAAGAAAGAUCAAUCUAGUAGGCCAAACCAAACUGAUAAUUCGAAGAGACUUGCAAAGAUAACCAAUCAUACAUAAAAUAAUUCAGAGAAGAUUCAAAUAUUGUUCAUAGAUAAACUUGAUCAUAAACCCAGAAUUCAUCGAUCUCAACAAACACACCGCAAAAGGAAGAUUGCAUCGAAUAGAUCUCCAUGAGAGAGGGGGAGAAGAUUGUAUUGAGAUCCAAAAAGAGAGAAGAAUCCAUCUAGGUAAUAACUAUGGACCCGAAGGUCUGAGGUAACUACUCACACUUCAUCGGAGGGGCUAUGGUGAUGAUGUAGAAGCCCUCCGUGAUCGAUGCCCCCUCCGGCGGAGCUCCGGAACAGGCCCAGGAUGAGAUCUCGUGGGUACAGAAGGUUGCGGCGGUGGAAUUAGGGUUUUGGCUCCGUUUGAUAUUCUUUUUCUGCGAAACUCUGAAAUAGGCAAAAAACAAUGAUUCUGGGCUGGGCCCCUGGUUAAUAGGUUAGUCCCAAAAAUAAUAUAAAAGUGAAUAAUAAAGCCCAAUAAUGUCCAAAACAGUAGAUAAUAUAGCAUGGAGCAAUAAAAUAUUAAAGAUACGUUGGAGACGUAUCAACCCCGCGUCGGUCAUCGCCCCGGUCCGCGCCGCCCCGCAUCGUCACCGCCCCAGUCCGCGCCAUCGCCGACGCCGCCCCCAGUGAGCCCCAGCCCCCGCGCCCCUGCCUUGCCCCCCGUCACCACCGCCGCCGCCAUGGCCACCAUAAAAAAUAUAUGAUUAGAUGGUUUUUUUCAUAGAUGUGAUUUUUUUUGUUCAUAUAUCAUAUGAUGUUUUUAUAUUGUUCAUAGAUGAUCGAUCAUAUUUGUUCAUAUGUAUGCAAGCGAAGUCGUUGUAGUUAGUUGUACUGUUUAGGGUUAGGGUCGUCGAGGAAAUAAAUUAAGGAAAGAAGAAAAGAGGAAGAAAAGAGGAAGAAGGAAGAAGAAGAAAAAUAAGAAGAGGACGAAGAAGAAGAAAAAAAGAGGAAAAGGAGAAGGAAUAGAGGAGAAGAAAAAAAUAGAUCUAUUUUUUUCUUCUCCUCUAUUCCUUCUCCUUCUCCUUUUUUUUCUUCUUCUCCUCUUUUUUUUCUUCUUCUUCCUCUUCUUAUUUUUUAUCGGGUAUGUCAUUGUCGAUAUACCCCCUCCCCGAUAACUUUGACGUGAGGGGGGGGGGGCGAUAAUUAAUAGAACUAGUUAAACAACUUUAUUUUUAGUAAGUACUACUUUAUUUUAUUUAUAGUAAGUGCUUAGUAGUUGAACUAGUUGAUUUAAUAAAACUACUUCAUUUUACUAUAGAAGUGUUUAUUUUUAGCAAGUUCUACUUUAUUUCAUUUAUAGUAAGUGCUUAGUAGUUGAACUAGUUGAUUUAAUAAAACUACUUUAUUUUACUAUAUAUAGAAGUAGUUUAUUUUUAGUAAGUACUACUUUAUUUUAUUUAUAGUAAGUGCUUAAUUAGUAGUUGAACUAGUUGAUUUAAUAAAACUACUUUAUUUUACUAUAGCAGUAGUUUAUUUUUAGCAAGAAAAUUAAUAGAACUAGUUUAUUUUUUAGUUCAAGCAAUUAUUCCCGCAUCGACGUCGAGGAUGCCGAUCCCACAUCCUCGUCAUCGACUCAACGGAGGAGGCCGGCUUGAUCAGAGGGGCCACGUCCGGGACUAGGCUCCGCCGGGCUGGUAUUGGGAGGUGCUACCUUUCGAGGGACGUAGGUUGGUGAGGAGCCAGCCCGUCGUUGACCCGAUUGUCGGUGUCAAAACCGGCGGAUCUCGGGUAGUGGGUCCCGAACUGUGCGUCUAGGCCGGAUGGUAACAUGAGGCAGGGAACACGAUGUUUUACCCAGGUUCGGGCCCUCUUGAUGGAGGUAAAACCCUACCUCCUGCUUGAUUAAUAUUGAUGAUAUAGGUAGUACAAGAGUAGAUCUACCACGAGAUCAAGGAGGCUAAACCCUAGAAGCUAGCCUAUGGUAUGAUUGUUGUAUAUGGAGUUGAUUGCCUACGGACUACAACCCUCCGGUUUAUAUAGACACCGGAUAGGGUUAGGGUUACAUAGAGUCGGUUACAAUGGUAGGAGAUCUUGAAUAUCCGCAUCGCCAAACUUUCCUUCCACGCCAAGGAAAGUCCCAUCCAGACACGGGACCGAGUCUUCAAUCUUGUAUCUUCAUAGUCCUGAGUCCGGCUGAAGGUAUAGUCCGGCUACCCGAACACCCCCUAAUCUAGGACUCCCUCAGUAGCCCCCGAACCAGGCUUCAAUGACAACGAGUCCGGCGCGCAGAUUGUUCGGCAUUGCAAGGCGGGUUCUUCUCCAAAUCUUGUGUACCUGUAGGAAUAAUGUCCGAUUUUUGUAAUGUAGUGCUCCUCGGCUUCCACGCCCAAUAAUGGCCGUCUUCCACGUGUCAAACGAAUGUGAAAUGCCGAGGCAUUUUUACAUCCACACCCCUAGCCAUAUAAACGAGCCGCCUAUUUAACGGGAUGGGGAUUUAGGUCCAAACCACAUCUUCUCCUUUCCGCGAGUUAUCAUCAGAGCGCUUCCAGCAAAGGUCCAUUCCAACAUGACCAGCCAUCGCAGCUCCUCCCCUCGCCCCUCCGGUCCCAAACCCGGGGACUGGGGGAGUUGCACCAUCCCGCAUAGAGAGUUAGUGUCGCUUCAGGCCAAGGGAUUUCUCCCUCGGGCAUACAUGGUCCCGGUCCGAGCCGGUCUCGCCACCUACAAUGGCGGAAAACAAGCGGAGAUCACCCCCAAUCCUUCUAAAGGAGAGCGGGUGUGCCUCGUCCCCUAUCUAAUAAGGGUACUGGGGUUUCCAAUUCAUCCAUUUCUCCGCGGGCUUCUGGAGUUCUAUGGCCUCCAGCUGCACAAUCUCACUCCCGCCUCCGUAUUGCAUAUUGCGGGUUUCGUCGCCCUUUGCGGGCUAUUUUUAGGCGUUGAGGCUCACUUCGCGCUGUGGAAGAGGUUAUUCUGCCUGGUGCCUCGUUCUCAAGAGGGGUCUAUAUACCAAGUGGGCGGAGCCGAAGUAUGGCGCAUCGCCGGGACCAGAUACCUAUCCGGAACCCCAAAGAAGGCGUCCGAGGACUGGCCUUCGGAAUGGUUUUACAUAGAUGAUGUCCCGCUACCGGACCCUAUCCGGGUCGGUCUCCCUGAGUUCAAUAGUGCUCCAUUGAAGAAACGCUUGAGCUGGCGUCCGUGGAGCUCUCAGAGAGAAAGUGACAGAGACGUCCUUUACCUGAUGGGCCGGAUAAGACUGUUGGCUCAUUCCGGACUAACCAUGAUUGGAGUCAUGGCGGCAUGCAUUAUGCGGGGGGUGCAGAGUCUUCAAUAUAGAGGCCACCCCAUGUGGGAUUUCAACGGGGAGGAUGACGCCACACGUUACGGUCGUAAGGGGCCGGCCUCAACCGCCGCCUUAGUAAAGAUCUUAUCCUCUUUGUACAAGGGAGAAAAGGAGGAAUUCCUCCACGUCAACCCGCGGGCCGGAUUCAGUAUGUACGAUCCUCCAAGUUGGGUAAGUGAACAAUUGUGCUUGCCCGUUUGUUUUAUACUCCCAUGGUUAGAUAGGUAGUCUGGUGACUUCAAUGCAGGAACUGCGACAGGAGGUAAAGGAUAUAAAUAGCCGCCCUCCACAGCCCAAGGACCCAGAACGGUCCCUCAAUCCGGACUCCGAAGAGGAUCCAGACAUAUCGGUGGAGCUUAUCGAUGGGGUGUUCCAUCAGCUAAGCAAGGACAAUACCUUGGUAGCCAUUACGGCGGAUUACCCAGGGUUAAUCCUGGCCUCUCAGGUGAUAGAAACCGGGGUCUUAUUCCCUUGAAAGGGAUUCCACCCUUACGUAGCCCGGUGUUUCUGACGACAACCGUGUUUUGCAGGGGAGAUUUCCGAGGCAGGAGGCCGAACCUGCGGCGGCUAGCCAACAAGGGGCCGCAGGGCCCCAUGGGGUAAAAAGGAAUGUAGUCCGAACUGAGAUGCCGGCGCAAAGGUAUAGUGCACCCUCUGUUUCCCUGGAGUUAUUCUGUUAGGGCAUAUUAACAUUCGUGCUACCUUCAGAACGAAGAGACCUCGCCGGACUACAUCCAGAGAGGUUGCCAAUCGCGCCUCCACCAGCCAGGCUCCAACGUCUGGCCAGGAAGCGGAGGCGAGCACAAGGCGCGCACCGGACGCUCCUCCGACAGAGGAUGCGGGCAGGCUGUCUGCCACAAAUUCUGAAGUGGAGAGUGCCAUGAACCACAGGCAUCGCCGGAUAAUUCUACGCGACGCUUGUUUCUCCCAAGAGGCUUUAGAUGCCUUGAAUUCAGGAGAUGCGUACCUCCGUGCCGCUCAAAAUGGUUUAGCCAGAGCCACGGAGCAGUAUGUAAAAGACACACGGGUAAGAAAAUUUUGGUUAAAUAUAUAUAUGCCUGUAGCCCCCGAGACUUCAAGCAGUUAGACCAAUUUAUUUAAGGAUCAUUUAAUAUGCAGCUUCUUACAGAGAAGAAUACCGUACUGUCCCAGGAGCUGGAAAAGUGCAAGGCCCAUCUAGAGGCCGCACUAGCUGCAGCAGGGGAGCCCAAAGAGACCCCCUCAGGUAAGAUACACUUCGAAAGAUUAGUAUUGUGCGGUGUGGGUGCAAAUCUGACAAAUCAUAUUGCAGAUGGCGCCGGACUCGAUCUGGACAAGCAACAACUCUUACGCCGGCUAAAGGCCGUUGAGAGUACGUUGACAAAGGUGAGGCGAGAGAAGAAUGAUCUUCAGGACAACAACACCAAGCUGGACAUCGAACUUAAAGAUGUUCGUGGCUAGCUGUCGGACUCCACGAAGGAGAAUCAGCGGCUUUGACAUGACAUUUUUAGUAAGUGCUUGAACGAACUUUGAAAAAAGAGUUCAGCGAGGAAGUCGACUAACAGAGUAAUGUCUGUAGGUAUGCUCACAGGUCGUCCUGUAGAGGAGAUGCCCGGUUCUACGGGUGACCUUCUUCUCGAACUCCUGCAACUGCACGAGCGAAUUCGGUAGGCGAUGCGGGGUAUUGCCCAAGCCUUAUGGCCUGCCCACUCCGUGCCCGAGGGCCUUGGAGAGCUUGCGGAGAAGCUGAAGGGAGCUCGGCGGCGCUUCCGGUUGUGGAAGAUAUCAGCCUACCGACAAGGCGCUAGGGAGGCCUGGGCCAUGGUGAAGACCCGUUUUACGAAGUCUGACCCAAACCACAUGGCCGAGGUCGGACCAGUGGGGCCUGAUGGGAAGGAGAUCCCUGUAAGCUUAGUAUACGGCCAAGUAGAGUUGGCCGCAAAGUAUUCCCAGCAGGACUGUAAAUUAGACAGCCUAUUUGAUGGUAUAGAAGAGGAAUACAAUCAGUCAGGAUGACUGUGUAAUUUUGAAUUGACAUGUGUAAUGCCUUCUAGCCGGAUUGUAGAUCGUUUGUCGUUACCGACCUUUUGGCUUCAACCUCGGGACCUGACCGUCCGGAGUAUGUCCGAAUACCCUAGCAGUUAUAUGAAAACCGGGGUAUGCAUGGAGACCAGGCGUAGGGGUCAUCAGUGCUUUAUCAGACAAGUGCCCAACUAGUUAUGUUAUAUUACAUGGUUAGUAAGAAACAUCUUCCAGAGAGAAUAGUUCCAUUAAGGGUUCCUUUCGCUGGGAGGCAUGCCCUAAGGUGCAUGUCCGGACUGCGUGAAGAGACGCAGAAAAAAAGCAUCUGGGGGCGCAUAAAAUGAGUAAAAAGAUCAUCUUUUAUUUCACCGACAGAAUAUUCCCUUAAGAAUGCUAGCUUUCGGCUUCACCCAGUCUGAGGUACACAUCCGGCUGACCCGGCAGUAACAAUCGCAGAGGUGCUCCCUUUACCGCCUAGCCGAACAAUCGGGAACGUAGGGGUAAGCACAGGAGCCAGGCAACCCAGCUUGUCCAAAACUUAAGUCAUAUCGAUGCAUAUAAUGGUGAAUAAAAAAGGUACAUGCGGAAGUUUGACGCAUGUGUUGGGCGUCAAGCCCGUAUAAAUAAGCUUCUGUUAAAGAAGCCCCCAGGUUUAAUGAGCGCGAGUGGCGCGUCACUAGAUGAGCCUUUAAGGGCUAUGAAAGAAAAAAAAAUGGGAAGGAGAGAAAUGUAGGAUAGAAAAAUACAAAAAAGGGAUGGACAGAGGAAGGAUACGAACACAGAGUCCGGCGCUAGGCAUAGAAUCUUCGGAGACGGGUGGCGUUCCAUGGGUUCGGCUCGAGUCGGUUGUUCGACGCAUCUCGCAGGCGGUACACCCCACCAGUCAGGACUUGGUCGAUUAUGAAUGAACCUUCCCACUUGGGCUUGAGUUUUUGUCCUUUUUCUUAUCCGGCAGGCGUAGAACUAGUUCGCCAACAUUGUAAUUUUUGGCCCGUACUUCUCUGCUUUGGCAUCUUCGGGCCUGCUAUUGAUAAAAUGCGGAACGGGCUUUUGCCACAUCGCGCUCCUCCUCCAAGGCGUCCAAGUUGUCCUGCCGAUCGAGCUCGGCUUCUCUUUCUUCGUACAUGCGCACUCUAGGUGAGUCAUGAAUUAUGUCGCAGGGCAGAACUGCUUCUGCGCCGUACACCAUAAAAAAUGGUGUGUAUCCGGUGGUGCGAUUUGGCGUGGUCUGCAGCCCCCAUAGCACGGAGUCGAGCUACUCUACCCAGUGUGUGUUAGAUUCCUUAAGGGACCGCACCAGUCUAGGUUUAAUGCCGCUCAUGAUAAGACCAUUUGCAUGUUCGACCUGGCCGUUGGUUUGUGGGUGAUAGACGGAAGCAUAAUCGAGCUUGAUGCCCAUGUUUUUGCACCAGAGUUUUACCUCGUCGGCGGUAAAGUUUGUAUCGUUGUCGGUUAUGAUGCUGUGGGGGACGCCAUAAUGGUGUACAACCCCGGAUAUGAAGUCUAUCACAGGUCCAGAUUCGUCCGUUUUAAUAGGCUUGGCUUCUAUCCAUUUGGUGAACUUAUCCACCAUGACCAGUAAGUAUUUUUUCCUAUGGGUUCCACCUUUAAGGGGUCCGACCAUGUCAAGCCCCCAGACUGCAAAAGGCCAGGUGAUGGGUAUAGUUUGGAGUGCGGUGGGUGGCAUAUGGCUUUGGUUGGCAAAAAGUUGGCAACCAGGGCAUCGUUGGACUAGGUCCUGAGCGUUUGCUCGGGCCGUCGGCCAGUAAAAGCUUGUACGGAAAGCCUUGCUAACAAGGGACCGAGCAGCGGCGUGGUGACCACCGAGUCCGGCAUGAAUUUAAGCCAGGAGGUUCCGCCCUUCCUCUUCGGAGAUGCACCUUUGAAGGACUCCGGUAGUGCUUUUCUUAUAAAGUUCUCCCUCAUGGACUCUGUAGGCCUUAGAUCGCCGCACUAUGCAGCGGGCCUCGUUUUGGUCCUCCGGGAGUUCCUGCCUAGUAAGGUAGUCUAGGAAUGGUUCUGUCCACGGGGCGGUAACCGCCAUUAUUACGUGGGAUGAAGGUGUAAUUUCGUUGGCAGAGCCUCCGAUUGUGUCAGAUUGUUCGGCGUCGAGUGGUGCGGCUGGGUUCGGGCUGUCAUUUGCGGGUUCCCCCUCCAAUGUUACGGAUGGCUUGAACAACCUUNNNNNNNNNNNNNNNNNNNNNNNNNNNNNNNNNNNNNNNNNNNNNNNNNNNNNNNNNNNNNNNNNNNNNNNNNNNNNNNNNNNNNNNNNNNNNNNNNNNNNNNNNNNNNNNNNNNNNNNNNNNNNNNNNNNNNNNNNNNNNNNNNNNNNNNNNNNNNNNNNNNNNNNNNNNNNNNNNNNNNNNNNNNNNNNNNNNNNNNNNNNNNNNNNNNNNNNNNNNNNNNNNNNNNNNNNNNNNNNNNNNNNNNNNNNNNNNNNNNNNNNNNNNNNNNNNNNNNNNNNNNNNNNNNNNNNNNNNNNNNNNNNNNNNNNNNNNNNNNNNNNNNNNNNNNNNGGGGGGGGGGGGACUGCAUCGGGUUUUGCUCCGAUGCGUGCAAGGACGUCCGCCGCUUGAUUGUUUUCUCGGGCUAUAUGGUGGAACUCCAGCCCUUCGAACCAAGCUGACAUUUUUAGGACGGCGUCGCGGUAAGCUGCCAUUUUUGGGUCCUUGGCGUCGAAGUCUCCAUUUAUUUGGGAUAUCUCAAGGUUUGAAUCCCCGCGUACCUCUAGGCGUUGGAUACCCAUGGAUACUACUAUCUGGAGGCCAUGUAGGAGGGCCUCAUAUUCGGCUGCAUUGUUGGAAUCUGUGUACAUGAUCUGGAGCACAUAUUGGACUGUGUCUCCUGUGGGGGACGUUAGGACGACGCCGGCCCCCAGUCCGGCCAACAUUUUGGAGCCGUCGAAAUGCAUAAUCCAGUUCGAAUAUGUGCCGUACUCUUUAGGGAGCUCGGCCUCCGUCCAUUCUGCGACGAAGUCGGCCAAAACUUGCGAUUUACUAGCUCACCGUGGCUUAUAGGUUAUAUCGAACGGGAGAAGCUCGAUGGCCCAUUUUGCAAUCCGGCCCGAUGCAUCGCGGUUGUUGAUAAUAUCGUUUAGUGGCACUUCCGAGGCUACUAUUAUGGAACACUCUUGAAAGUAGUGUCGUAGCUUCUGGGACGCCAUGAAUACCGUGUAUGCAAUCUUUUGAUAAUGCGGGUAUCGUGAUUUGCAUGGAGUGAGGACAGUGGACACGUUGUAGACCGGCCUUUGAAGGGGGAAUUUGUGUCCAUCCGUUUCCCGCUCGACAACGAGCACUGCGCUGACAACUUGGUGUGUUGCUGCAAUGUACAAUAACAUUGGUUCGCCAGUGAUUGGCGCGGCUAGGACUGGGUUUGUUGCCAAUAUGGCUUUUAUUUCAUCAAGUCCGGCCGUGGUGGCAUCCGUCCACUCGAAGUGUUCGGUGCGCCGAAGGAGGCGAUAAAGGGGUAGUGCAUUUUCUCCCAAGCGGGAGAUGAAGCGGCUUAAAGCCGCCAAGCAUCCGGUUAAUUUUUGUAUUUGUUUAAGGUCCUUUGGGACAUCCAAUUGUGACAAAGCUCGGAUCUUGGCUGGGUUUGCUUCAAUUCCUCUACCGGAUACAAUGAAGCCCAAGAGCUUUCCGGCUGGAACGCCGAAGACGCAUUUUUCUGGGUUCAGCUUGAUGUCAUAUUUUCGGAGGUUAUUGAAUGUAAGCCUCAAGUCAUUUACUAGGGAUUCGACAUGUCUUGAUUUGACGACAUCAUCAUCCACAUACGCCUCCAUUGUUUUGCCGAUCUGGUUUGCCAGACAUGUCUGGAUCAUGCGCUGAUAUGUUGCGCCGGCGUUUUUCAGCCCGAAGGGCAUUGUGUUGAAGCAGAAUGGGUCGUAUGGUGUGAUGAAUGCUGUUGCAGCUUGGUCUGAUUCUGCCAUCUUGAUUUGAUGGUAACCAGAGUAUGCGUCGAGGAAACACAACAAAUCGUGUCCUGCGGUGGCAUCGAUAAUUUGAUCGAUACGGGGGAGGGGGAAGGGAUCCUUUGGGCAAGCCUUGUUAAGGUCUUUAAAAUCGACACAUAGGCGCCAGGAUUUGUCCUUCUUUGGUACCAUCACCAGGUUUGCUAGCCAGUCCGGAUGUUUUAUGUCUCUGAUGAAUCCGGCCUCUAAUAGCUUGGCUAGCUCCUCUCCCAUAGCCUGUCUCUUGGGUUCAGAAAAACGCCAAAGGGCUUGUUUCACAGGUUGAAAUCCUUUUAGGAUAUUUAAGCUAUGUUCGGCCAGCCUGCGUGGGAUCCCUGGCAUGUCUGAAGGGUGCCAGGCGAAGAUGUCCCAGUUCUCUCGUAGGAACUCUCGCAGUGCGGCAUCUGCAUCAGGGGUCAGUCGUGUCCCGAUGGAAGCUGUUUUAUUGGGGAUGGACCUAGAAUUUGACUAUUUCGUCAGCUGGCUUGAAGGACGUGGAUUUGGAUCUCUUAUCGAGUAUCACAUCACCCUGUUAACCGUGGAGCGCAGCGCAGUUAGUUCCUCGGCCGCUAAGGCUUCGGAUAGCGCCUCAAGGGCUAAUGCUCCCGUGUUGUUUUCGGCGCGGAGUGCUAUGUCCGGAUCACUAGCUAGAGUGAUAAUUCCAUUGGGCCCGGGCAUCUUAAGCUUCAUGUACCCGUAAUGGGGUAUUGCUUGGAAGAUUGUGAAUGCUUCCCGCCCUAGUAAAGCGUGAUAUCCGCUCUUAAACGGGGCCACCUGAAACGUGACUUCUUCGGACCUGUAAUUAUCCGGUGUGCCGAACACCACAUCUAGUGUGAUUUUUCCUGUGCAGCGCGCUUCCCGACUGGGGAUUAUUCCUCUAAAGGUUGUGCUGCUUCGCUCGACGCGGUUCCAGUCUAUUUCCAUUUUUUGAAGGGUUUCCUCAUAAAUGAGGUUCAGUCCGCUGCCUCCAUCCAUGAGCACCUUGGUGAGGCGAAAGCCGUCCACUAUGGGACUGAGGACCAAUGCGGCUGGUGAUCGGGCUGUUCGGAAUCUAGGUUCAUCACUUGCGUUGAAGGUAAUGGCGGUGUCGCUCCAUGGAUUUAUUGUUGCAACUUGAUAGACUUCGGCGAGGCUGCGGAGUGUUCUUUUUCGCACAUUGUUUGGUGCGAAAGUCUCGAAGACUGUGAGAACGGUACUGGUGUCCUUGGGAUGGCUUUCUGCGGCCUCCGAAUUAAGAGGUCCUCGCCGAUUUUGGCCACCUGCCGGAGUAUCCAACAUGCUCUAAGGCUGUGAGUUGGUGUGGCGUCCUCUGUACUGUGAAUUCUACAGGGUCCAUCAAGCCAUCUUUCCAGUACGGUUCCAUGCCCUGUAGACGGUUUUGGUUUUUGGUGUUUAUCCCGAGUGUCCUGUGAUAAUGCACCCUCUUAGUUCGGACGGGAUUACUAUUCAAGGCCGGAUUAUCCCAAAAAUUUAUUUUGGUUUUCCAGGCGCUUUCCAUCGCACAGUAUUUUUGUACUAUGGACGCCAAGUCAGCGAAGCGUGUGAUAUCACGACGACUUAUGGCGUUAAGGAUUCCCUUGUCCGUGCAAUUACUUUAGAAAAUUGAGAUUGCGUCUUCCUCACGGCAAUCAUUUAUCCUAUUCAUAACCAGGAGGAAUCUGGCCCAGUAAUGAUGUACUGUUUCCUCAGGCCUCUGCCUGAUUUGGGAGAGAUCACUUAUGAUCGGGUGGGCGGGUGUCGUUGAAUCUGAAACCUCACCCAAUCCAAGAUUCGGAGGCCGAAGAGUUUCCGAACUCUGAUGUUCGGAUUCUUGGAUGUUGUCCAGUGAAUCUGGCCCGUUGCCUGAUCCUAAGCUCAGGUCUUGAGUUACAUCUCCCCCUCCGCGGGUAUCCGGCUUGGAGGGGUCGGGAAUUCGGACAUAGCUAGUCGUUAAAAUAGAUGAAGGGUCGCCGCACUGCGUCUCUACCACGGCAACGUGGUGGGUGACUUGGGGAGAGUUAAUUUCUCUUAGAUCGGGUUUAAGCCCAACCUGGUCGUAAUCCAUAGCGACCCCCAGGGCGGCGAUGCGAUCCAAGAGCUUGUUUACGGAAGAGAGCUCCAUUGGAUCUAGCUGCUCGACGAGCUCCGAGCUGAUGUGUAGGUUGCUUUUGAUGACCCGAGAGGUCACCGUCGGCGCAACAGCCGAACAGGCGGUCAUGAGGAAACCACCUAGCCGGAGGGUUUGGCCGACAGCCAAGGCUCCCUUAGCAACGGCGUCGUCUUUAAAGAUGGGAGGAGGCAUCCUUCCUGAUUGUGACGGCACAGAGGAACUCUCAAUGAAAGCACCAAUGUCGGUGUCAAAACCGACGGAUCUCGGGUAGUGGGUCCCGAACUGUGUGUCUAGGCCGGAUGGUGACAGGAGGCAGGGAACACGAUGUUUUACCCAGGUUCGGGCCCUCUUGAUGGAGGUAAAACCCUACGUCCUGCUUGAUUAAUAUUGAUGAUAUAGGUAGUACAAGAGUAGAUCUACCACGAGAUCAAGGAGGCAAAACCCUAGAAGCUAGCCUAUGGUAUGAUUGUUGUAUAUGGAGUUGAUUGCCUAGGGACAACAACCCUCCGGUUUAUAUAGACACCGGAUAGGGUUAGGGUUACAUAGAGUCGAUUACAAUGGUAGGAGAUCUUGAAUAUCCGCAUCGCCAAACUUGCCUUCCACGCCAAGGAAAGUCCCAUCCGGACACGGGACGAAGUCUUCAAUCUUGUAUCUUCAUAGUCCUGGAGUCCGGCUGAAGGUAUAGUCCGGCUACCCGAACACCCCCUAAUCCAGGACUCCCUCACCGAUCCUUGUUUGGUGGCGGUCGCGUGGGCCAGUGAUGGUGCCUAGUCUUUCGGACACUGCGGAGGUGGUACUUCACCGUGUCAGCAAGGAGGACGAGCACGUCCGUCGCUACAUGGUUGCGUAUAUAUAUAUAUAUAUAUAUAUAUAUAUAUAUAUAUAUAUAUAUAUAUAUAUAUAUAUAUGAGAAGACGAAGAAUCCCGACUGUUGUCGUGGGGGUCGCUUCUCCUUCGUUCCCGUGUGCUAGUCAUUUUGGUGUAAUGCACUCGGGGACAAAUGGAGGAGCAACCAUCACCAAUGGUCGAAUGUAUACACCACGUGAGCUGAGAAUUUUCAAGAAAAGACUCGACAAACGGAUAGUCAACCCGUGAUGAAUAAUAAUGAUCUAAUUUAGUUUUUGUAGUACAUAUAUUUAAUUGUACAAGUUUAAUCUUUGAAUUAUGAACGUAGGAAAUGUCGUCAUCGGACGACGAAAGUCUCCCGGAGGAGUGCGGCUGGUGCCACGACGAUCGAGGAUUGUGCGACAGGCCUCACCUGGACGAUGAUCGGCGCUUCAGCAUUAAGCUCGAGGAGACCUUCGUGUUGAAACGAUACGCAACGGCGACAAGUGUUUUUUCGUAAUUAAGCAUGACUUCAACUAUUUCAACAUGUAAUUUUCAUCUUUUACAAUUUGAGUAUAGCUUAUUCCAUGCCAUGCAAGACGCUAUGUCUUGGAGAGGAUGGAUUUUGAAGACCAUGAAAAUUUUGAAACGAAGAAAAUUCACCUAAGGACCCAUCACGAUGUGGAUUUUGAAGUAAAUCUAUAUAAUGCUGAGAGUGUAACCCAUUUUGGUUGAAAAAAUUGGGAAGCAUUUUGCAAGAUGUAUGGUUUUGACGAGGGUAUGCUUGUCACCAUGGAUCUUCGUGAUCCUGACAUCGACCAAGACAAUAUGAACAUUUGGGUACUUGUUGAUACGCCUCCAGUUCUACCGCUAUGUGAGUUUCUCAAACAUAGUUAAUUAUUAACUAAUUUAUAUUGUUUAUUUCAAAAUAGUUGACAACUUAUUUUGAUUGCUCAAACAAUGUGCGGAACAUGGUAGACAAACCCACUACACCAAUGGCUCCGAGUUAACUUAUCAGGAGAAAAAUCAUCUGGUCGGAUUUUGUACUGAUCUUGAGAAUUACAAUAUCUACAAUCAAACUCCUCAACAUUAUGGUCAAUAUGUGCCACUAGUGCACGUGUUGAACUACGGUAACUACCAUGGAGAUGCCCUGGUAAGAUUUUUUACUAUUACGACAUCCGUGCAUCUUUUGCGUACUUCUAAAACUAGUACAUCAUUGCUAACUAUUAAGUUAUUACUAUGUUUUUCAACAGAGAAUCGCAGAGGAUUGUGUUCCUCAUUUGAUGUAUUAGAAUGGCAGCCUUAGUGUUUUGAACAUAUAUCCAGGUCAUACUACGAAUCUCAACUGUCCAUACCGGAUUUCUAAAAGAAGUGGAGACAUGCUAAUCAGAUAAUGGAAAAAAUGUGGACAAUCGUAAGGAGGUUCUUGGAAGCAAAAGGAAGCACCACGCAAGAAUUGGAGACAGGAUCGAUGAUCUCCAUUCUCCAUAAUGGAGAGUCAGGGUCUAUAUUGUUUUAUGCUAUUUUACCUUAAAUAGGGUAUUUAGGUCCUGCAUAAUACUGAUGAUCAUGUGUGAAGAACAAUUAAGUAGGGUUGGUUCGAUGACUAUCAGGAUGAUGAUCGUAUGACUUGUUAUUAAUAACGAGUAGAAGUUGUAUGAUGAUGAUUAGUAGGACUUGUUACUAUGAUGAUGCAUGAUGCGAGCAUGAAGAGUUAUUAUAUAUCUGUGGGUGAAAUGAACAUGGAUUGGAUUGAAGUGAAGGCAACAUGCAUGUGGUGCAUGUCGAAAUUAGUACAAUCCAAACUUGAGAUUGUACUAAUUUCGACAUGCACCACAUGUUGCCUCACUUCAAUCUAAGUCAUGUUUAGGCAUAGCAGUUGCAGUAGCACGGAGAUAAGAGAGGACACAUCUCUCUAUUAGCUACCUAUAACAACCUAAAUUAACCCCCAAAACCCCUAAACCACCUCCUUUCCAAAAAAACAGCCCCUGAAAUGCUGACGCGUGGAAGCUUAUUGGUCACGGUUAGUGCUACCAACCGGGACCAAAGGCCCUCCUGCCUGGGCUCCCCGGAGCGGCCACGUGGAGGCCCAUCUGUCCCGGUUGGUAUAAGAACCGGGACUAAAGGCCUAUGGCAUUAGUAACGACCCUUUAGUCUCGGUUACCCAUCCGGGACAGAUGGGCCUUAUGAAACGGGACAAAUGGCCCUUUUUCUACUAGUGUAAAAUAAUAAAGUACCACCAGGCUGAUCUCUAAUUUUCACUCAGCUAACACAAACGCGGUUUACACUGUCCGUGUACUACUCUUGAUGUCCAUUUGGAGUAGGAUUUGUAAGUGAAUGUUUAUCUACCGUUGUACUCAAGUUAACUUGAAUUAGGUCAGAUGAAUCAGAUACUUCUUCCAAUUGCUUGAACGGAUCAACAAGGCAUGCAUACUAUACUGCCACUUUUGCCUCAGAAAUGAAACUUUUCUAUCUUUGAUCAUGUCUCUAAGAAAAAGUAUUAAGAGAAACCAACUAUGAGGAUAAACAAAUGACCAAACUUAGAAGUAUGUACUUGAGGUACACGUCAGCCAUGACAUUACCUUGUCUUUGAAGAACACAUCCAACUCAUCCUGCUAUCCGGCAACCUGUGGCCACCCCCAAGCCUGAAAUCCUCGACGCUCCAUCCAACCUCUGCAUGGCAGUAAAGUGAAACCAAGAUCUAUGUCAUGAUAAAGCUCUUCAAAAAAAUCAGUGCUCUUAACUAAUGCAUCUAAAAAAAUAAUCAUUUGGCUACAAAAAUAGUUGCAAGACUAUAUGAACAAUUCAGUCUCAAACCCUUCAAAAUGCGCUGGCCCUUCGCUCCGGCAGAACCUAUUUCAUAACAAAACAAUCAUGAAAUUCUGUCAGGUGAGUGUAGGAUAUUGUAAUUAACCAAAAGGAUUAAUAAACGAUAUUAUAUUGUUUCCGACUACCGAAUAACCAAGCAGACUAAAGGGAUGAAGAGGCAUACACAACAUCAGGUACAUCGACGGCUCCAGCUAGCGAUGCUUCUGUGGAGAGAUGUGGUCGCUGCUACCUCUACAACAACAGUGUUGUCGGACGAAUUGGUGAUGCAUUGUACAAGUUAUACUUCGGCUCGAACCUUCUCAAGACAGGUCAGAGGCAUCUAAGAAAUAUGAGAAAAUUAGGAAAAAAAAUAAGAUGGUGAUUUGGUUAAUUUGAAGGAACUGUAAUUUGCAGGGAAGGGCGACGACUUUGCAACUCGGUGCUCACCCUCACUAUCAGCCGUCAGGUAGAAACAAUUUGUGCGCGCACCGGGGGUCCUCUUAUUCCCAUUUCAUUUGCUCCCUGUGCCACAUCCGCAGCAUCCACAAGCUAUAGAUCUUUGGAGGAGCAGACCACUACUGCUUCUAUGCUGAAGGUAUUGCAAUAGGUAAAACGGCAUCCUGAACCAAAUUUUAUAAAGAAAAGUAACCUACAGCAGAAGUAGGUAUUUACUCUAUGCAAAAAAAGAUACUACGAUACAAUACAUGAUAAUGCCUAGUCGAACUGAUGUAUUUGUUAGCUACAAAAGGUAGUAGGACAGUACUAAAAGGACCUACUAUUCAAUUCAAGUCUCUAGAGAACAAAAUCACAUUGCUCCUAUUUUCUUAAAAUGAUAAACCAGUACUAAAGAGCUGAUAUUCCAAAUCCGAGUGCUCACAAAUUAAAUGAGAAUCCUAAGCAAAGACAAAUCAUGAAAAUAAAUUAUGUCUGGAAAGGAUGUUUUCGGGAGUUAAUUGAUCAUUAUAUGGGUGCAGACCAAACAAAUAUAGUAUAUUCAGCAAAGACAAAAUUAUAUAGAGAAACAACGUUAAUUGAUCACUAUAUGGUUGCAAAUUAUACAGUAUAUAAAUCAUUUAUAUUUCCAUUGCUAACUCAAUAGAGAAAUGAGGUAAAUAUAGUAUAUUCAGCAAAGACAAACUAUAUGGGUGCAGUCAAAAAAAUGUAUGCGUUAGUCUACUCAUUAAUGAUUAAAAUACUACUAUACUCUAAAGGACAAUUUUUGUCCAAUGAAGAAACACUCUCCUGAUACUCAUCUGGCUGGCCGGACUCGGUAUCUCAGUGGUUCGUACCAUCAUUCUUCCUUUCUUUCUUCUCUACCUGUAGUGUUCCUUCAUAGCUGCACCCGGGCACAAAAUGAGCAUAGAGACACAGAAUGGAAAAUAGUUUUCUGUAAUGUGUGACGACCUAUUACUAAAACCGCAACCAAGUUAGCAAUUAUACACAUACCACACCAAUAACAUCAAAUAAAAAGGUCGGCCUCAGCAUGUAGUUCAAAAUGGGUACUGAUAUUUAGAUACAACUGGUUGAAAAAAAAUUGCAUGGAGAUGGUUACUUUAAAUUUACGUCGGCAAAAAAUUCAACCUCUUCUGCUUUGGGCACUCAAUGCUUGCUUUAUUGCAAAAGAAUUCUUUAUUUCUUGCAUCAAUCUGUGUUGAAGUGAAACACUCGCUAAAGUAGAAGCCUAGUCUAGUCAUAAAGAUAAGGAACUACUUUAAAAUGAAUCAGAUUGUGCACAUUCAGUAACAAGAAUGAAUAUCUUCAUUAACAGUCAUAUUCAACAUACCCUUAAGUUGACUAAAAUAGACUUGUUGUAAUUUACAGAAAAGAAAUACGUGAGAUAAGUCACCUGCCUCAUCUAUCAUUUAGGAGAGGGUUAGUAUAUGAAGAAAUAGGCAACUACAUGAUAGAAAAUUACAUCUUUGAAAUUCUAUAGAGGUAGACAAAUGAAAAUAGACCAACAGAACACAUACGGCCUGAUUAACAUAAUCAGGGAGAACACAAAAAUACACUUAAGAGUCCUCGCUUCAGCAACGGCAAGCAACAACCACAUAUAUCCAUCACAUGUAAAGGGGAGACGGAAACUACCUUAUUUGAGGACUAAAUUAUCAGACUGGUGUAGCUACGAUACAUGCCACAACUAAACAAAUCAACAUGAAUUUCGUCUGUGCAGAUCUCAUAGGGCAGUAAUCAACUGGAGAAAAACCAAGAACAAAAGGAAACAAGGAGACGGUCCUACAGAUUAUGCCAUAUACAAAUAUACAUCAUUGCAGUGCUUGCCUCAAAGCUCCUUCAUUGGGAAAUCAAUGGCCUAACGGAAGCUCGUCCACCCCGACAUAAAGCACUCAUCUAUAAACCUGAUUUCUACGUUGUCGGUUGACCACUUCACAUCAACAGAAGUUCUAAGUACAUGCCACAAUGGCUUCACAGAAAUGCUUGCAAAAUAUAAUCAAAAGUAGUGACCACAAUCGCAUUGUGUAAUUGCUCCUUGUCAAAGCACCCAAGAAUGCAACCAACAAGGUUCGAUAGCAAAAUAAAUGAGGAGAGACAUACCUCAACCUUGUAGGACAGACCCAUAGGAUAAACUGAUCCUAAGCUUGACUCCAAUCCUUCAAUAACAACUUUUUGGCAAUCAUCUAAAAUCUAUUUGGGCCAACUCAUCAACAAAAAAACGUUCUCCUUCUCAAAAGACUCAAGAGUGCAAGGAAUAAGGUCAUGCAGGAAAAAACACACUAGUAGAAAAACGGCAUAAUGUGAAGCACAUUAGUACCGGUUUGUAACAAAACCGGCACUAAUGUGUCCAUUAGUGCCGGUUCAAAACGGCUAGGCGGCCAGAGCUAAUUAUUACCAAUUCGUUGCGAACCUUUAGUACCGGUUCGUUGCAUGAACCGGUACUAAAGAGGAUGUGGCACACCGUGCUCCGGCUGGGGUCCCACCAGCGCCUUUAGUACUGGUUUGUACAACAAACCUGUACUAGAGGUUUGGAGUUGCAGCUGUUUUUUAGUCUCACCUCGCUCGGCUAACAGGGUUUUUACCAUCUUAAAUAUGUUACUUCUCAAACUAUCACAAGCCCUUGGUCUUCAUUGAACUCUAUGUGUAGAAUUUGUGGCCGCAAUAUGAGUCUUCACCGGUUUCUAAACCGUUGAGGACUCAUAUUGACAAUUCAGAUUGUACACAAAAAGAUCAAUGAUGAUCAAUGUAUUUUUUAUGUAUAUUUUUACAUGUUUACACCCUCACUCUGUCCUAUCAAACUCCGGACUUUUUUGCGUUCAGCAGGCACCAUUCAAAGCCACGUCAUCAAUUUUCAACCCUUUCUGACAUAAUUUGCUAUUUUUAAUGCAUUUACUGAUUUGUUUUGAGCUAAAUGGCCCUGAAAUUGAAAAGCACUACAAAUGAACUCAGAAAAGGUUGAAACUUGGCAUGGUAUCAUCAUUUCGCCCGCAUAGCAUGUGCAAAAAAGUAGAGAGGGUCACGGCAAAAACAGGAUGCACUUCGUGUACAAAUUGCACAAUCUCUUUCAAAGUAUCAGGGUUUCGGACGAAAACUCAUCUGUUACACCGGCAAUUCAAAAUUUUAGUAACUUAUUACAACUGCAGAAAAGAAAAAAAACUAUAUAAAAAAAUUACUCAGAAUAAAUAGAAGAAAAUAAAUAAAGCAGAAAAGAAAAAAACUAUCUAAAAAAAUUACUCAGAAANNNNNNNNNNNNNNNNNNNNNNNNNNNNNNNNNNNNNNNNNNNNNNNNNNNNNNNNNNNNNNNNNNNNNNNNNNNNNNNNNNNNNNNNNNNNNNNNNNNNNNNNNNNNNNNNNNNNNNNNNNNNNNNNNNNNNNNNNNNNNNNNNNNNNNNNNNNNNNNNNNNNNNNNNNNNNNNNNNNNNNNNNNNNNNNNNNNNNNNNNNNNNNNNNNNNNNNNNNNNNNNNNNNNNNNNNNNNNNNNNNNNNNNNNNNNNNNNNNNNNNNNNNNNNNNNNNNNNNNNNNNNNNNNNNNNNNNNNNNNNNNNNNNNNNNNNNNNNNNNNNNNNNNNNNNNNNNNNNNNNNNNNNNNNNNNNNNNNNNNNNNNNNNNNNNNNNNNNNNNNNNNNNNNNNNNNNNNNNNNNNNNNNNNNNNNNNNNNNNNNNNNNNNNNNNNNNNNNNNNNNNNNNNNNNNNNNNNNNNNNNNNNNNNNNNNNNNNNNNNNNNNNNNNNNNNNNNNNNNNNNNNNNNNNNNNNNNNNNNNNNNNNNNNNNNNNNNNNNNNNNNNNNNNNNNNNNNNNNNNNNNNNNNNNNNNNNNNNNNNNNNNNNNNNNNNNNNNNNNNNNNNNNNNNNNNNNNNNNNNNNNNNNNNNNNNNNNNNNNNNNNNNNNNNNNNNNNNNNNNNNNNNNNNNNNNNNNNNNNNNNNNNNNNNNNNNNNNNNNNNNNNNNNNNNNGGUCGUCGCUCCACCUGGUACUAAAGGUAGGGUCUUUAGUACCGGUUGGAGCCACCAACCAGUAUUAAAGGUCACCACCCGGUACUAAAGGGCUACCCUUCCCGCCGCUUGGCCUGGCCAAAAUUGACCUUUAGUACCGGUUGGUGGCUCCAACCGGUACUAAAGGCCCAUCCUAAAUAAGUGGCACUUACAAAUUUCGUCAGUUUUUAUCUGCUUCUUCUCCUCUGCCCCGUCGCCCGCCGCCCCCAUCGCCACCCCUUGUCGACGCCCCCGUCGCCGCCCCGUCCCCGUCCCCGUUGCCCGCCACACUUCAAAAUGAAGAACAUAUCCAUGAAGGUGGCAGACGCCAUUGCUUAUACAAAUCCCCCCGAAGCAACCUUCCAUUGCAACCCGAUUCCAGCCGGCUAUGCUCGUGUCAUGGUUGAUGAGGUGGUGGACCAAUAUUCGAGGCUAGAGCUAGACAUUCCUGGGCAUCACCAGGAGCACACACUGGGAGAGGCCAUACAUCAUAUCAUCCUAUGGAGAAAGGAUUGCAUCAUCUUUCGAAGGCCACCGACACCGCGUCGUCAUCCGACUCCUCCUCGAUGUGAGGCCACUCCUCCUCCAAGUCCGGCAUAGCAGUAGGCCACUCCUCCUGCUUCAAGUCCGGCACAGCAUGAGGCCACUCCUCCUGCUUCAAGUCCGACGCCGCGUGAGGCCAAUCCUCAUGCUUCAAGUCCGGGACAUCGUUAGGCCCCUCCUCCUGCUCCAACUCAGCCACGUCAGCCGUCUCCGCCGCCUUAGCAAUCGGGGAAGAGAGAUGCCGCAGCUAUGAUGCGUAGCGCUACGAGUCGAGGUAGUACAGGAGGUAUAGGCGGAGUCAAGCAAUAUAAAUAUGGUCCAAGCCUCGCUCCUCUUCCUCAGAGGCCUUACGACAUGACCGAGGAGCAAAACGUAGCCAUAGUGAAGGCCCUAGUGGACGCCCAUUUUGGACCGAAACCGGCACCGCCGCCAAGGGAGAAAGUGCCAGAGGAAAAGAUUGCCACUUUAUUCGUAUGGCUAGACCACCAGCUCCCAAGCCUGUUGACUCAGACUAUGAGCGCCAAAUCAAGAAGGCACAUUGAGCACGAGUACAGAAGGAGUCGAGCUCAAGCUCGAGCCAAGCAGCUGGCAAAAAAUGCAGAAAACCGUUCCCCAGCUGGGAGAACAGGCGACACAAUCGAUACCCCCGCUUGUUAUGCCAACAACACAUAAGAGUAUCGGCGCCCUAUAUAUAUGUGGGCAAACCAUUAACGUUCCCCAGCUGGGCAAUCUGGUAAUAACCGAGGAGCAUAUAAUGCAGGCUGAAAUGAUCGGUAUGACUGUUGGACAACUCCUUGAGAUCGAGCACAUGUCUCCACUUAGAGAGGAGGAAAUAAAACGAAAAUAUGUCCGUGGUGAACCUUUGAUCAAGCCCGAGGAGGUCAAGAACCUCCCUAUGAGAAUGUAUGAAUUGCAUCAAUGGUACAUGAAAAUUUGCAAGACCCACAAUCUAUAGUUCCUCAUGGUGAAAGUCAAGGAAGAGGAUAAUUCCAUAUGCUAGCUCUGUCUAUUGAGUAUAUAGAACUGUUUCAGUUAUUCAAUUAUGACACACUCGACAAAUCUAUCGUCAGUUGCUAUUGUCUGUAAGUCAUUUAUUUCUGUAAUUUAAGUCUCAAGCUAGCUGUAGUGCUCUCGUUGAUCAUUACAUGUAAUUAUCCUUACUAUAUAUUCUUUUCUGUGGAAUUAUGCAGGAUGAAGAUGUCCGAAAUGAGAAAAGCUGGACGCUAUGGCAUUGGGUUCAUUGACCCAAAUACCAUUAAUGAAGAGACAUGGUCAUAUGAACAUUAUAAACAAGAAAUAGAGAAUAACAUGCUAGAGUUCUUGAAGCGCCUCAUUACCAAUGCAGAUAUACUACCACUACAAGAAAUAUGUCAACUUGUGACCUUGACUAUUGGUCAAUGAAAGGUCAUUGUUUUUCAUUUCCGACCUUUUUUAACCAAAAACAAAAGGUCAAAAGCUGGCGGUCAUAAACUGAAAUUAACGACCUUCUCUAUGAGAAGGUCGUGGACAUUUACGACCAAAAUAUGCCUAUUGUUUUGUUUUGUCACUAGCAGCCUCCCCAAGCCACGUAGGCAUCCGACGUGGCAAUCUGAUGUGGCAUAAGAUUCAGCCCGGUCCAAUUCAGUUUUCUACAUGAGCCUAGCCCAACAAUUCGGCUUUUUUAAUGUGUUUUUUUCCUGUGUUUUUAUUAGCUACAUGGGUCUGACCUAGUAAUUCAACCCAUGUAUUAUUUUUUAGGCAAGCCCUUUUAAUAUAUGUAUUUUAUGUUAAUUUCAGUAAGCUACAUGGGCCUGGCCUACAAUUUGGCCUUUUUAUUUUCUAGCACACAACAUUUUGCAAUCAAUUUAUUUUUUAUUUCCAACUUUUGUUCCCAGCUCCGGUUUACAGAUGGGUCCCAAAUGUCAGGUUUUUCAUGACUUAUUAAUAAGCAAUAUAUAUGUAUAUAUCAAACAGACAGAAGAGAGAAAGCAUAUGAAAAUCUUCAAAUAAUAGCUAAAAUAAGUUUAUUAUAAUAUGCUAUACAGAACAGAACACGUGAAACUACAUACACUCAUUCACAUCACAACAACCAGUUUUCAUACAAUCAUUCACAUCACAUCAACCAGUUUAACCAUCGAAUCUUGCAUACUCAGGAACUUCAAACUUCACCCAGAUCCACACAAUCAUAAAUAAUGGGAUCUACAAAUAGACCACUCUACCAGUACAAAAGCUAGCUGCUCUUCAACAUGGGUAGAAGUCCUCAACGGAGUUCCAUUCACCUACAAGAACAGAAUGGAAUAUCAAGUACUUGCAUUCUUCAAGAAGAUUACAACCAACAUAUAUAUGUACGGGGACAUCAGGAAAGCUGAUGGAGCAAAAUCAAACAACAGAUAAAUCAAGUAAACAGACCAUUUGGAAAAAAAUAUACUACCAGGCUUGAACAUGAGCAUAGAAAAGAAAAGAUGAUUUCAGUGAAAUUAAAACUGCCAAUGAAAGCUGAAUAACAGUUCAGCUGAUUAACUCCUAGUAUGGAGGAAUAUCACAAAAUUAAACAAGAUGGUCGUGCAAGUUUCUAUACAAGUAUUCGUGAUUACGGUUUGUUAUCAUCGUCUAAAUUCUCCAACAUGCACAAAAUUAAUUAAUAUAUCUGAAUGUGCUACCAAUGAAGCAAAUUCUAAAAGAUACACGGACAGGGCUUAAUUGGCUAACCAUGUCAUUCUAUAAACACACAGCAAACUCAAUGAUAACGUGUAUAGUUAUUACCAUAUAGUUUCUAUAUGAGUAUUCAUGAUUUCCUUUUGUCAUCGUCGUUUAAAUAGCUUGGCGAACAUUGACAGCAAAGAAACAAAAAAUUUAAGUCAAUACCUUUGUGAGCAUGUAGUAGAUUGUUCACAUCCUUAUGAAAUACAUGGCAAAGAAGCUUUACCAUGUAGACAAACACCCACUAACUCAGACGCUACAGGUGCUUGUUUCAUCAUGUUACAAAGGAGAAGCACAAACCACAACUUUACUCCACACACACACACACAUACACGCACACAGACCAGUAGAUCAACAGGAGGACAUAGAUUAGACCAAAUCCACAUAAACAAAUCCAUACACAUAGCAGGAUAACUGGAUAUUGGCCAAUUGGUUUGAUCAGGAGCAACAGUGCAUAUUUUCCCUAAACCUAAAAUUGCCAUAGUGCGUAAAUCAUGCCACUGGUCAGAGCACAACACCACAAUCACCAGUACAAGGCCACCAGAAGCACCACAGAGAGGGAUAGAGCUCACCUAGGUGGUUUGUAGCCAAGGAAGAAGCACAGCCGG
rnacentral:lncRNA from 1 species